GCAUCACCUGCGGACUGGAACUUGCACGGGAGAAGGGAUACGGUCCAUAGGAUUUUUGUAGUGAAGGAUGGAGUAAGAACAGCCCACACUUCAACAUCAUGUCAUCAGAGUUGGAGCCAUGAUCAUCAGCAACACCUGCUGAUUCUCUCCAAUCCACCAGAUGUUUUUAAAUAGGCACAAUUUGUGUUUUUUAAUGUAAUGGGGUUACUAGUCGUCAAUCAGUUACUCUGUAAUGGGUCUGAGGCUUCCCAAUGCACCUGAAAAAGAAAAAUCAUCAUACUUUGACAUCUUAAUAGAGUAGUUAAAUCCACAACUUUCCAGCUUAAUUUGACUGAUUACCAUGUGUUCGUUUUUUAAACAAAGAAAUUACUUGGAGGUCGUAUUAAAGCUCUUAAUACUGUGAGAAGUUCCUCCUGGUGAUCAAAAUGAUUGAACCCAUUCAAUUCAUUGGCCCUUUGAAUCUUUGAUAUAUCAACAUGAUACAAAAUUUGUAUAUUAUCAUGAAAUUCUAAAAUCACCCUUCAAUUUAAAGUUAAUAUAAUGUCCAAAAUAUGAGCACAAACAUAUACUUUUAGAAAAAUUUAGAUAAAAAUGAAAUUUUAGAAAAAAAUUUAUAUUUUCUUUGUUUUCAAUGCUAUUUAUUAAAUUGCUACCACUAUGAUCAGUGGCGGAGCCAUAUAUAAUUUUCCUCCCUCCCUCAACAUUGAGAAAAUUGUUUUUUAGGCUUAAAAAAUUUCAAGAAUUGCUCUCUAUUUGCCCCUCCUAAAAUCUUUAAGGCUUUCUUUUCUAAGUGCAUUGCCCUGCAACAUCUAUAAAAUUCUCUUUUCAGGUGCUUUGCCCCCUCCCCCUCCCUGACAUCAAAUAAUUAAAAAUUUCAUAAUUGUUACUAUUUACAAUAAUGUUAAAAACAUAGAUAUUAAUCCAAAUAUAAGCUCUGUCGAUAUUUCUAAACACAAAUUGUUGAGUGAUUUUUAUUAUUAAAUUUAGGUCUAAUUUAAACUUAAAAACAUAUUUUAUAUAGGAAAUUAAAAAAAUAUAUGUUUUACAUAGAUUUUCAUUUAAUUUAAUUCACUAUUACUGUGUUCUACAUAUUGUCGGAGAUUGAACCCCUUGACCUUAGGGUCUUCACUUCGCCACUGAUCGUGACAAAAAAAAUUUAUACUUAUUUUGUCUCAUAUAAAAGAGCAAAUACAGACCCCAGUGGCAACUAAGAAUAAAGCUUUGCCAUGCUAGCCAUCUUUGCCCUCAUCAUUGCCUUAGAAUCCUUCCACCCUUUCCAAAAGUUGGUAAAAUUAUCGACGGACGAGAGAUAUUAGGAGAAAAAGAAAGAAAAGAUGAGAAAGCAAUUGUGUGGAUAAGGUUGGUAGGCCAAAGGCUUGCCGCAAAUAGUUUUUUAUGCAAUCCAUAAAACAAGCAAUGUUUCCAAGCUUAUUAGAUGGAUAUUUUGCUAAAAGAAGUGUCAUCUAGCUACCAUAGUCAUCAUGUUUGAUGUUCCCGUCUCUUCAUAUCAUCCACAAAAAAAAAAAAAAAAAAAAUCAUCCACCAUAAAAUCUAGUCACAAACAUAUUUGCAUAAAAUCCCAGGUAGAAUAAAGACAGACAUAUUUGCACAAAAGAAAUCUAAUUAAGCUUCUUUAUAAUAUGACCAAGACUGAGAGAAAAGUAGUAUGGUACCCUAUUUUUAUUUUUUUGUUUUUUCUCCAAGUCUCAUUGUGUGAUGAGUUUUGAUUAGUAUAAAAAAGUUACUGACCUUAUCAUUUUUAAAAUUUGCACGAUAGUGACACAACAGCUAACUUUAAUUUGUUGCUUUGCUAGCAUAUCAAAAACAUUUUUUUCUAUAAAAAGGAAAAUGAUAAUUAUUUCAAAUUGGACGAAGACAUCAACAAUAUUGAACUAUCUAAUUGGUCUAAAAUAUUUUAUUUUCUUUUGCUGAGAAACUACUUUUUAGGCAAAAACAUUUUGGAGAAAAUAAAUUACAUAAUUUUAAGUAUGAACAAGAUGAAAAAUGAUUGUUUGUCCUGUUGCCUAAUGUCUAUGUGAAGUGAUUAUUACAAACAAAGGCACAUUAUUAAGAGAGGGAGAAAAUGUACUUUAUAAUUAUCUUUGUGCAUGUAAAGAACUGUGCAACAUUUCAGGUAAAGAAUACGACAUAUGUCAAUUUGGAAAUAGCGAUUUUUUUUUUUGGUUCAUUGCCCAAAAUGGUCUUAAAAAGGAUAGACAAAGGCUUGAUAAAAACUUUAUGUUGGUCAAGGAUUUUUAGACAAAGGCUUUAUAAAAACUUUAUGUUGGUCAAGGGUUUUCAGAGUGUCAAAAGAUCAAUGUCAAAAUUUUAGAAACAAUUGCAAAAAAAAAAAAACACAAAAAAUAUACUUCUUCAAGAUUAAUUUGAUCGAAGUAAAGAUGCGGUUUCACGUGCAAUAAUAAAGAAGUCAAUGAAAAGGUAGUUCAAUUUGCGGUCUCAUGCGUCCUGCAGGCAGAGAAAAACAAGAAUCAUUGUUUUACUCUUAACUUUAUUCAUAGUUAUUCAACAUGCUGUGUAAUAGAAAUUAAGAAAAAUGAAUCAUUUGGUAUAAGGCUCGAGUUACUGGAAAUUCACUUUUUAUUAAUGACGCUCCAUUUUGGUAUGUACUCUUCCAAAAAUUGCAGAGGAGAUGAAGCAUUGACAGUAAUUGGUGUCCCCAAUAAUAUCAUGCCGUUUUUGUAAUAGAAAGUAGUUGUUGAAUAUGGCUAGCAGUUUGAAAUUUUUUCUGUUACUGUUAAGCUUAUAUAAAACCAAGAAUUACUUGUUUGGGUGGACAACUUACGACCAAAUUUGUAGUACCCAAAAGAAUAGACUAAAAAGUUAUAGGAGAUAAAUUUUAUAAAAUCAAUGUAUAUGAAACGAUAAUUUUUUGCACAUAAAAAUGUGUAUGGGAGAAGAAGAAUAAAUCAACGAUAUAAUAUCAUAAGAAUAAGUCUAUUAAACUUUUGCUCUUUUCAACUAAAAACAAUAUUAAGAUUCUAGAUUAGAUGUGACAUGGCACGGAAGUGUGAUAAAUCAAAAGGGUUAUACGAAUAUCCUCCACAGUAGAUAAAUCAGGAACGGUGUAUGAAGAGGUGAUUUUUGACUUGACGAGAUGACCCGAAAGUUAGAAAGUCUUCUUGGCUGAGGAGGUCACCACAGUAGGAUCACCUACGUAAAUUAUAAGAAGAAGGGUGGAAUCCCUCGGUAUAGCUCCAAAACUUAAGUUAGUUAGGAUUGAAGUCAUGUGGGAAGAUGAAUAUUAGCCUUUUUACCAGAGAUUUUGCAUCCUCUUUCUCAGUGGGAGCUCCCACUAUUUAUGUAGGACAAUCAGGAGAAAGAGAGAAGCUAUGGGUGCAGAUCCCUAGAAAUUUGAUGUAGAUAGCGUAUCAUACUGAUUUGAUCGGACUCUGCAAGGGGCAGUGUGUCAGGGCAGCUGCCAGUCAUACGUCAGCGUGUGUCAGAGGUCACAUCCAAUACUUUUCCAGUUGUCCGACCCUUAGGCAUCACUUCAGUGGUGUGAGCUACAGCUCCGACCGAAGUGAGAACGAAAGUCGAGUUCACCCCGGUCGCCUAAGGGUACAGGAUGUCCGAGGUGGAGCUAUCAGGGAUUUAGCCUGUGGGAUGUGUGGGCCUUCAGGAUAUCCGAACCGAUUUGACCAUCCUCACUAAGCCCCCAAGCUUCGGAAAAGGCAAGCUAGUCGCUUCCCGAGGCUGACGAAUGGUUCUGGAACGUGAACACAAAAAUGACACGUAAUAUACGCGCGGAUGGGACUGGAAAGAAGAUGAAGAGAUGGCUGGCAGCUUUAUCGAUAGGUUCAUGAAUAGACGCGGAGUCAGCAGUCAGUCGCAGUCAGUCGAACAGCCUUCUCAUUAAUGAGGAGAGAAAACGUUUCCUCGAGAACCCCAAAGGUGCCGCCCUUUUAGUUUCUUACUGCUGGCCUAUAAAUAGGGGGUUCCUUUCAUUCUCUUCCGCAAAAAUCUUCAAUCUCCUAAAAAUAAAUCUUCGUCAUAUUUUCAUCUCAGCAAUUCUCGAACUUCCAACUUCCUUUUAAGAGUAAGUUUCCAUUCUUCCUCCUUUACUUAUGGCUAGAAUAGCCCGCACACACAAGGAAACAAUGAGGCCAGACUUCACCGAAGCAGAUAGGCUCAUCCAUACCGAAGGGAGAACAGCUUCCGAGCCCAGGGAAAAUGCUGCCGGAGCGUUUCAUCAGGCCGAUACACAUCAAGAAGCGAGCGAAGAAGAGACUGAGAUCCUUUACAACGAUGACUUCGGUAUGGAGAUACCACGGGACGAGGGCGUUCAAGAACCAGUCGCUCCUCCGAACCUAGCAGCAAUUGACUACGACCAGGUCCCCAUGUUCAGCAGCAUCAUGGGCCAGACUUUGAUAGUCGAGAUGAUUCGCAAGUACCCCUAGCGGAAGCACUACAGCAUCAACCCUCCUAGGCCAGAUCAGUCAGCUGAGCUCCCACCUAGGGAUAGGGUUGCCAUUUACGCCGACUAGCUAGAGGUCGGACUCAGGGUGCCAACCACUAGGUUCCUCUGAGAUUGUCUGAGGUACUGGGGGGUGAGGAUCACUCAACUCACCCCCAAUGUAAUCCGGGUCCUCGUCGGCUUUCAAAUGCUGUGCCGACACCAAGAGAUAACCCCCACCGUCAACCUCUUUCGCCGCUGUUACUCAAUAAAGAACAGUGCGAGUGAGAAUGGGUGGUUCUACUUCGGGAACAAGGUUCCGAAGUUGGUGGUAGAUGUCCCCACCUCUAUUAAGGAGUGGAAGUGCAAUUUCUUCUUCAUCCCGGCAGACGACGUCCCCAGGAGGUUCUGGUGGAGACCUCCCACCUCGGUCAAAGAGACCUCUCCGGAUAAUCUGAAGGAAGAGAAUUUCGAAAGCUGGUGGAGUCGAACCUCAAGAUCAACUGCUAGGCCUUCCCGGAGACAGUUCUUGUUGACGGUGGGAUUAGUCGAGCUCUUAUUAGCCUGGGCCAUCCGCCAUUCUUUUCUAUUAGGCUUUAGAAACAUUGUAUUCUUUCGUUCCUAACUUUGUCUUUCCUUCCCCUCGAUUCUGAAUAACUGUGUUUUUGUGCUUUGCAGUGGUGAGAGUUUAUGAUCUGAUCACUUCGGGUACCACCGAGGUAGCAAAGAGGCCGAUUAAACGCAAGGACACUGCCAAGUCCUCUGUCCGGCCGAAGAAGAAAACCGCCGCGACCACAGCAAGCCGCGACUCCCCAGUACUAGUCACAGGAAAGGGCUCUCGUACCUCGGCUAUUCCAGGGAGCACCUCAACUAUUCCGACGAGGAUGCCCAUUCGCGGGGUGAAGAUAGCUUCUCUGUCCCGGGGCCGAGGUGUGACCUUUUCUCCCGAGACCCCUGUCACGGGGUCGUCGUUGUUCAACCUUCACCCCGUACCUUCCCAAGAAACUGGGGAGGAUAAGAGGCACUCCGAGAAGCAGUGGUGCCCGGAGUAGGACCUUAAUGUCAACGACUGCUGCAAGAAUCCCCUCAUCGCGCAGGAACUCCUGGUGCAUUCAGUGCUGCCAAAGGACAACACCUAUGACAGGAAGCUUACUCUGGGCGAACUGAUGCAGAGUGCUUCAGUUUCCUGGGCCUCCACCACAGCUUUCUUUGCUGAGAUAACCCAGCGCUAUACCAAACUGGUGGAAGCCUAUCAGCCAUCCUCCGAGCUCCAGAAAAAGGUAACCGAGUUGGAAGAGAAAUUGAAGACUGCCGAGUAGGAGUGCGACAAGGCUGAAGCAGCUCGGGAGCAGGCCGAGGCCACCAAGUACUCCUUAAUGACGGCCCUAGAUGAAGAAAAGGAGAUGAGAACCCAAAAAGAGCAAUCAGCUCAGGAGGCAAUAGAGAAGGCCAGAACCUUGGCCUUAGAAGCCUUCCACAAGUCUGAAACCUUAACUCGUGACCUCGGCGAGUUCACAUUGCCGAGUUUCAUGUUUGGAUACACCUCGGCUGUCAAUGACGCGGCACCUUUCCUUACCUCCGAGCAAUUGGAGUCCCUCCAAAAUAAGCCAAACUUCAACGAGAAUGCUAAGGAGUUGUACGACUGUAUGGCAGAGGGUAUCCAGGCCAGAAAGGAUGUGGCCGAAGUCCGGACCGAAUUCAACAAAUAGCUCUAAGAGUUUGACCUGGAUGGGCUCGGCGGAGGCGAAACCGGUGGGGAGACCAUGGGUGACCUUGGCACUGAGGUCGGUGGGGAGACUAUCGGAGACCACGACACCGGGAUAGGGAAUGCGUAGAAGCAUUCCUAGCUUUGUUACUUUUGUAACCAAGCGCCGAGGUCGUAGAUGCUUUGGAGAAUUCCGUACCUCGGCUUUUUGUAAUCUCUCUUGGUUUAUUGUUAAUACUAUUGACUUCUUAUCUUUUCAUGUUUGAGCUCGGCUUUCUUCUGUUCCCUUAUUUUUCACUUAGAAUAAGAUGAUACUAAAGGAGAAAUAACUCAGAAUAAAUUGAAUAACUCGUACCAAAUAAGUACAUACCCUUCAGGGGUGAUAUAAUUUGAGAUUCUCAACAUGCCAAGUUCGGGGUACCCGGAAACCAUUUCGAUAAACUAAUGUACAAUAUCCAUUUUGACUAGACUUGAUAACGCGGUAGGGUCCCUCCCAUCUAGGGGUUAAUUUGCCUUGAGGUUCAGCUCGGCUAACCAAAUUUUUGUGAACUACAAGAUCUCCCGAACUGAACCGUAAGUGCCUAACCCGAGCGUUAUAGUAGCUAGAUAGGAUGUUCUUAUAUAGUGCGACUUUGACCACUGCGAUGCCCCGCUUCUCUUCGGCAAGGUCAAGGUCUACUCGCCUUUCCUCUUCAUUCACCUCGGCAGCGAAAGCUGCCAUGCAUGGACUCGGGGUGAUAAACUCAGUGGGAACCACGGCUUUAGACCCAUAGGUUAAAGAGAAUGGGGUCUCUUGUGUUGCGGAUCUCGGCGUAGUCUGGUAGGACCAUAGCACAUUGGGGAGCUCUUCCACCCAAGAUGACCUAUCUCAAUGCAACCUGGUUUUGAGACCGUGGAGGAGUGUACGUUUGAAGUUUUCGGCUUGUCUGUUGGCUUGGGGAUGGCCAACCGAGGUGAAGCGCUGCUUGAUCUCAAGAUUUUCGCACCAUCCCUUGAAGGGAUUGUCAGCAAACUGCUUGCUAUAAUCCGAGAUGAUUACCGUGAUAAUUCAAAGCGGCAGACCACACUUUUCCAAAAAAACUUUUGAACUGCUAAGCCAGUUAUGCUUCUCAAGGGUUUGGCUUCGACCCAUUUGGUAAAGUAAUCGAUCGCGACUACCACAUAAGCAUAGUUACCUGGGGCUCUGGGGAAUGGACCAAUUAUAUCGGUGUCCCAUUAUUCAAAUGGCCAUGACGAGGUGAUUGGGAUCAUGAGGUUAGUUGGCUGAUAAUGCUUAGAAGUGUGGUAUUGACAGGAAGGGCAGCCAAGAACCAUAAGUUAGGCAUCUUGCCGAAUAGUGGGUCAAAAGUAUCCAAACAAUAGGGUUUUCCUGAUCAACAUUCUAUAGCCGACGUGGGUGCCGCAAAGCCCUUCGUGUAUGUCCUGGAGAACUCUUUGAUGCAAACUGCAUGCCAUUAUCCGAGAUGAUUACCCGUGGUAAUCCAAAGCGGCAGACCACACUUUUUCAAAAGAACUUUUGAACUGCUAAGCCAGUUAUGCUUCUCAAGGGUUCGGUUUCGACCCAUUUGGUGAAGUAGUCGAUCGCGACUACCACAUAAAUAUAGUUGCCCGGGGCUUUAGAGAAUUGAUCAAUUAUAUCGGUGCCCCAUUAUUUAAAUGGCCAUGAUGAGGUGAUUGGGAUCAUGAGGUUAGUUGGCUGAUGAUGCUCAGGAGUGUGGUGUUGACAGGAAGGGUAGCCAAGAACCAUAAAUUGGGAAUCUCACCGAAUAGUGGAUCAGAAAUACCCAAGCAAUAGGGUCUUCUUGACCAACAUUCUAUAGCCGACGUGGGCAUCGCAAAGCCCUUCGUGUAUGUCCUGGAGAACUCUUUGCCCUUCCACUGGUAUGAUACACCGCAAUCAUGGGUCGAAGUAAGAUCUCUUAUACAGGAAAUUUUACCGGAGGGCAUACCGGACUGCUUUACACUGCAGUUUCUUUGCUUCAUCUCGGUCCUCAGGAAGCUCUCCUUAUCCUAGGAACCGAACUAACGGGCCCAUUCAAGUGUCCCCUGGAUAAAUAGGGCACACCAUUUCUUCUAAGUAACCCGGCUCGGCCAAAACCUCAACGAGGACCGUUUUGUUCAGUUCAGAGAAAAAGGUGGACGCGAGGCGGGAUAAAGCGUCAACUCACUUAUUUUGCGACUGAGGUAUCUUUUGAAUUUCGAAGGACUCGAAGUGUGCUGUUAACUGGCGGACUUUGGAGAGGUAACAUUGCAUGACCUCUUCUUUAGCCUGGUACUGGCCGAGUACCUGGCACAAAAUAAGUUGGGAGUCGCUGUUGAUCAAGAUGUGCCGAGCAUCGAGCACUGAGCUUAUGAGCCAGUUGCAGGCCGACAAUGACUGCCUCAUAUUCGGCCUCGUUGUUAGAGGCAGCAAUCAAAUCUGAGGGCGUAUGAACACAGCUCCCCUUGGGGGUCUUGUAGGAGAAAACCGGCUCCACUACCCUCGUUGUUAGAUGAGCCGUCCACAUAUUUAAAUAUGGAUGAGCAAACCGGCUCCAACCCGGCGAAGAAAGUAGGUUAACGGGUUAUUGGUUCAACCAGUGGGUGAGUGGUUGAACCGGUGGAUCACUAAAUAUAUUUAAAUAUUAUAUUUCAUAAUUUUUUAUAUAAGAUACUCCCUCUGUUCCUUAUUAGAUGUCCUAAUCCAUUGUUUCUUUUUAUCUGUCAUUUUAUGAUAUCAAGAAAGCAUUUAUGAAAUUUUUUCCAAAUUUACCCUUGCUUACCCUUUCAACUUUCUUGAAUUGGAACUCUAAAUAAUUAAAUACAGUAUUUGUAGCAUUAACAAUAGAAGUGAUGAAGAAUUAAAUCUAUUGAUUGAGAAAUGUGAGACAGAGUAAAUGACAAGUAGUAUUAAUUAGGUAUAGUUGAAAAGAAAUAAAGGAUAAUUUUGAGAAGUAAAGUAAAACUUUUGUUGACUUUUAAAAAAUAACCAACUUGCUUAAUCUAAGAGAAUUAGUUAUUCAGGCCAUCUAAUAAGGAACAGAGGGAGUAUAUGAUAUAAAUUGUAAUAAACAAUGCCAUAGCAAAAGCUCAUUUAAUUUAAUUUGCUAUAAAAUAAUUAAUUCAUAUAAGAAUCAAUCAAAUAUAAAGUUAUUUAGUAAUACACCAAACUUGAAGUGUAAAAUUUUAUCGAUAUUUAGUGUAAUUAUCUAACUUAUUUAUGAAUUUUAAGUGUAAAAAAUUAUUAAAAUAAUAUUUGUCUUUAAAAUGAGUUAUAUAAUAUGCUAUUUUUUAAAUCUAUUUUAUAACUUAUAGAGUUUGAAGGGUAAUAAAUUUUUAUUAAAAGAUUCCAAUAUAUUUGUUUUAGAGAAAAAAAAGGUAGAAUUGAAAAAACAUUUAUAUAUUAUAAUAAAGGUAGUUUUUUAGCAUAUUUCGAAGUAGUCUAGUGGUAAAUAUGUUGUAGUGUUGGGCAAAGGUCCAAGGUUUGAACUCCAACAAAGGCAAUAAAAUUUUUUCACAAAACCGGGUUCAAGAACAAAACCGGCCAGGUUUCCGAGUUAAUCCGGUUGGCUUGAUCAAACGAUCUGAUUUGAAACCCGGCCCGGUCCAAUGAUCGGGUCACCGGUUUGAUCGAUUCGACCGUCGGGUCGGACCGGGUUUAAUAACUAUGCUUGCUAGGGGUAUAGAUAAUGGAGCCUAGCCAUGAGAUGCGGAUAACGUGGCUCAAUUUGAUGUUCGGAGCGUGGCAUUUGAAUGAUCAAAACCCCACUUCAUCAAAUAAGAAAGAGGAAGUUAUAUAUUGAUUUCUUUCGGGAGAGGACGCUGGACCGGUGAGGCGACUUGCAUUGUGAUUGUAGCACUCUGUUUUUUUUUCUUUUUUUUUUUUGUAAUUUGAUUGUAAGUGAAAUAAAAAAACUUAAAAUUAUAUAAAGGUGGAUAGAAAAUGUGUAUUUAUGAUGCAACAAAAAAUAACAUUUAAAAAUAAUUGUUUCAUCCAAACACACCCAUUAUAUCAAGUUACUUUACAUCUAUCUAUAAUAAAAAUAAUAAAAUGUGUUUUGAUUACAAGAUUUUCAAAAAAAAAAUUUUAAAUUUUGUUUUGGUUACAUCAUACACACAAUUUUCCAUCAUCUUUGUAUUUCACAUACAUCACAUCACAAAAAUUGCUACAAUAAUUAUUUCAAAUAACCUCCCAUCCAAACAAACUAAUUUUUUGAGGAGUUGCAGAUGAAGAUGGGAUAAUGAGCAAAUCUAAAAUAUUCGAAUGACAAUAUAAUAUCAUUAAAAUCAACCAAAACAAUAAUGUGAAUCUAUUACAUUUCAUUUUCCAAAAACUACCACUAUCGAGGAAAUGGAUUUAAAAGAUUAUUAUCACACAGAAAAAAAAGUCAAUUGUCAGAACUGGAAUAUUGGCAGAGUUCAAUGAGAAGAUUGCAUAAGUAAAAUUUUGUCUUAAUAUGGUUUUAAAUUACCAUCCAAUCAAGAUUUUAAAGUUCCAAGUUCUAUUUUAAUCUCCAUCCCUUAUCUCUGCAAGCUCACCCUUUCUCAGUUUCUGCUCACGUGACAUUUGCGGCCCCAAUUCAUCGAGUCAUGAGGCCUUGUGUUACUUAUCAUGUAGUCAAACUUUGACCAAGUUUUACUAAUUAGUUAUGGGCUUUGAUUUGUAUAUUUGGGCCUCACAUAUGAGGUGGACCAAUGUAAGCUCAACAUCUCUAAAGCAAUCAUUUAGAUUUGCACGAAUGGUUCCCUAUCGCAUGAAAAACUGAUCCGGUUUUCGAUUAGUCAGUCUAUUUUGGAUUGCUCUUUUUUCUUUUUCUUUUUUUUAAAGACCUUCCAAGGAGGUUGUUAUAACUAUUCAUUUGCCUUCAUUUGUGCCCAAAAAGCCCCAAACAAGAAACUAGAAAAUUAAAGGAUUAAAGGAAUCACUGUGAUAGAAAAUUAGAAAUCAAAGAAUUAAAGGAAAAAGUGUGAAAUAGCUAUUAUUCAAAAUUCAAUUGUUAUCAAAUUUUUUGAACUUCAGUUUUUUCUUCUAAACUUCUUUAUAAUAUGGCCAAGAAUAAGAGAAAACUCGUAUCAUAUCCUUUUUUUUUUUAUUCUUUCACACUUCAUAUUCUAUUUUUAUCACUUUAAUCCAUCAUCAAUCAUCCAAAUAUCUUCUCAAUUGAUGAUUGAAUCAUUAAACCUUGAGACCGUACAUACUCUCACAUACGGAGUUGACAACCUAUCUAACUGCAAAAGAGCCCAAACUUUAGAAGGGAGAGCUAUUUCACUAAAGAAACGGGCAUCCGUUCGUAGGUCCGAGGAGGCCAAAGCGUCGGCGACCGCAUUUGCUUCUCUAAACGUGUGAACCAGAGACACCCCCAAUUUUGCCACCAAGCACCGAAUAUGCCUAAUUGUGUUACAUAACGGCCAGCAAGACGUCAUCUUAGAGGACACGAGAUGCACUAAAGUACUAGAAUCCACUUCCGCUAUGACUCCCGUGAGAUUGUUGUCCUGGCAAUAACGAAGACCCUCCAGCAAAGCCAACGCCUCUGAGGAGAGAACGUCUUGCUCUCCAAACUCCUUAUAAAAGGCAAACACUAAAUUACCCUCAGCCGAGCGCACCACCCCUCCACCACUUGACCGCCCGCUUACCACACUAGCAUCAGUGUUGAGUUUCACCGCUUGCCCUGUAGGUUUUACCCAAGAAAAGGCUCGAAGCUGUAUCAAUUUCUCCUUGGCCUUACCGAAUUUUACCCAGUCGCAAUCUGUGUCCCCUUUGAAAAACUCCAACUUGAGCAGCCCCCCCCUGCCCAACUGCUCGACAAAAGCACACACCUGGUUGAUUAUCUGAUCUGACGACAUACUCAUCCCCUCAAAGCGAGCCUUGUUACAGCCCUUCCAAAUAAACCACAAGAUCAAGAGCGGGAGGAGGACACGAAUAUGAUUCUGUGAGACAAACCGGUGAGACAAGAGCCAACAUGAGAGCCUCGAUGCCACCCCACUCCCCUGGACUACCAUCCCAAAGCGGCGGGAGAAGUGCCGCCAGACCCUGCUCGCUACAGGUCCCGAGACAAAAAGAUGAUCUCCCGUUUCUGGCGCUAGGCCACAACAGUAGCACUUUGACGCUAACCUCAAUCCUCUACCUUGAAGGAGAUCAUCCAAGGGGAGCCAACCACGCAACAAUCUCCACACAAAGAAGGAUACCUUCAGAGGGACCACCGAGCUCCAGACCAACGAAUCAAUAACAGAUCGAUUGCGCUUUGAACGAAGAACGUCCCAAGCUGAAGACACAGUAAAGCUCCCCGAAGGUGACGCCGCCCAAAUCAUUUGGUCUUGCAUAUUGGGAAAUAUACGCAGCUCCAUGACCUUCGACACUAAGUGCCCCGGAAGUAGCCGUCUGAGCCACUGCUCAUCCCAACCAUCAGAAAGAAAAAAUUUCCCUACCAACCCGUGAGACUUAGGGCCUGGCACCAACCUGGCGAGCGGGACAUCAGUACACCACUUGUCCUGCCAGAAGUCCACUAAGCCCUCCCCCAGACACCACCGGAUAUUCCCCUCUGCGAGAUCCCUUACCUCUACCAAACGGCGCCAAACUGGGGACGGGCGGUCAACUGAGACUAGAAGAGGAUGCCCCCCUCUGACAUACUUGACGUGCAUGAACUCUGCCCAAAUGGAUGCCCGUUCCUCAACUUCCACCAGAGCUUACAUGAGAAAGCCUUAGCGACAUCCUCAAAUGAGCGAAACCCCAGGCCCCCUUCCUCGACCGGACGGCAAACCUUAUCCCAAGCCGCCCAGUGGGUCCGUUUGCUUUCAAUAGAGGUAUCCCACAAAAAAGCAUUUAGGCCGAGUGUGCAACUCGUAUCAUAUCCUACUUCUAUUUAUUUGUGCAUUUCCGUAUUGUGUUUUAAGUUAUUACAAAAAAAAAAGUCACUAACCUUAUUACUCCCAAAAUUUGCAAGACAAUGGCACAAUCAUCAAGCUGACUCUAAUUUUUUGAUCAAAAACAUUUUUUACACAAAAUGAAAAACGAUGAAUACACUAAUUGGACAAAGACGUCAGCGAUAUUGAACUAUAAAAUUGGUUCAAAAAAUUUUUUUGUCUUCUUUUGCUAAGAAAUUAUUUUUUUUGCUAUUCUUAUAAAAAAAAACAGUUUAAUUUAUACCCUCAUCGGCCCUACACGUGAAGAAAAAGCAAAUCAUUGUUUUAAACCUCUUAGUUGGUCCUUGCAUCAGUUUCACUCGUAACAUUAUUCAAACGGUCAUUUAAUAGACCUAUAAUAGAAAUUAGGAAGAAUAGUCUCAUUUUGCAUAAGGUUAAAAUUAUUGGUAUCACUUUAAAAACUUAUGUCCUUUUGCAAAAAUUAUAGGGGAGAUGAAGUGUCAUUAACAAUAAGCGGUGUCUCCAUUAAUUAUGCCAUUGUCUAGUAGAAGGUUAGCUGUUAAAUAUGGCCAGAAGUUGGAAAUUUAUUUUGUUACUAUUAAACCUAUAUUAAACCACUAAUUACUUGUUUAGGUGGAUAAUUUAUGUCCAAAUUUGUAGCACAAUCUGAAAUGCAAUUGAUUCCUUAAAAUACUAGAAACUAGAACGGAUGCUCAAAACUUACUAUUUUAAGAAACUAGGGAAACUCAUCUGCCUAGAGGUUGAAGAAAAAAAUAAUUGAACUAAAAUUUGAUUAAAUAACAAAAUAAAAAAAUCAAGUUUGAGUUCCCUUUGCCCCUUGGUGGUUUCUUCAGUUUUGUUGACAUCUAUGCAGGGGCGGAGCCAGAAAAAAUUUUCAAUGGGGUCAAAAGCAACUAAAAUUUUUUAUCUACUCUUUUUCUAGUUUUUUAAGAAAAAAAAUAUUCAUCAACAAGUACAAAUGAUGCAUAUAUUUCAUGAAAAACAUAAAAAGACAAACUCAAAAUUAUUAAUGUAAUAAUUAUUUUAUUUUAAAAAGCAAAUUAAACCAUUUACAAUUACUCAUGACGAGUUUUCAUAUUUUGAUAACGGUUUACAAUAUUUUCAUUUUGAACUUCACGAAAUAUAUUUUUCUCAAUAUAAGUAACUAAACAAUUAUUUAUCGAAGUGUCUUCUAUUCUAUUUUGUAACCGAUUCUUCACUAUAUUUAUAAUUGAAAAAAUCCUUUCUACAAUAGUUGUAACAACAGGUAAAAUCAAAAGCAACUUUUAAAAGCAUAUAAACUAAUAGAUACACAAAACUCCAGGGGACAGUGGGGGGCAGUGCCCCCCAGUGUAAAUCCGCCACUGCAUCCAUGGUACAAUACUUCAACCCUUCUUGCUACACAAAUGACAAUGAAUAGUUAUCUUUUUUCUGGGAAAGUCUAAUCAAAGGCUUCUAAUGUUGUUUGAGUUGGAGGGUUAUCGUCUUUUUGGUUCACAAUAAAAGAAGCCACAUUUUUUCCACCAAAGUUUGUGAAUUAUGAGUUUAUAUAUCAUGAGUAUGUGUUGAUAAAAUUGUCGAAUAUUUGAGUUUAAUUGUAUUAAUCUAUAUUGUCCACUAUCUACAUUUCCAAUUAUGAAUUAUCUAUUCCAUUCUCAAAACACCAUAAUUUCAAGUUUCAACUUAUUUUGUUGAUUUUGGGAUUAACUCAAACGAAAACUAGAUAGUCUGAGUACGUGCGCAGUUCGUGUAAUGGCCACGUUGGUUGAGUUUCUCCAAAGUUGGACUGACUUCAUUCGAUGGAUGACCAUUUGCCAAAUCUGCCAGAUUUAUUUUAGGCACUUAAUGGAUUUAGGGUAAGCAACCGAUAGGCUAAAUGGUCAUUAAACUAUACUUCACUUUCGACUGAUGAAAAUUUCGCUGUUUAAAUUGUCCAUUUAACUGUUAAAGUUGGCUCUAAAAAUGGUUUCAUUUAGGGUUUCUGUAAACCUUAUUCAUACGCUCCAACGCCCCUAGUUAAGUUAGACUGAAGUACCUGGAGACCUCACCAUUUGCUUUCUUGCAUAAUAAAAAUUUUUCUUAUGAAUAAACUUGGGGUGGAUAAAUACUAAAUAGUAUUAAUUGCAAAUAUCCUUCUAAAAGUUGUAUUUUAACAAGACCCUCUUUUCUUGAUGCAUUAAUACAGCAUUCAAGCUAGUAUGUAAGAAGCUGUUUUGUUUUAAAGGGAAUCGGUGCAACUUAUUGAUGGCAAUUGGUGCCGUUUUGGAUCUAAGAUAGAAAAUAUGCCUUAUAGAGUUCUCCUUCCUCAAAAUUUAUUCACUUUUUGAGUUAGAAGAAAACCUCACCAAGGUCUGGAAAGCACUGUUCGAUGUGUAUGAGGAAUAUGUGGUUGCAACUGGCAGUUCAAGUGAAAAUGUAAUUGUGUCCUAUGGCAGUGCAUCUGAUGGCCGGGUUUCACGGUAGCAAAAGUCUUUGGAUUGGAACGAUUCUACUGAAUAUAUUGUAGCAGUAUAGACUUCAGCCUUCCCACAAAUCCGAAUUGUUAGAUUAUCUAGAUAAGCCUCAUCAUCUAAUUGGCUCAGAUCCAAGUUCAUUUGACUCCUUAUAGUGGUGGAAAGUCAAUAGCAUUACAUACCCGACUUUAUCUAAGAUGGCCUGCGAUAUCUUGGUUAUUCUGAUAACUACAAUAGCAUUUAAGAUCAUGUUUAGUGCCUGAACUAGAGUAAUUGAUUCAUAUAAAGCUGCAUUGGCUCAUCAAUCUUUCAUAUACCUCCGUUUGCACAGAUUGCACCAAAGUUCAUGUGCUGGAAUUUACGUUAUUUUGAAGGUAUCAGCAUGUCUUAUUUACUGAUUUCAUGCACAUUAUAGAGGAGUUCUGCUUCUGCGUUGAGUAAUUAUGUUUCAUGCACAUAAUUUGAUUUACACAGACUUCUGGUUUUUGAAACGAUAUAGUAUGGUGCUUGAUUCUGCCAAUUUGGAACCUGGAUGAUACAUCAUUUGAAAUAUUUGGAAAUUCACUGGUGGAUUUGUUGCUAAAUGAAAUGGUUCCGAAAAUUGAGUAAUUAUGGUUCUAGAGGACUGAGUCAUAUCAAGUGCUCAACUUGAGUCAAUCUCAAGUAAGCAAAAGUACUGUCAAUCUUGAGCUCGAGCAAACAGAUUGCUGCUCACUCAAACUCAAGUUCAAGUAGUAGUUUUUUGGGUCGAGUCAGGCUUGAACAUAGAGCUAUUAGAACUAUAAAUGCAAGAGAGGAUAAUAAUUGUUAGUAUGUGUAGAUAUAUGAUAGGAUAGUGAAUACUUAAGUGUAUUAACGAGUGAAUACUAAGUAUGUGUAUAAAUACUAAAAGCAUAUGCUAGAAAAAAUCCUUUUAAUUUUGUGGUAGGUGUUUUGCAUGCUACACACGCUAGAACAAUCGUUGUCUAUAAACCAAAUAUUCCUCAAAUGCAUUAAUUAACGCAUUGGUCAUAACAAAAGCAUUAAUUAACGCAUUGGUCAUAACAAAAGCCUUUGUUUUGGACGUUAAUUACAAUUGUUUUAGUAUAAUAAAAGUCAUAACAAAAGUCAUUGUAGUAUACUGGUGAGUAUUCCUGCCUGUCACGCGGGCGACCCGGGUUCGAUCCCCAGCAACGGUGCUAAAAAAUUUGUUUCUUUUGGAGUCGAGUAUGUGCAAUAAUAAAUAUCUAUUAGAAAAGAAUAUAAAUUUUGUAUAUAGAGUGAGUAGGGUUGAAUCCACAUGAUUAGAAAAAUUCGUUUAUUUUAGUGUUCAGAGCUUUAGGAGAUUUUUAUAUGAUUGAGGAUAAUUAAACAACUCAGAUAAAUUAAAUAAAAUAAAAACUAAAUGACAAUUUAACAAAAUUAAAUCAAUAAUGAAUAAUCUCUAGCCAAGAAAUAAUUUCGGAGACGAUUCAUGAUAGGUGCCGAACCUGUGAAAUAAUAAUUACCCACUCAAGAAAAUACAAAUUUGUAUAUAGCGUUAAGUAGGGUCGAAUCCACAUGAAAUAGUCGUAAUUCGUUUCUUUUAAAUUUCGGGACACGAGGGAGUUUUUAUAGAAAUCUCCCGUGUGUUAAUUAAUUUGCUCCAGAAAGUCCCUCCUUUUUUGUAGUUUUCUACUCCAUUCCCUGAAAUUAAGUCCAGAUACCAUAUAUAACCAAAUAUAAGUAGAUAUUAACAAUUAAAACAAUAUUUGGCAAGGACAAAGGGGGAAAUUAACAAUAAAAUUACUAACAAUUAACACCCUAUCAAUUCCCCCCACACCUGAACCAUGCUUGCCCUCAAGCAUGAGAACAGCAAUUGAACACCAAAAUUUUGCAAUGGCUGUUGCUCCAACUACCGUAUUGCCAAGAUACCCAGGAAAACAUAUAUCAAGUAUCAUAGGUCAAGAUCAAAGAAAAAUCACCCCGGUUAGCUUCACAACCCCCAACUCCUCCAAUUGAAAGCAAACUAUUCUAAGAAAAAGGAAUGGUUGCUCACAUUUAUCAGCAAAUGGUCCAACUAUUAGCCAAAAUCUUACAUUAAACCCAUAAAUCGGCAAACUGACUUUUAUCACAUUUUCUAUUUUUUUCUUUUUGUUUUUUUUCAAUAGUAAAUGAAGACUUAAUCUCUAGCCAUUGGAGCCUUUUGACGCGAACUCCAACAUUUGUCAGAUGAAAGAGCCCGGUUACUCAACUCCUAUCGCUAUAUGAUCACGUAUUCAUAGAGAUUACUACCUUUUGACGCGAGAAUCGACACUUUAGGUGAAGAUCCUCAGUUACUCAAUAGUAACCACUAGCGAAAUACAGUCAACUCUUAUUUACAAUCAUAUAACACAAUAACUAAAAACAACACAAAAUUAACAGCAGCCAGCCUCAAAUUUUCAAACAUGGAGAACUAAAAUUAAUAAUUGGACCAAUUCACAUGAAAAAUGCCAACAAUCAUUCCUUAUACCUAGAAAAGUUAACCAAAAAUUAGAAAAAUCAAGCAAUUACUGAUAUUCACCAAAGAGACGUUCCUGAACUCAACCACAUUAACUUGAUACCCUUUUUUUUUACUAAAACUUGGCAAUAGCAGAAUUAGAGAUAACAAUCCAGCAUCAAAACUUGGUAUUCAUAUAAGAACUAAUCACUAGAAAAUAAAAUAAAAUAAAAUAAAUGAAAGAUAGACGAAAACAAGCUAAAAAUAAAGGAAAACCCUCUAGAAACUAAAAAUUGGAAAAACUAGCACUACAAUUGAUCCCCCCACACCUAAAUGACACAUUGCUCUCAAUGUGACUAACCAACAGCAAAAGUAAAGAGAAAGACAACGGUACUUCCCUGAAGUUGUCAAAACAGUGGAGCUUCAGGUGAAAACUGAGGAGCAAGGCCUGCAUAGUGCAUAAAUGCUGCCAAAUCUGCGUUGUGUUAUGUAAGUUGACGUCAAUGUGGGUCACUUGAGUCUCCAGUCGUUCAAUCGUCAUCCGGAGUUGAAGCCAGUCGUCAGCCCCUGGGGUAGGAUCGGAGGUAGACGGGCCGAAAUCACCGCCAUCAGCGGAGGAGCGGGCAAAAGAUGACCGAGGGGGGGUGCGAAGUGGCCCAGGGAAACAACCUCCCACCCGUUGUCACCUUCCCGAACCAACCCUAUUUUCUCUAGACAUGGAAUGUCCAAGGGCUCCAUUUGACAGACGACAUGCAAAUCAUGAUUAGAAAGAUCAAGUACAUGCAAAAUAACAACCAAAUGAAUAAUGUAUGACCCAAGAAUCAGGAACACUUCUUUUUAGGUAAAACAGAUUUGAACUGAGAAGCGAGCCAGCACCCCAAGUUAAAUUUAAUGUUAUUAUGCAUGCACCAAAUAAAGAAAAAUUGCGGCUUAGACAAAAACGCCCCACCUAUCUCGCCUACCCGAGAAACUAUAUGCCAAGAAACUGUGGAUAUAACGAGACGCGGGGUCCUUUAGAUAGCAACUCUUAGACAAACGAGGGUCAUAAUUAGCACGGUCGACAGACAUAUUCUCCCAAAUAUGUCAAUAGCGGGAGAAAAAGGGCUGUACAUAGUCACAUGCACUCUCGACAUACUCACGAGAGUCGGCAUAUGCCUGAUUAAUAAAACUAAGAGCAAGAUUGAAAUCAAUAAUGGAAUGGUGGAACUCUUGACCCAUUAGUCUAAAACGGAUGACAUUGGGAGUAGAAACUGUGCAACCCGUGGGGAGGUCGAACUCGAAUGUGGCAUAGAACUCCCUAAUCAACUCGACAAAAGUUGGAUGGUCAACAAUAUAAGUAUAGGGAUGCCACCCAAUGGCCUGGAUCAAGCGAUCAAAGUCAACCCUAAUAUUUAGAAGGCCCAAGGUGGCGGCGUCUCGAUAUCGGCAGGGGGUAAUCCGCCGUUCAUAACAAGCAGCAUAUCGCUGCUUGUCGGCGGCCCUAGUGAAGUUCAAAUUACUCCCAAAAUGUGAGGGUCAGAAAUAUGGACGUGGGGGAGGCUGUGAGUGUCUAGGUGUCCUAGACCUAGAAGCGGAUCUCGACCUCACCAUGGUAACUAGCAGGCAGCCCAAACAGCAAAAGACAGAAUAACCGGCAAAUUGGAAUCAAUAAUAAUGGAAGAACCACUGGUGUUGUCCCCUGUAUGCAACCCAAACAAUAGACAUCACAAUUCAGGCACCCAAAAGCUAUAAAAAUACCCCAACAAUACAGCAAAGUCAAACAAUAAGCACUGGUGUCCCAAGCUUAGCCAAAUGCAGAAUCAAUGAACCCCAAAGUGCAACAAAUGCUCCCAAGAACUCAGUAAUUGAAAUAAAAAAGACACAAUACCCCCAAACAAGGCAAUCUAAGGCAACCUACUUCAACAAGCAAAUUUAAGCGUAUAGGCACCUCCCAAUUUAACAAACAACCGCAGCAGAUUACCCACAAUUAGACACAAAUUACAGCAAAUUAGACACAAUUGGACCAAAAAUUGUAACAACUGUCUCCAAUUGGACAGUCAAUUAUCCAAUUCAACAUGCUAAAAUUAGCAAUUGACCCAAGAAAAUGGCAACUCCAGCAGCCACAGUUCAGAAUGCGGACUGAAACAACUCAAGCACAAAUGUUUAGUAGUCAAUUAAGCAACCAAUAACAUAAGAGGGAUAAAUUUUAUACACACUAUCACAACCAGUACCACUGGUGUGCCCCACAGAAAAUGGAACAACUCGAACUUCCAAGCAAAUCAACAAAAUCUCAAACUAGUCACCCACGGUCGAGAUAAAAGGUCUAAGCAAACGCACAAUUUGAAUCAAUAAGCAGACUAUCUCCAACAGGUCAAUUAAAUUGACCCAAAAGCUGUAAGUAAAGAAAAUGUCAUCCACACAAAUUAUGGCUCACAAAUAACAUCAAUUUACUCAAUUAGAAAGUAGCAAAAGGGCUUCAGUAAAAACGAAAAGUGACCCACGCACUUGAGAGUGCAAAAUCGUAAUCAAGGGUUGAAGAGAAUGUGUACCGACGCCCCAAGUGUGAAGGUGGCACUGCCGGGUGGUUGUCGUGAGAGUGGAGGUAUAGCGGUGGCGUGAGCUGGCGGAAGUGAGGGAAGCACGCGACUGCUUGGUGGAGUAAGGAUGCCUGUGGGAGCGUUUGGGAAGAUGGACUGCGGCCGAGCGCGAGGGGGCAACUGCUGGAGUGAGGCGUGGCUGCUUGGACUGGGCUAGAGGCGCGCGUGGACAGCGGCGUGCAUACAGGAGGUGGUGGCGACGGCUGAAGCUAGGUGGAGAGGAAAAGGGGAAUGGCGGGGAGCUCUGCGGCUGCUAGUGGCUCUCAAGGGCAACACUCGAUGGCGGUGGACGGCGUGAGCUGAUGGUGAGCGAGGAAGAAGAGAGAGUGCGAGGAGUGAGAUGGGGAGGUUGGCAGCGCUGGAGGAGCGGUAGACUGGAAGUGUAACGUGCAAAGUGGAGGUGAGAGGUGGUGAAGGAGGCGGCGGUCGCCGCUGGCGGCACGCGGUGCUACACGCUCGGGGCCGCGCGAGGUUGGAGAGGGAUGGAGAGGUUGGCGGUGCCCAGCUGGGAGAAGAGAUCAGAGAAGAGGGAACUCGGGACGGCGGCGGCGUGCGAUGGAGUAGUGGCGGCCGAAGAAGAAAAUAAGCAAAAAGAGGAACAAGGCAACGGGAAAGAAGAGAAAGAAAAAAGAAAGAAAGAAAGAAAAGAAAGAAAGAAAGAAAAAGAAAAAAGAAAAAAAAUAGUUUUUGGGUUUUUUUUCUUCUCUUUUUUUUUUCUGAUUGCAAACUCAAAUUUCAAAAUUUGAAUUGUGAAAACCAAAACUGAAGGUGUAAAAUGGAAAAUAUUUUUAUUUAUUUAAUUUUUUUUUGAUAUUUUCUUUAUUUUUGGGUUGUCAAAUACAGCAUGGGCCCGCCAAGAUUAUAAAACGUCCACUAACCUCAGGAGUCACUAACAUAGCGUAGGCACGCCAAGAUUGCAUUUCCUGCCAAUGUUGCGAGAUGAUGAGAUUUGACCAAUAUGGCGCGAACACGCCAAAAUUGGUAAACGUCUACUGAUCUCAGGAAUCACUAACAUAGCGUGGGCAUGCCAAGAUUGCGCUUCCUGGUCACAGUAAAGGAAAAUAUCAAGAUCGACUUCUACCCAAAUGAGAAACAACAAAACGAAAGAAUUGAACAAUAAAAAAUAAUAAAACCAAUAUUUGGAUUGCCUCCCAAAAAGCGUCUUUCUUUAACAUCUUUGGCUAGACGUUAAACACCACUCUUCAAUCUGGAUGUAAUUCAAUUUUUCUUGUAAUCGACGGUCCUCCUCUAGGAUCCAAAUAGCCAUUGAGUGCAGCCUUCUUUCUAAAUUUUCUAUUCAUUUUCACCUCAUAAAUUGCUUUCAUCCUCUGAUAUUUGUUCGCAGGAACUUUGAAUUUACCCCUAAAAUCAAACUCAGAAAAUUCUUGCAUAGAGAGAUUAGUAGCAUGAAUAGCAAACACAGAAUGAGAGUUAACAGGAUGUUUUAUUGUAUUAAAAAUAUUGAAGUGGACUAUUUCUCCAUCGAAUUUCAUUGUGAGAGUACCCUUACAAACAUCAAUCUUAGUUUGGCCAGUAUUCAAGAAUGGUCUUCUUAAUAUAAUGGGUGAUGGAUUUGGAGCACUUUCAUCAUCCAUGUAAAGCACAUAAAAAUCAGCAGGAAAAAUUAAUCCAUCUACUUGCACUAAAACAUCCUCAAUUACCCUAUCCGGAUAAGUAAAUGUACGAUCAGUCAAUUGAAUUAUUAUCCUUGUUUCUUUUAAAUGUCCUAAAUUUAGGGAAUCAUAAACUGAUUUAGGCAUCACAUUAAUAGAAGUCCCUAAAUCUAGCAUGAUAUUUUUGAUAUUGGAACGUCCAAUCUUAUAGGGGAUAGUAAAUAUAUCUGGAUCUCCGCAUUUAGGUGGUAGUUUUCUUUGUAAAAUCGUUGAAACGUUCUCACCUACCACAAUAUGCUCAUCCUCCCUCAACUUCUUCUUGUUGACGCACAAAUUUUUCAAGAAUUUAGCGUAUUUCGGCACUUGUUUGAUCGCGUCCAACAAAGGGAUAUUGAUUGCCACCUUUCGAAACACCUCUAGAAUCUCUUUUUCCUUAUCUUGCUUUUUCGGUUUCUCCAACCUGUUAGGAAAAGGUGGUGGAUUAGUCUUAACUGUAAUGAAUGGGUCCGGGAGUACCUUCGGAUCCUUGUUGCUUCUGCCCUCCUCUUCAAGCUCUUUCUCAAUUCGUUCCUCGUUCUUGUCCUUAGGAAUCACAAGUUCGGGUCCUUGGAUUUCCUUUCCACUUCUCAAGGUCAUUGCGCUUACAUUCUUCGAAUUCAACUCAGGUUGAGAUGGCAACUUCCCUUGAACUUGGGACUCCAAAUGGUUGAUCGUGAUGGCCAUUUGAUUUAUUUGAGUUUGCAAUGAUUGCACUUGUCCCAGUUGAUUCCUCAUGCUUUGCAGGUCUGAAUCCGUCUUCUGUUGAUUCGUAAGUAAUUGUUUCAUCAUCUCUUCCAUGGACGGACUUGAGUUCGAAGGGAGUGGUGGUGGGCAAGGGUGGUACCGCUGCUGGUACCCUUGCUGCCUAUUUCGUAUGAAGUUGGACUGCCUGUUCCCUCCAUAGCUGAGGUUGGGAUGAUCUCUCUAACCAGGAUUGUAGGUGCUUGAGUAAGGGUCGUACUGCUUUCUUGGCACGAGCGCGUGGCUAGCCAUGUUCACCUGUUUUUUGCAGUUUCUUCCUGAACCAGUGGACACAUCUCCAUAGAAUGAUCCACGGCUGUGCAUACCCCCACAUACUUUGGCUUGUGAGGCACUUCCCACAGCUAGUUGUCGCACGAAAAACGUCAAUUCGGAGAAUUGAUGUUGGAUAAAGGAUAUUUCUACCUCAUUCACCUUAUGGGUCGGGAUAUUCUCUCUUGAACCAAACUAUUAUGAAUUUUCAGUCAUCCCCUCAAUCAACUCUCAUGCUGCCCGAGGAGUCUUGUUCACUAACGCCUCUCCACUUGCAGUAUCAAUUAUGCUCCUGUCCCUGAAGAAUAGCCCCUCAUAGAAAUAUUGGAUGAGCAGUUACUCAUUUAUCUGAUGUUAAGGGCAUUUUAUGCAUAACUUCUUAAAUGCACAACUUCUUAAACCUCUCCUAGUACUCAUAGAGAGACUCGCCUGGGUGUUGUUUGAUACCACAUAUCUCUUUCCUUAGGCUUGCAGCUCGAGACGCUAGAAAGUACUUGUCCAAGAAUUUUUUCUUUAGCUGAUCCCACGUGGUGAUACUACCUGGUGGUAGAUAGUACAACCAGUCUUUCGCGGAAUCUUUCAAGGAGAGAGGGAAUGCCCUCAUUUUUAUCUGCUCAUCUGUGAUUCACGGGGAUUUCAUACUAUUGCACACGACAUCAAACUCCUGCAAAUGCUUAUAAGGCUCCUUACCUGAUAGACCAUGGAAAGAUGGCAAAAGAUGAAUUAGACCAGAUUUUAGUUUAAAGGGAGUGUUAUUAUUCAAAUUUGGGAAAGUAAUGCAUAAAGGUUGCUGAUUUAAAUUAGGAAACCAACUUCCUUAGUAUUUAUACAUUCGCCAUGGUGACUUCCUCUUGGUCAGAAUCACUUGAGUUAUCACCACGCAAAUUCGUCAACUCAACCUCCGGAUCAAGUCCUUGAGAUGCAACACUAGACUGCUCCUCUCUGAUCUGUCUAGUUUUUUUUCUCGUUCUACGCGCGGUCUUUUCUAUUUUAGGAUCGAAAAUUAAUUCGCUUGUACGAGAAAAAUGAGGCAUAAACUAGAAAAAUACCAGAAAAUUAGAACAAAAUUGAAAUUAAAAAGAAACAAAUAAUUAACGUCAGUCCCCGACAAUGGCGCCAAAAAUUAACAGGUACCAAACCUGUACAAUAAUAAUUACCUACUAAAAAAAAUACAAAUUUGUAUAUAGCGGUGAGUAGGGUCGAAUCCACAAGGAUUAGGGGUAAUUCAUUUCUUUUCAAGUUCGAGACGCGGGGGAGUUUUUAUAAAAGUCUCCCAUGUGUGAAUUAAUUUGCUCCAGAAAGUCCCUCCUUUUUUUUUUAUAGUUUUCUACUCCAUUUCUUGAAAUUAAAUCCAGAUACCAUAUAUAACCAAAUAUAAGUAGAUAUUAAUAAUUAAAAGGGUUAAAAACAAAAAAGCCCCCUGUGCUAAACCUAAUAUACAAAUAAGCCCCAUAUGGUUUCAAAAUAUACAACGCGACAUCUCGUGUUUUGAACUAAAUUGUAACCGUGACGAAAAUCGGUAAAAUUAACGGGACUGAUGUACUGGAAGCUAAAAGCAAAUUCUUUAUAUUUAAUUUUUAGCAAAUAUUCCUAUUGUAUCCCUUAGCCCCCAAUAAAACUCCCUCCCAGCGAUGCUUGUAUACAGAAUCGAUUUCUACUUGAUUGAGAGAAAUUGAACUAGCUUUUGGGAGAAAUCAAAUUACCACGCAGGAGGUUUGAAAGGUAAAGUCAUUCUCCAGAUACGAAGUCAACCUACGAGGAACUACUACACAAUCUUGGCUAAGGUAAAAGGAUUUGAUUUUUGGUUUUGGCUAACAGAUCCUACUCAACACCCCUAAUCAGCAAAAAUUUCCUAUCACAAAUGGAAAUUUCAGAAAUUAUUUGCGUCACCUAGUCAACACCCAAAUAUCAACAAAAAUCUCGGCUUUAAAUCCAAACUUGCAGUCCCAAAUCAGCAAAAAUCUCCCAUUAGAAAUGGACAUUUCAGAAAUUAUUUGCAUGACUCCUAGUUCCAACACCCAAAAAUAAAAAAAAAAUCUCAGCUUCAAAACUAAAGUCGUAGUCCCAAAACAGCAAAAAUCUUCAUUUUAAAUCCAAAGUACCAGUCUCAAAACUCACAAAAUCAGGAAUUUUCUAAGGUAAACACCCAAAUAUUGCAGAUCAAACAAAUGCCAAUCAUUACCAUUCCAGUAGUCAAUCACCUUAGGUGAAAGAUGUUCUUCUGGGAUUUCUGGUACGAUACUAGCUAGAGGUGAAUCCGUAAGCCAGGUAUCUAACCAAAAGUGAAUGGAUUUCCCAUUACCCACUCUCCAACAAACUCCCUCAUCCAAAAUAGCAGCCGUGCUCCAUAUACCUCUCCACAGAUGGGAAGCAUUUGAUUUACACGAGAAAGCGUUGCUACCAUAUUUACUGUAAAGGAUUUGCUGCCAAAGACCAUCGUCAUGUUUCAACAAAUUCCACCCAAGUUUGCUGAGGGUUGCUUCAUUGAGAAGUGAAAGAUUUCUAAUACCCAGGCCACCACACUCUUUCGGCAAGCAAACCUGAUCCCAAGCUUUCGCCAUCUUUUUCCCCCCCCACAAAAAGCGUCUAUUGCAGCAAAGAAGAUGAGACCGUUUGGUUGGGCUUUACUUCCUCUCUCUCGCUCUCGCUUUCCCUCUCUCUCUCUCUCUCUCUUCGUAGGGUUUGAAGGGAAGAAAUGAGUCCGUUCAAUUGCCUUUUGGGUAUUAUACAAGGGCAUUUUGGUCCUUUUAUCAGUUCCCGUUAAUUUUACCAAUUUCCAUCACGGUUACAACUUAGUUCAAAGUACGAGGUGUCGCGUUGUAUAUUUUGAAACCAUAAGGGGCUUAUUUGUAUAUUAGAUUUAGCACAGGGGAUUUUUUUGUUUUUAACCCUAAUUAAAAUAAUGUUUGGCAGGGACAAAUGGGAAAAUUAAUAAUAAAAUUACUAACAAUUAACACCCUAUCAAUUCACUCAAUUAAUUAUCGAUGCAAUGAUAAUUUCAUUUAUUCACUGAUAAACAAGUUAUAACUGCCAAACAUGCGAUAACAAUCAACUUUUUCUUACUGUAUUGGUGAUUAAGGUAUGACCUUAAUCACUUCCCUAAUCAAGAAAUAACCUUAGGCACAAACAUAAAAUUUAAUUUUUCAAUUACUUUAAGAAUUAAAGAAGCCCUGUUCUAACCAAAUAACACGCUAUGAGGGUUAUUUUAAGUUAGCCCAUAAGUUCUUCUGACACAAAUCCAAUCAUGUUAGUUACCACUAAUUUAAAGUAAUUAAAUAAUUAUGAAUUUAACUGCUCUAACUGAUUUUAGGUUAUUAGAUUAAAUUAACUAUUGAGUGUCCUUAAUAUUCAAAUAAAAUAAUAACCAUAAGACAUUAAAUCAGAGAACAUAAAUUGCAGAUUUAUUAUAAAAUAAAGAGAGUACAAAACCUAAGAAAUAAUUCCAAGGCCAAAAAGGCACCGAAAACUAAAAACACAAAAAAGUUUAAAUAGCAUAAAAUGUUUUGUUGAAAAUCUAGAAUAUCUUUUUCUAUGUAUAUCCCAUGAUUUCUGCUAUAUCCCAUGAUUUCUGCUCUAUUUUAGGAUAGAAUAAUUUACUCCUAAUGUAUUUUAGGAUAGAAUAAAUUAGCUCCUAAUUUUUAGGAAAUUAUAGAUUUCAUGGAAUUGACAAAAGUCAAAUUCCAUUUGUAUAAAUGUUGUACAUAGUCUAGAACAAAAGAUAUAACAGAACAAUUCAGUUUUUCUUUUUGUUCAUGGUAUCAGAGCUUUUGCUCUUGGGACCUCUUCUUGUCAGCCUUCAUUGCUGAGUGUUUUCCUCUCUUCAAGUCUUUAUUGCCAAGUGCAAUUUCCAGCCUUCAUUGCUGAUUUUUUUCAUUAGGCCUUCAUUGCAAAUUUUUCUUUGAAACCUCCAACAUGUCUAAAACUGAAACAUCAGAAAUCCACUCCAAUACCAAAUCAGAAGAGACCUCAAAUAUUCCACAAACAGGGGAUUUGCAGAGUAUCCAGGCAGCCUACAGGCUCAAUGGAAAAAACUAUUUGAAGUGGUCACAAUUUGUUCAAACAUUUCUCAAAGGAAAGGGAAAAAUCAGCCACUUGCUUGGAACUGGACCGAAAAAGGGAGAUCCUAAAUUUGCUGCUUGGGAUGAAGAGGAUUCUAUGGUCAUGUCAUGGCUGUGGAACUCCAUGUUACCUGAAAUAAGCGAUACUUGUAUGUUCCUACCAACAACUCAAGACAUAUGGACUACUAUUCGACAGACCUAUUCAAAGGCAGGAGAUGCUGCCCUAAUCUAUGAGAUCAAAACAAAGAUCUCAGCCACUAAACAGGGCAACCUUUCUGUUACUCAAUAUGCCAACCUUCUGCAAAAUCUAUGGCAGGAACUGGACCAAUAUCGGUGUGUUCAGAUGUUGUGUAGUGAAGAUGCAGCCACCUUGAAAAACUUUAUCGAAAAGGAUAGAGUUUAUGACUUCCUUGCAGGUCUGAAUGUGGAAUUUGAUCAGGUCAGAGUCCAGAUAUUGGGGAAGGAAAGAUUAUCAUCUCUGAAUGAGACAAUAUCAUUGAUUCGAGCUGAAGAGAAUAGGCGAGAAGUCAUGUUAGAGCCUAAAACAUUAGAAGGCUCGGCAAUGAUUUCUACAAAGUCAAAUAAAGACACAAUUUGGUGCACGUACUGCAAAAAAUCACGCCAUACGCGAGAUGAUUGCUUCAAACUCCAUGGGAAGGAACAAGUCCUUAGUCGUAAAGGAGGAUUCAAAGGGGGAAAAGCCCACUUAACUGCUGGAGAAGACCAAACACAAGAAAAAUCCAACCAGGCUGGUAUGGGAGAAUUCAAGAAAGAAGAAAUCGAAAAGCUAAGAAACCUCCUAAAUUCCCUUGAAAAGUCCUCUAGUACGUGUUCAUUGGCUCAAUCAGGUAAGUACCUUAACUCUUAUGCUUUAAGUGCCUCAAGCAUGUCUUCUCUAGGCUCUUGGGUCAUCGAUUCAGGAGCUACUGACCAUAUGACUCACAGCCCAAUCAGAUUUAGAACAUACAACCCAUGUCCUGGAAAUAGAAAAAUUACUGUUGCGGAUGGAUCUCCUAUAACUGUUGCAGGCCAAGGGACAGUAAAUCUAUCAAAUUCUUUAUCCCUAAAUAAUGUGUUGCAUGUCCCAAAAUUGUCCUCCAAUCUCAUAUCCAUCCAUCAAAUUACCAAAGAUCUGAACUGUAGAGUAAUUUUCUAUUCUACUCACUGUGUUUUUCAGGAUUUGGUUACGGGGAGGACGAUUGGACUUGCUAAGGUGAAUGACGGGCUUUAUUACCUUGAGGAGAUGAGUGGCAACAAGAAGAACAAAAAUCAGUUAUCCCUCACCUGCUCCUCAAAUAAUAAAUCUGAAAUUUGGCUUCAUCAUUUCCGUCUUGGUCAUCCAUCUUUUAUUCUACUUAAAAGCAUGUUUCCUUCACUUUUCAAGAAUGAAGAUGUUAGUAGUUUUCAUUGUGAUACAUGUGAAAUUGCUAAACAUCAUAGACUAUCAUUUCCAUUGAGUAAUACAAGAUCUACUAGACCUUUCUCUUUGAUACAUACUGAUAUUUGGGGGCCUUGUAGAAUUUCUAGUAUUUCUGGAGCAAAAUGGUUUGUCACAUUCAUUGAUGAUUGUACUAGAACUACUUGGUUAUUUCUUAUGAAAGAAAAAUCAGAAGUAAGCAGUAUUUUUCCAAUGUUUCAUAAAAUGAUUUGUACACAAUUUGGAAGUUUGAUUAAAAGAGUAAGAUCUGAUAAUGCAAGAGACUAUUUUAAUCAAAUUCUCUCAUCUUUUUUCCAAAAAGAGGGUAUAAUACAUGAGUCAUCUUGUGUAGAUACACCCCAACAAAAUGGGAUUGCUGAACGAAAAAAUAGACAUUUACUCAAUGUGACUCGAGCAAUUUUGUUUCAACAUAAAGUUCCAAAAACUUUUUGGGGGGAGGCUGUUUUAACUGCUGCACAUUUGAUAAAUAGAGUACCUUCAAAAGUACUAAAUAAUCAAAGUCCCAUUGCUGCUCUUUCUGUUUUUUACCCUGAUUUUAAUGUCUCUUGCACAUUGUCACCAAAAGUGUUUGGUUGUGUUGCUUUUGUACAUGUUCAUGCACACCAAAGAGGGAAACUUGAUCCAAGAGCUUUAAAAUGUAUUUUUGUGGGAUACUCAAACACAAAGAAAGGAUAUAAGUGUUAUCAUCCUCCUUCAAAAAAAUUUUUUACCUCCAUGGAUGUCACAUUUGUUGAAAAUGAACCUUACUCUCAAAGUAACAAUCCUCAUCCCCAGGGGGAGAGUUCUUGGGAAGAUAAGGAAUUUCUCCUUGAUCUUCAAAGUCCUACACUAAACUUAAAGUCUUUCAAGCCUGACCAUACACCAAAUUCUAAAGGAGAACAUACUAGCAGUGAACCUGAACCUGAAUUUGAAGUUGAACAUGCCAGUAAAGAAAUUGAACCUGAUCUUGGAGCUGAGGGAAAAUCUGGUUUAAAUCCAACUACACCACUCAAGGUCUACUCAAGGAAGAAAGUUCAUAUUUCUGAACCUGUGCAAAUCCAAGAGUCUGAACCACAAUCAGGUACUGAAAAUUCUGUUCCUUUGUGUGUUCAAUCUGACUCUGCUCCUUGUGAAUUUAAUGAUUUAGACCUGCCUAUUGCUGUUCGAAAAGGAACACGAGCAUGCACUAAGCAUCCAAUCUCAAAUUUCGUAUCUUUCCAUAGACUCUCUCCACAACAUAAAACUUUCCUUACCACCAUCAACUCCAUUUCAAUCCCACAAACACUACAAGAGGCACUUAGAAAUAAGAACUGGUUACAUGCUAUGAAAGAGGAGAUGAAUGCCCUAGAGAGAAAUAAGACUUGAAAAAUUGUAAACCUGCCCAAAGGAAAGAAAACAGUGGGGUGUAAAUGGGUGUUUACUUUGAAAUAUAGAGCUGAUGGUUCAUUAGAAAGGCAUAAAGCACGGUUGGUCGCAAAAGGAUAUACACAGACAUAUGGGAUAGAUUACCAAGAGACCUUUGCACCCGUUGCAAAAAUGAAUACUGUGCGUGUUCUUUUGUCUUUAGCCGCUAACUUUGGUUGGUGUUUACAGCAAUUUGAUGUGAAGAAUGCAUUCUUACAUGGGGAUUUAGAAGAAGAGGUGUACAUGGAACCUCCACCGGGUUUCAAUGAAAUGUUUUUUGAAAAGAAAGUGUGCAGGUUAAAGAAAGCUUUAUAUGGAUUAAAACAAUCACCAAGGGCUUGGUUCGGAAGAUUUACUAAAGUGAUGUUAGCAAUGCAAUACAAACAAAGUCAAGGAGAUCAUACUUUGUUCAUAAAACAUUCAAAAGGAGGUGUUACAGCUCUACUUGUAUAUGUAGAUGACAUCAUCAUCACCGGGAAUGAUCCAAUUGAAAGAGAAACACUCAAAAAGUGCUUAGCAAAGGAGUUUGAAAUUAAAGAACUAGGGAGGUUGAAGUAUUUUUUAGGCAUUGAGGUGGCAUACUCAAGUAAAGGCAUCUUUGUUUCCCAACAAAAGUAUGUCUUAGACUUGCUUAAAGAAACAGGCAAUCUUGGAUGCAAGGCAGCAAGCACACCCAUUGAGCCUAACCUGAGAUUGAAUGAAGAGAAGGAUGAUAGCACAAUAGAUAAGGGAAGAUAUCAGCGGUUGGUUGGGAAACUGAUAUACUUGUCCCAUACAAGGCCGGACAUAGCAUUUGCUGUAAGUGUAGUAAGCCAAUUUAUGCAUGAUCCAAGAGAGAAACACUUGCAGGCUGUCAAUAGAAUUCUAUCCUACCUCAAAGGGACACCGGGUAGAGGAAUUUUGUUCAAGAAAAAUGAAGGAUUGCUCAUAGAGGCAUAUACUGAUGCUGAUUAUGCAGGUUCUGUUGUAGAUCGUAGAUCAACUUCAGGAUAUUGUACAUUUCUUGGUGGGAACCUAGUGACAUGGAGGAGUAAGAAGCAAUCGGUUGUUGCAAGAUCAAGUGCUGAAGCAGAGUUUAGAGCUAUGGCUCAUGGAGUUUGUGAAUUGCUAUGGCUCAAAAUAAUACUUGAUGAUCUUAAAAUCAAGAGCGAAGGACCUAUGAAACUCUAUUGCGACAACAAGUCUGCCAUCAACAUUGCACACAAUCCAGUGCAACAUGAUCGCACAAAGCACAUCGAAGUUGAUAGACAUUUUAUUAAAGAAAAGCUGGACAGUGGCAUGAUUUGCACUCCAUAUGUAGCAUCAAAUAAUCAAUUGGCAGAUGUCUUAACUAAGGGAAUGCCAACUUCCAACUUUGAAGACAUUACAUGCAAGAUGGGAAUGGAAAAUAUCUAUUCACCAUCUUGAGGGGGAGUGUUGAAAAUCUAGAAUAUCUUUUUCUAUGUAUAUCCCAUGAUCUCUGCUAUAUCCCAUGAUUUCUGCUAUAUCCCAUGAUUUCUGCUCUAUUUUAGGAUAGAAUAAUUUACUCCUAAUGUAUUUUAGGAUAGAAUAAAUUAGCUCCUAAUUUUUAGGAAAUUACAGAUUUCAUGGAAUUGACAAAAGUCAAAUUUCAUUUGUAUAAAUGUUGUACAGAGUCUAGAACAAAAGAUAUGACAGAACAAUUCAAUUUUUCUUUUUGUCAUGCUUAACAGUCCAAAGGCCCAUUAAUUUGCUCUUUUGGUUUGAUGCUUAAUUAAAAUUCCUCUCAAAUUACGGUGUAGGUCUCCUAAAACUCUUUUGGACUGGUGCCCUUAGUACAUUUAAACUCAUUUAACCUCUACUAUAUUCAUAACCACCAUGAGAAAAGACUUCUAUGUAAAAUUUUCGAUGUAGGAUGUAAAGACAAACUCAUUAAAUCUCUACCUUGACGUGUAUCCAAUAUCGACAAAUAGCAGACAAAUAACAAACAAACUCCACCUUCUCCAGAAAAAAUUUAACGGAUUCCAACGAACCAUGAUAGUCCAAACAAAUCCCAACAAGCCACCAACAAACCAAGAUGAAAAAGGGUCAACAGGUCCCGAUGAGUCAAAACUCAUAAAAAAUUCAAUAUAUCCCGACGGGUUAAAAUAGCAAAUAUAGUAAUCUUGCUCCACCUUCUUCAUAAAACUCUCAACGAAUUCCAACGGGCCAAAAUAGCUCUUCUUUAAACCAUAACUAAACUCCAACGAAAAUUUUUCUUCACUCUAUGUAGCGCUAAAUCAAUAUCCCAGAAUUGAUAGUCUAUUAUUAUCAUCAAGAACCCAAAAUCUGAAACUCUGAUGCCAAUUUGUUAGAUUUGGUAUCAGAAAAUUGAUCAACAAGAACAAUAGAGUUCUUGGCAACCUAAUAAAGACAAUAACAAAUCAAAUAAAAUAAACAGAAAGAUACAAAAUUUUACGUAAUUAGGCCUAAUUGAUCUACAUCCAUAGGUAAAGGGGUUGCAGAUUUACUAUAAUAGAAAAAGAGUACAAAACCUAGAAAAUAAUUCCAAUGCCCAAAAGGUACCUAAAAUUGAAAACAUAAAAGAGUCUAAAAAGCAUAAAAUAACACUUGCAUAUUAAAUAGCAUAAAAUACUUAACGAUCCAAAAGCCUACUAACUUGCUUUUUUGAUUUGAUGUUUAACCAAAACUCCUCUCAAAUUGGAACAUGGGUCCCCUAAAACUUUCUUGAAUUGGUACAUACGACACUUGGAUUAGUGCCCUUAGCAUAUUUAAUCUCAUUUAAAUCCACUAUAUUUAUAACCACCACAAAAAGAGACUUUUUUUUAUAAAAUUCUCGAUAUGGGUUACAAAGACAAACUCAACAAUCUAUUCCAUUCUUAAAAUAGCAUACUUCCAACUAAUUUACUUAUUUUUGGUUGUCUCAGUAGAUAAUUAAGUGGUCUACUAUGUGCGCAAUUCGUGUAAUGGUUAUAUUUUUGGUUGAGUUGCCCACAAGUUAGUGUGGAUGUGACAAGGCUUCCUAUUUCAUUGACGGCAACUUGCCAAAUCUAAAUUGUUUGAACACACACUUUUCAAGAAUAACCCAAAUUAAUUACAUAGAGUAAUUUAAUAAAAAUGAAAAAAAUGGUGUUUUGAGAUUCACUUGCCAAUGAAUUCUAAAAUGGUUGAAUUGUCAUCAAAUAUAUAUGGAAUUGUUAAAAACGAAGUUUUAGCACCUCGAAGAUGUUGGGGCAAAGUAGUAGUGGGGGAAGUUCAGAGUGAAGACAAGAUAUUUUAAAUUCUUGAACCAGAGCAGUCUUCCUCGUUAUUCAGAUGCUCAUUCAAAGGCAAUACAAAAGGUGAUGGAUAUCUCAGGCUUAGCACAUCAUCACAUUGCAAGUCACUUGCAGGUACUAAUCUUGAUCAGCCAAUGAAAAUGCUCACAUUUCUUAUUGUUUCAUUCUUUACUUUCUUUAAUUUUAAAAAUUUUUUGGUUUUUGAAUUCCUGAGUUAAUUUCCUAUAUUUUUUUUCAGCUUGAAUUCACAAGUUGAUUAACUAAUGUAGCUGCAAAUGCUAGAAAAAGAAGAUUUUCUGUUUAUUUUGGUUUAUCUUUAGAUUUUUUUUAUAUUAUCAUUGAUUUUUGUUUAUUUGUCAGGAGUUCCCAUGUUUAACUUGCUGAAUGACACCAAUAAUAAUAAUAAUAAGAAACCUUUUAUGGCUCAACUUUGAUAAGAUUUGUUACUUGAGAAAUAUUUGAACUGUAGCAAAUUAAAUGUAGUCGCCAGCCGAGCUAUUACUAUCAUAGGACAUUAAGUAAAUUUUAUAUGCCAACAAUGUUUGGAUAAUACAUUGUUGUUCAUAUCCUGAAUUAGCCUCAAAUUUUCAUUUGUGUGAAGUUCACAUUAAUUAUUUGGUGGCUUUCCAAUUCCAAUAUUCCUGUCUCCGAAAUUUUUCUUUCCUUUUGAUAAAUUCUCCUACAUUUUUCUCUUCUUUUAUUUUGUCUUGCUAUUUUAGCUUUAGAUAUUUUAACUCGGACUCACAUACAGGAAAGAUGCAACUGAAUUUUGAAGACAAAUUUUGUUCAUUAUCAUCCCAAGCUUAAACAUGAAGAUGGGUGACAAAGUGCAAGUUAAAAUAGCAAAUUUUUCAAUUUGUUCAAAGAGGUAACAUUGGCUUAUUAGAGGUAACAUUACCGUCUAAGUUUUUGAAUUCGUUUUCAACAUUUUACGAUUGAUGCUUGCUAAAUUAAGUGCUUAAUCACUUACUCUACGUAUUCAAUCCUUCCUGUUGCAUUUGCAGGUGCAGAAGAGAAUUGUCAAAAUGAAAAAUUGAGGAAUAAAAAAGAAUGAUCUCCUAGCAAAUUUAGUCAUCACAACCGAGAGAUAAUUAAGUGUUAUUCAGUCUAAUUUCGCUUAAAAAGUAUGAGAUCUUCAAUGUCCAUGCACCAUGUAUAUCAACCAUAUACAGAUCAUGUCACCAUCACCAGCACAUAUUUUGCCCGUGGCAUCAUUGGAGUCAUUUGUUUAUACCAUGAUCGUGCAUUCACAACAUGACCAAUAUGAUCAGACUCUUCUUCUUUUAUCCAUGAUUAUGUUAUCAUCCAUUGCAUAGGAGAAUGUCCUAAAUCGAAUUAUAAAAUUUUGAAAAUUUGGCAAGAUGUGCUACCAGCAUAAAACUCAAGUGUCGAUGUAAGAUCUUAAAAAGCCACAGUAAUCACUACAUAUUCCUUAUAAACUGAUUUUUGCUUCAAGGGUUAUUCUUGCUCUUAGGGAUAUGUGUCAUAAAUUAGGUCUGAUUGUCAUAAACGAACUCUUGUGGAUUUAUGUCAUAAACUUCAUAUUGUAGGCCAAUAUCUUAAAGAAAAUUCUUGUUUAGAUCAAGAUCGUAAGAAACUAAAACUCGAGAGUAAAGGAAAGUGUUAGACCGAUUGUCUAAUUUGUCCACUAGAGAGUCCCAAAAGAAAAGGCGGAGGGGGUGCAAAAGUAGAUUUAACAAAUGUAGAACAUGUGUUUAAAAGAGAAAGAGAAAUAGGAUUAAAUUUUUCUAGUUCAAUUGUAAUUUCAUAAAGAUAAUCUAAUUUAAUUGAAACAGCCCUUCGAAUUGAAGGGGAAGGAUCUAUGGUAGGAUAUUGGGUUGACAUGGUAGUAUGGAGCCUUUCAUGGCUCAUAUAAAUACAUACUCCAACAGUAUCAAACCUAGUCUUCAAGUGCACAGUCUAGUUUACUCUUACACCUUGUACAUAUAUUGAUAAAUUGCCACAGAAGCAUAAAAUUCAGAUAAUCCCACCUGAAAUUUCCACAAAUUAUGAUGACGCAGUAGCUGAAAUAGUCAAAACUAGGAUUGCAAACGAAUCAAACCGAUCGCGAACUGCUUGAGUCUAAACUCGACUCGAGUUCGGUCAACAUCGAGUUCGAGCUGACCAAGUCGAAUUCGAGGUCAAAAAUAUUAAAUUCGUUAGCUCGUGAGUCGACUCGAACUCGAUUAUAUAUAUAUAUAUAUAUAUUUAUUUAUUUAUUUAUUUUAAUAGUAAAAUUAUAUAUAUUCCUAAUAUUUUAUUAUUUAUUAAGAAAAUUUAUUAUUUUAUUUAUUUUUUAAAAAUAAAAUAAUUAUUUUUUUUAAACUCGAACUCGAGUUUGACAUUUUGAGUUCGAACUCAAGUUCGAACUUUGUAAAAUUAUGUUGAACUUCGACUCGAUUAAGUCGAAAUUUAAUUCGAUUUGUUUGCACCCUAAUCAAGACUGUCAUUCAAUAACAAUCUAAGGCUCAGAACAACAGUUUAGAAAUAGAAUUCCUCAAAAAAGAGUGAGAGGGAAGUAAGACAGAGAGGAUAUAAAAACUCACUGUUCACAGCAUUUGCUGAUCGUACCACUAGUUAUUGUUUAUGUGCGUCUUCAAACUUUGGGUAACCAAAAAAAAUGAAGAAAGGAAAAACGCAAUUAAGCAAUGUAUAAGAAUGAGAAAAACGAAGAGAAUGUAGGAAUAAACAAAGAAGGCUCGGAGCCAACAUAAAGUUACCAUAAAUCCAAAAGAAAGGCAGGAAGACGGAAACAAACUUCAGCCUAGCUUUAUUUGAUGUUGAAGGCAUUCGGGCUGGAACCACAAAACCUAAAUAUCAUAGAAGAAGUUGCCAAGUACCGUCAGCAGGCAACAACUUGUUGGCCUUUAGGAGAACUUGAACAAUAUGCUACUACUUCAAGGCUUCCCCUAGCAGCUCAACCCUACGCUUCAUAUGGAUUCUAUUCCUUUCUGCAUUGGGUUCAUACAUCGUUUUUUUUGACACUCUCAGACUGUGAUGGACCUCUCAUCUGCACACCCAAAAUUUGAAGCUACCAUUGUAGCUGAUACUAGUGCAAAACAAGGGAGAGUGACUUUUGUUAACAAUUAACAUGUUUUCCCGUUUCAGCUCCAACUCCUUCAAGCCCUACAUGAAAAACUAACCCAAGCUAGGGCUAGAACUAAAAGUACUACUCAUAAGUUGAUUCUGAUAUGACUCAAAGUAAUCAUUAUGAAAUGUUUUAAGAUUAGAUCUGGUUGACUUCAAUGACAAUUUAACUAUUUUUUUUCCUUAUUUUCUUUUGAUUCUUUUUGGGGUUACUUUUGAAGUUCAUGCAUGCUGCUCUAAGCUUCAGAGUUCCCUAUGCCAGCAAACAAAGUGCAAGCUAUGGUUUAGUUUAGGACAACUUGUUAAUUGAAUACACACUCACUUGUUGAAGAGAUUUUAUUGAAGUUAUAUAAAUGCAAGAAGUUUUACCUACUAAGAGACAUGGUUGAAGCCAUUCAAUCUAUUUGCUCUAUGAUUCUAUGAAAUACAGACUCAGAAUUUGUAGGUCCUAAGACCUGGUAGUAUACGCCUCCAAUGCAUGUUACGAAAUUAACAAGUUACUAAACACGAUUGGUGCACGUGAUAUGUAACUUGAUAACAAGACAUGAAUUGAAAACUUUAGCUGAUCAUCUAUCAUUAAAAAAAAAAAAAAGAAUUCAACAAGGAAAUUUUCUGAAAUUAAAUCAUCUUCUAAGAUAAUCAUAGAACUGAGUUUCAAUAAUAAGUGAACUUUUAUAGUGACACCAUUUUUCUUCCUAUUUCUUUAAUUUUAUGAUGGUAUUGGUUAUCAUGAUGAUUACAGUUAAUUUAUUGAUUGAAAUCUUUGGAAUUCCAGGGAAAUGGAUUUUGUUGUGGAUUAUAUGAAGAAAAGGGAAGAUGAUGACUGUGACAGCUUGAUGGCAUUUCUUUCAACAAAAGACCUAUAUAAGAGUCUCAUCAUCUGAUAAGCAUGGAAACAUUGCUUAUUUUAUAGAUGGCAUGAACCACCAUUUGCCAUAAGCCUACACCCAACAAACAUAUUAACCAUAUCCUUGCAAUUAUUUUUACCUUCCUUCCUUUCUUUCUUUUUUUCUCCUGAUAUCUCUCAUCGAUAACUUUACUAGCUUUGAGAAACUGUGGAGGGCGCCUAUUGGGAAAGCAGAGACAAGCUGUGCAGGAAGUUGUGGAUAAAUUUUUAGCAGUGGUGAUUGGAGGAGAAGAAGAAGAAGAAGAAAAUUGUAAUCGGGUAUUUGUUUUUGUGAAAAAAUUUCCACUUUUUUAAAAUUAAAUUUACCAGAAUAACCGCUGAUUUAUGCGUUUGGCAGCUUAAUUACUGCAUGGUCCUGUGUUUGCAUGUGUAUAUAUAUAUAUGCACAGAUACACAUAAAUAAUGAAAGAAUAUGCACUGCUGUUGCACGUAUAGUAUAGAAUGCUUGAUGAUAGGAAUUUGGUCUCCACCGGCCUUGGUGACAUGCCUUCCUACGAUGAUGUGUUUUCUUGGAGCCUUGAAGACCAAAAGCAUGGUGAUUCAAGCUUGCAGCGUUGUCAUUGCCGGCAGAUGCAAGUUGCGUGCGAUCGAGGAGUUGAAGGGCAUAUUAGUUUUAAGUUAAAAAAUAACUCGAAACCCUUGGAAGUUAAAGUUGUUCUUAAACAAAAGAAAAAGAAAUUGAAGCUGUUAUAAUCAUUAACAUCAAAAGAUGCAUUCAUCACAGCCUAAUGAAUCACCUGAGAUUUAUGGCAGAAGAUGGAGCCUCCAAUUCUCUUGGGCCUAAAUUUGAUGCUUUCUAUAGGUGGGCUUCUUCUUGGACUAAUUGAGCAGCAGACCAAUGCAUUCAUUUCUUGCGCUCUUUCUCUCUUUUUAUUUAUUUUCUUGUCCAGACUUUCCUCCUUUGACUCUUCAUUCUCUCUGCCCCUUUUCCUUCCCCCUUUCAAACACAUAGCUUUGAAAGAUACAAAUUGAAAAAUAUCUUUGUGUCUAGAUAUGAUCAAACCUUGAAAGAGCUGCUAAAAUUUCAGUCUACCUUUCCAAGAUCACACCCUUCAAUCUACUUUCACCAAAAAACCCAGAAUGAUAUAUUAAGGCAAAAUGAGUUUGAUGAAACAGCCCAUCCUUUUUUCUCUGAUUUUGGUGAGUUUCUAACCGUUGAAUUUGCUCAUCAUUGUGUUUGAUAAAAAAGUUGAAUGGUAUUGGAGCUUAGUAUUGGAAUAGUUAAUUGCAUGGUAUUGGAAAAAAAAUUAACCCCUUAGAUUCAGUAUUAGUAUAAUGUUCAUAGGAAAAUCAUAUCUACUAGCUAGUAAAUGUUAGUGGGAUUAGGUUGAUGGAACAUUCAAAAACUGUGGUAUCUUUUAGCGCCAUUGCAUGGUAUUGGAAUAGUACAUUAGUCUUUUUGUGGAGCUUAGGAUUCACCAUCUAUACUAUAUGUAUAUGUAAAGGGAGAUGCGGUUUUUUGUAUAAAUAAAUUUUUGUCACUUUAUAAUUUUUUUAAAAUACUCUUACUAUUUACCUAAAAUAUGCAACUGCUAAUUAUGAUUAUAAAUUAUUUUUAAAUAACUAUUUAUUUAUACAUUUUAAUUUGGUAAAUUUUUUUAAUAUUUAUUGUCAAAACUAUAAAAUCAAUUCUUCUAAAAAUUAUGUAACUUUACUAAAAAAUUUAAUAAUAUUUUUUUAUUAGUUGCACAACACUAGUCAAUAUAAAAUUUGUGAGGUUAAAUGGUGGAGGUCACGUGAACGGCAUCUAUCAAGCAUCGGCCGCCACGUUAGACGUCAAGAUACAAGCCAACUCCACUGUCUUAUUCAUGAUAACUUAUUUUAUGAAUAUAUUUAUAGACCUGUCUGCACGGACUUCGAUUACUAAUAUUUAUUAAUUACUAUAUGGGAUAAUUUCACAUACCUUCCUCAAGAUUUUGCAUAAUUGCCAGAAACUUCCUUCAAGUUUAAAAAAUAUCAUUUACACCCCUAUGUCACCUUUAAGAUAACAAAGCAAACCCAAUGUGCUGGCCUGGAGAAAAAAAUUCCCAUGAAUAUCCUAAAGUGAUCCUCCCAUGAACAAAUUUUAGAAAAAGGAUAAAAUUUGAAGGAAUAAUAAACAAUGAUUGAGUUGUAUUUGAACUCAAAUAGCCAAAGAGCUAAAGCACUUCAUCAGCCCUCACUUCUUCUUCUUUAAAUAAAUUCCCAUGAUGAAUACCCUAAAAUAACACUCCUAUAAAUAAAUUCCAGAAAGGGAUAAAAUUUGAAGGAAUAAUAAAAUACAAGGGAUAAUAUCAGAAACCUCCCGUGAAGUUUCUUCUAAUAUCACUUGACACCCCUAAAAUUUUAAAAAUAAUCACUUACCUCUCCCAAUAAUUGUAAAAAUCUAUAUUAAACCUUACUUGAUACAUAAUUCACAUAUUAAAUAAAUGGAGCUCAAAAUUAAAAAAAGAAAGAAACAAAAAUCACUUUCUUCUCUUUCUCUUUUCUCCAACAUUUUCUCUUACUCAUUUUUAGAUGAUUAUCCAAUAUUUCAUUUGUAAAUUAUAAUAAAUUGAAUCUUAUUUAUCUUUUACUUUUCGUGAUUGUGAUAGAAUGAGAUAUGAUUUAUUUGCUUAUUUUGAGUUGAUUUUUUAUAAUGAUCGAUACAAUUUAAAGGUUUAGGCAUUAGUUGAGAAGAGGUUGAAAAAAUAUAAAGUUCAUAAGAAACCAAUUUUAAACAUAUAGAGUUAAAUUAGUGCAAGUGUAUUUCUUUGCAAAUAUAUUUUUUAUUUUUCAAAUUUAUAUUUUUGAGUUGAUUUUUUAUAAUGAUCGGUAUAGUUUAAAUGUUUAGGCACAAGUUGAGAAAAGGUUGGAAAAAAAUAAAGUUCAUAAGAAAUCAGUUUCGAACAUAUAUAGCUAAACUAGUGCAAGUGUAUUUCUUUGCAAAUAUAUUUUUUAUUUUUCAAAUUUAUAUUUUUAUGGGGUAUAGCAUUAUGAUGUGAUAGUACUACCAGAGAUUAUUUUUUAAGUGAUAAUUUUUUAAAGUAAAUAAAGUUGUAUAGGAAUAUUUUUAUUUAGCAAGUAAAAGAGUAGUUACGAAAUUUUGGACAAAAAUAUCCUUUUAUUUUAUAGCAUUACUACAUUGUUAUUAUCACUUUAUUUGUUUAGAUUGUAGUGAUAUAAUCACUUUAGUUCAUAAUAUUAUUUUCUAAGUAUUUUCCUUCAUCGUUACUCUAACUAAUAUGGUCAAAAAAUUUUAAAUAUAAUCCAUUUUUAUAUAUAAUUAAAAGUCAAAAAGUUGGAAUUGUUAUUCUUCCUUUUUUUCACUUUAAGAGAUCGGAAAACAUAAAUCUAAAAGGGUUUUCUCAAAUUUCUUUUUUUCACACUUAUUAAUACUAGGAAAAGAAAAAAAGAUAGAAAAGAAGAAGAAAGAAAAUUAGAUUUUGCAACGAAAGAAAAUAAAGAAAAGUCUAAUAUUAUCGUAUUACAUUAAGGUUGUCGGGAUUAGAAUUAAAAUUUGGUAGUAAACAGAAAAGUGAAAUAGUUUUAAAAUAAUAAAAGUAUUUAAUUCUUUCUUAUUCAUAAUUUUUAAAAAAAGAAUUGAGCUCUCUCCCUCUCCCCCACCCCCUCUCCAUCUUUCUAUUCUUUUUUUAUAUUAAUAAGAUUGUCAAGAAUUAAGAAAUUAAUACUUUAACUUUUUUUCUUGAUACUAAAAAGGAGAAGAGCCACGCUAAAUUUUUUAUUAUGCAAAGAAGAGAGUAUUUUUUUCUAAAAUUUUUAACUUGCUAAGUUGGUUUAAUGGUAGGAUAAAUUGCCUAAAAAAUAAUUCUAUGGGGUAAAUUGAUAAUAAGACUAUAGUUUAUGGGGGUAAAGUGAUAAUAAUUUUAAGGGUUAAACAUGUCUUUUCACUUUAAUUAACAAAUUUCGUUAACUUUGACCGUUAGUCUUGAGGGUAAAGUGACUAAAAGAUAACGUUAAAGGGAAAUUGAUUGUAGCACCAAACAUUAAGGGGGUAAAGUGAUAAUAACCCUUCUUUUUAAUAGUUAAGGACAUUCGACCUACUAACUGAUGUUUUUAUAGAUUAAAAAAAGUUGGUUUAGUUACUAACAACUCUUUAUCAAGCUUCCUUCGUGCCGAAAUCUUUUUGUUAACCAUUGUUGGGUCAAUGCAAAGUCUAUAUCGUUGCAGAUUGGAGCAAAGUAUGAUGACACUAAGCUGCCUUUUUUGGAUCAUUGAUACAAUGCUAAAGAUCGCAAACAGAUAAUCAUCAAAUUUUAUUUUGUAAUGACAAAGGUAAAUAAAAAUAAAUUUGGGCUGUGUGUUAUGUUAUUUUUAUGAAAUAUAAUCCAUUAGUUCUUCCUGCUUUGUCCAUGAUACUGGUAUACAUGGGACUAAUUCAAUUCAGACUACAAAUCUAGAUUACUCCAAGGUUAUGUGACAGGGCACUGAAAGAUUUAAGAAAGAAUGUCUUUUAAUCUAUUCUAUUGACAAAUGAACAUGACAAUUUAGCAACACAUGGGAAUUUGAAGAAUUCAAGAAGACGACCUUGAAGAAAAUUGAAAUAACAUUGAAGAUUGAAGAUUAGUUUUAUCCUGAGGUUUAUAUUCCAUUUGCGACUGUUUGUUUUGAGGGAAUGGUAGGGGGGGAAAAGGAAAGGAAAUGGAGAAAUAACAUUUUUUUAACGUUUGGAUUGAUUUGAGAGGAGGGAAACAAAAGGAUUGGAAAGGAAAGGGAGGUAUAAGAAUAGUUAUUUUUUAUUAGUUUGUUUUGCAUCCAAAAGUGGGCAGAAACAGAGGAAGGGAAAGUACACUAAGAUUGAUGAAAAUUUUAAAAUUUCCUAAAACACUUAUUAUGUAUUUAUAAAUUAAGCUUUUAAAUUAUGAAUAAAAUGGAAUUAAAUGUAAUAGUUUCCUUUCCUUUUGUAAUCCAAACAAGAUGCAUUGAUUUCAAUUUUCUCUAUCUUCCUUUCUUUUCUUUUCCACUAGGAUCCUUUCCUUCUCUUUCCUUCAAUCCAAGCGGUGCCCUAGGGACUAGACUGCUUGUCAUGUAAGAAAUUGAAGAAUGACUGCAAAUUAAGGCCUUGUUUGAUAACCCAAUACAGUAUUUUUAAUUAAUAGAUUCAGAUCUUAAUAUAUUCAGACCAUUUGAUAACAAAAAAUUGAACAUCUAAAUUAAUUAAGUGACACUGAAUUUUUAAGUAAAAUUUGCUCUCAAAAUUAAAUAAUAUACUAUUCACUUAUCACUGAAUAUGAUAUGCAUUCAAAUAUAUUAGAUUUAAUACUUAAUAAUUUAAUGGAUUCAGAUUCAUAUUUCAAAUUUCAGACUUCAUACUUCAAUUUUCAAACUUCAAUUUUAUUAAACUGUAAGUCAUUCAAUCAAGCGGCCCAAUAAUUGAAGAAUCAGAUUCCAACCACACUUGGGCCUGUGCUGCAUGAAGUUGGACACCACGAAAGAAGCCGAGGCAAGCAUGUGGAGAACCCGGUGGCGUUGGCGCAUGAUUCUGGGGUGAGCAGGUGGAGAGCCCGGUGGAGAGCCCAGUGGAAAAUGCCGUGGCUAUGGCUGCUCCGGUGGUGGAGGAGGUAAACGGGUGUGACAUAGGGCGUGGUUGGGGAAGUGGGUUUCUAGCUCGAAUUGUUUCCAUUUUCUAAAUUGUAUUGCUAUUUGAAUUUAUGUAAAUGAAAGCUCAUGUGAUUCUGUUUAUGCCUCGAAUUGGAGCUGGAAUUGAAAAUUUGACCCGGAGUUUUCCAAGUCAUGUCAUUUCCACUUUAUUACAAUUUGAAAGCCAAGUGAUGAUGCGUUACUAUCAUAAGCUUUAGGUACCUGUUUUACCUGAUUUUCUGAAUCGAUAAGUAAGCAGAUAUUACUCAAUCCCUGAUUUAUAAAAUGCAGCAUGAUGCGACAGCCAAAAACCAGAUCCGAGCUGAACUGUUGCGGGCCGAGCUGGUCAGGCGCAGCCGACCUGAGAGGGUGAACCGAGCUAAGGGUCCUGUAAAGAAGGGAUGAAAGCGGGACUGGCAUCCCCGGAAUAACUUCGACGGUCAAGUCAGUAAAGCUUGUCCACAGAGUAAUAGUUUAAGUACUGGUCUACGCGUACCUUGUGUAGUUUUGUAGCGUCGUAUAUAUAGGACUGAAUAGGUUGUAGUUUCCUUAUGGGAGUCAACGUCCCCUUAGGGUUCGGAGUCUUUUUAGGGCUUCGCAUGACGACUCCUGAAAGUUCGGAGGUGGCGGCCCACAAGGCCUAGUGCAGGGGCCAUUGACACAGCCGAGUUGGCUCCCUCCGGCCGAGCUGGCAUGUGCGAGCUGCGUAGUCCCUAACGCCGAACUGACUUGUGUAAUCUACCGAGCUGACACGUGUCACGCGUGGAUUUGCCCCACUACACUAGCCCCCCUUGAGUCUAGAGUCACCGAGGAGUCGCGUGAAUCUGGACCAAAUUACGAAGCGUCAGGUCGGCCUAGUGCGGGGCCCAUGAUCCCACGAUCGCGCACCUAGUUCGGAUAACCGCCACGUAUACCGUCAUAACCGCCACCUCAAAGGUCACGUCCUCCCAUGAUGGCGGUUGUCAGCUCAAACGUUUUCCAAGGUAACCGUCCCUUUGCAAUAAAUUCGAAUUUCCAACUCGGGGCUCUUCAACUUCCCGCCCAGGAGGCCUAUAAAUUGGUCCUACCAAACGUCACUUUCAAGCUUCCAUUCUCAUUCUCUCCCCUCCCCAAUUUUUUUCAGCUCGUUCCUCGCCUAGUGAGUCCACCCAAGAGUUGCGUUAAUCAUCUACCAGCCCUUCCAUAUCAUCCGCUAGUAAGUUUUCUUUCCCUUUUAUGUCUUUCUCUUCCACACAAUCAGACCUUACUAGCUCGGCACCUAGGCGUUAAGCGUAGAGUAACCUGACCUGCACUCAUAGAGACACUCUCUUCUAGCUCUUCUUCUUCCAGUUCGUCCGGGUCUGAGUACCUUCCUUCUCCAGCCCCUUCUCCAGUUUUAACCAUGGACCAGCCUGGUCAAUCUGCCUAGCCUGAGACUGGAGUUGCUGGCCCAGGGAUCCCUCUGGAGGCAGUUCCAGCUCGCGCUAGGGCUGGACCCCCUAGGGGACCCGAUAUCGACUUCGGGGAAGUCGAAAUAAUUCCCCCCAUCCUUGACCAGGAGGAUGUGGACGAGCUGGUGGGGAGGUACGAUAUUCCUCCCCAGUUCGAGGCUAGGGCAGCCCAGCCGGGAGAGUACGCGUGCCGACCUCCAUUUGAGUUCGUAGCUAUUUACAAGGAUCAACUCGUGGCUGGUCUCCGCCUUCCCAUCCCCCAAUUUCUUUAGGACAUUCUGACCUUCUGGGGUAUCUGAAUUACCCAACUCGUUCCCAAUGCCAUUCGGUCGAUCCUCGGCUUCUUCAUUUUGUGCCGAACUCUCGAAAUUCCUUAUUCUUUGGACCUGUUUAGGUCAUUUUUUCAAAUGAAGGUGAGCGGCCCGGUUCACGGCUGGUUCUACUUCGCUUGCAGGAGCGGAGGAGAGCUCCCCACCCGCGAGCUGUUCACGCAAUUGCCUUCCUCCAUCAAAGGCUGGAAGGCACAAUUCUUUUUUGUGAAGAACACUGGGUUUCCUCCCCUGACCUGGAGGGAGGAGACCCAUGUUUCUGAUCCAAUUCCCUCACCUCUGCCUGAAGCCGAGCUGGACCGCCUGGUCAGCUCGAAAGUCCGACUGAAGGUUAAAGAGUUUAACAAUGCACAGCUCUGAUCGGCGGGGCUGAUUCAAGCAGAGGUGAAUGACCCUGCCCCCGAUCUCCGACCACUUCUCCCAGAGGAGCUGACAGCUUGUAACUUCUGGGCCUCAUUUCUUUCUUCUUUUUAAUGAGUUUGGUCACACUGCCCGAGCUGACCCACUUUUUUUCCUCUGCAGUGAAAAGAUUCUCCCAACUUUUGAACAUUGGAGGAUUCGGUAGUACUAGCACGCCUACUCCCGCUCUAUCCACGGCCCCCAGCAGCACGGCUCCUUCUCCUCCGCAGUGCCCAAUCCUCCGAUCGCAGCUCAGUCGUCGCCUGGAGAAGAGCCAAAGAAGAAAAGGAAGAAGACUGCGGCCAAAAGGGCUAGGACCGAGACGACUUCCCCCCAAUCCCAGGAGGAGCCCUCAACAGCUCUUGCGACCCACUACGGAGUGAACUCCGCCGAGCAGCAGGCCUCGUCCGAGUCACCUCCAGCCAUGUGGCGUAUGAGGAACGUGAUUCCUCUGAAGCCUCCUAGCGGUCAGAGCUCGCACCUGCACCCCCAGCAUUUCUGCCCAAAGUGGGGGCUGUCGGUGAAUGACCGAGCUCAAUUUCCUGAAGCUGCCAGGGAGCUCGUCCAGGGCGCAGUGCUCCCACGCGAUCACUACUUCAUCCAGCUCGCCUCCAACUCCGAGCUGCUGGAGCAUUUUUACCUCAGUACAGCCCAGGUGAUUCCUUAACUUAGAGCCUCCCUGACAUCCCCUUUAAUUUGCUGAUUUCUUAUCCUGUAUUCGAUCUGCAGCUCAAUGUCGCUGGGGCCGAGCUGGCGCAGCGGUACGAAAACAUGGGGGUCAACCUAUCUCAGGUCGACGCCGCCAAGGAAAGGCUAUCAAACCAGCUCGAAGUCGCGGAGGCCGAGCUAGAGUCCCUGAAGAAACAACUUGCGGAUGCCAAAUCCUCCUGCGAGCUGAAAAAGAAGAAGGCACCCGAGCUGGCCGUGACUCUGGAGGCCGAGCAGAAAAGGUCUACCGAGAUGAUAGAAACGGCGAAGGCGGAAGGGCGUCAGCUAGGCGUUCAAGAGUUUAAGAAGUCCGAAAGCUUCAUGAACGACCUGGCCAUCCUGAAUGGCCCCGUCCUGCAGCUCGGCUACACCAAAGCCAUGGCGGAUGUUCAGCCCUUGAACUUGCCGGGUUUUGACCUGAGCAAAUGGCCUGAUUACAACCUCCAAGCCGUCCACCAAAUUGACAGGCUUGUCGCGGGCUACUCCAAUGGGCGCGACCUGGCUGCCUUGGUCGCCGAACCUACUCUUCCCGCAACCUCUCCCAAGCCAGAGCAAGAACAGCAAAGGGAGAGCUAGACGGAUAGUACAUAGGAUAGGCCUAUAGGAAUUAGGCUAGGGUAGGGACCGAGCUAGCCAGCUCGCUUUUGUAUGGCCCUCCGCAUGUAUAUGCCUUUUUUGAAAUGGAAUAGAUGGCCUUCUUUCUUAUCCAACACUUGUAAAAAUUCUCUAUUAUUUAAAAGCUUUGAAUACAUUAUAAGCCCAAGUGCUGAACUGAUAAAAUGAAAAGCAGACCUGUCCAAUUGACCAUUCUCAGCUCGGGCAGGAUACUAAAGAAAAAGUUUUAAAUUUGAGUUGUGCCAGGUGCGCGGGACUUCGCCUCCAUCCAGGCGAGCUAGUUUACAAUAACCUGCCCGGUCAGCUUCCCUUACCACGUAGGGACCUUCCCAAUUUGGGUCUAACUUUUCCGUGCCCACAGCUCGGCUCACGAAGUUCUUGCGUAAUACCAGAUCCCCUAGCUUGAAAGAAAGGUGCCUAACCCUGACAUUGUAGUAGCGUGCGACCUGGCCCUUAUACUUAGCCAUUCUUAUAGCCGCUUCUUCCCUUCGAUGCUCGAGCAGGUCCAAGCCAAGCCGCAUCUCUUCCUCAUUAUCCUGAGCCACAAAGUGUUGCACCCCUACCCAAGGGUACUCCAAUCUCUGCUGGGAUUACUGUCUCGACCCCGUAUGUCAGGACGAACGGGGUCUCUUGGGUGGCCGUCCGAGGCGUUGUCCGGUAAGCCCAUAGUAUGGUAGGCAGCUCCUCCAGCCAAUUAGUUCGGGCAGACUCUAUUCUUGUCUUCAGGCGUGCAGGAUGGUUCUGUUGACAUUCUCGACCUGUCCAUUGGUUUGGGGGUGCCCCACUGAAGUGAAGUGCUGCUGGAUGCCAGCUCCGUGCACCAUUCCUGGAGAGAGUGGUCAGCGAACUGCCUGCCGUUGUCCGAGACGAGAGCCCUUGGUAUGCCAAAUCGGCAGACUAUGCUUUUUCAAAGGAAUUUCUGGAUCGACCUGCUGCUAAUUGUGUUGAGGGGCUCGGCCUCUACCCACUUGGUGAAGUAAUCAAUGGCUACCACCAAGUGUUCAUAGCCACCUGGAGCUCGGGAAAAAGGCCCCAACAGGUCGAUUCCCCAUUGGAAGAAUGGCCACGGGCUACUGAGAUGAAUCAUUUCCUGAGUGGGGGUGUGAUGGAUUGGAGCGUGUAACUAGCAAGACUUACACUGAGCUACCAGCUCGGCCGAAUCUCUAAAGAUGGUGGGCCAAUAGUAUCCCGCCAGCAUUACCUUCUUGGCCAAUACUCUUGGGCCAACGUGAUUGCCGCAGAUGCCUUCAUGCAACUCGCGCAAGACAUAGCUCCCUUCUUCGGGCGUUACACACUUCAGCCAGGGUUGCAAGUAAGAUUUCCUAUAUAGGACUCCAUGCGUGAGCACGUACUUCUGCGACUUAAGGAGGAUUUUGCGGGCCUCUACCCUGCUCGGUGGGAGCUCCCCAUGAGCCAGGUACUGGGCAAUGGGAUCCAUCCACGAGCUCACCACCUGAAUGACCGCGGCGUUGAACUGUUCAUAUGCCCGACUUCUGACGACCUCCACCAGUAUUUCCCGACCUAAGAUGCCAACCGAGGUAGAGACCAGUUUAGACAGAGCGUCAACUCUCUUGUUCUGGCUUCGCGGAAUCUGCUCAAGCGAGAAACUGCUCGAACAGGCCCUUCACCUCACACGUCUUGGUCACGUACUUUCUCAGCGUCCCCUCUUUGACCUCGUAGCUUCCCCAUACCUGGUUCACUAUCAGCUGCGAGUCGCUAUAGACUUUUAUCGAUCUAGCCCCUAACUUCCGGGCCAUCUCCAUCCUUGCAAUCAGAGCCUUGUACUCUGAUUCAUUGUUAGAGGCUCUGAAAUCGAACCUUAGUGCGUAGGGCAGCUCGUCCCCCGUAGGGCUAAUUAGAAGUAGCCCUGCACCACAUCCUUCCUUACUUAACGCGCCGUCCACGUACAACGUCCAGGUGGGAUCUACUCGUUCCGCAGCCGCUGCAUCUUUCCCAGUCUAGGCAGUCUCUCUGGCCAGUUCGGCUUUGACUGCCUUCCCCGAAUGCGUGGCCUCGGCAGCGUCUAUGGCCCGUCCGACCUCAGCUGCCUCCCCGAUCUGUCCGACCUCGGCAGUCUCUUGGGUCUGUUCGGCCUUAGCUGCUUCUCCGGCCUGUCCGUCCUCGGCCGCUUCUUUGGCCUGCUGGGUCUCAGUCGCCUCUUUGGACGGUCCGACCUCUGCUACCUGGAUGGCCUGGGUGACCACGGCAGCGUCUCCAGCCUGAAAGACCUCUGCUGCUUCUCGGGCCUGAGCGGUCUUGGUAGUUUUUGGGGUCUGUAAGAUUUUGGCUGCUUGUUCGGUGUGCGCAUCUUUAACAACUUCUCCAUCCUUCCUGGCCUGUAUGUCUCUGGCCUGAUCGACCUCUGCUUCGGACGAUCCAAAGGAAACGCCAUCCGCUAUGAAUUCUGCCAAUGCUUGGGCUUUGAUAGCCGUCCUGGGCUGAUAUCCCAGGUCGUACUCCGACAACUCCACAGCCCACUUCACCAUUCGACCCGAGGACUCGGGCUUGGAAAGGAUUUGCUUCAGGGGUUGGUACGUCAUGACCACUACGGGGUGAGGUUGGAAGUACGUCCUGAGCUUCCGAGCUGCAUGUACUAAUGCCAUAACAUAUCGUUCUACCGCCGAAUACCUUGCCUCGACCCCCUGCAGGGCGCGGCUGACAUAAUACAUUUGUUUCUGCACUUUGUUUUCCUCUCGCACCAGCACUGUGCUAAUGGCCCUCGCUCCCGCAGCUAAGUAGAUGACCAGGGUCUCCCCCAACUCGGGAGAGGUCAGGACUGGCAAUCGAGCGAGGUGGGCCUUCAGUUCAUCGAACGCCCUCUGGCACUCCGGGCUCCACUCGAACUGCCGACCUCCUUUCAGGGCCUUGAAGAAAGGCGACCCCCGAACUGCCGAUUUGAACAGGAACCUGUUCAAGGCUGCCAUCCACCUAUUAGACGUUGCACCUCCUUGAUAUUCCGGGGUGGAGUCAUGUCCAUGAUGGCCUUGAUCUUGUCCGGGUUAGCUCUUACCCCUUCUUUGGAAAUCAUGCAACCCAGGAAUUUUCCCGACCUGACCCCGAAAGUACACUUUUUUGGGUUUAGACGCAUUCGCGAGUUCCGAAGAACCUCGAAAAUUUCUCUCAGGUCGGAGAUGAACUGCUCCUGGGUUCGACUUUUCACUAACAUAUCGUCCACAUAGACCUCCAGGUUUCGGCCGAUCUGAUUUUUGAACAACUUGUUUACCAACCUCUGAUAGGUCGCGCCCGCAUUCUUUAGCCCGAAUGGCAUGGUGACGUAACAAUAUGUUCCGUCCUCGGUGAUAAACGAGAUCUUCUCCUGAUCCUCCUCGUCCAGGGUUAUCUGAUGGUACCCCUUGAAGGCGUCCAAGAAACAGAAGAUCUCAUAGCCAGCUGUUGAGUCCAGGAGCUGGUCAAUCCGUGGAAGUGGAUAACAGUCCUUCGGGCAAACCUUAUUUAAGUCAGUGAAAUCCACACACAUCCUCCAAGCUUUCUCCUCCUUCUUGACCAGCAUCGGAUUGGCUAGCCAGGUCGGGUAAUAGACUUCCUUAACGAUCUUAGCCUCCAUCAACUUACCCACCUCGCUUUUGACGAUCUCCUUUCGCUCAGGAGCAAAGUUCCUUUUCUUCUGCUUCACAGGUCGGAUGUUAGGGUCCACAUGUAGCUUAUGGACUGCCAGCUCGGUGGGGAUUCCUGGCAUGUCAUCAGCACUCCAAGCAAAAAUCUCAGCAUAUUCCUCCAAGAGAGAUUCCAAAGAACUCCUGACCAGCUCGCCUAGGCCGAUGCCGACCUUCACUGUGCGCUCAGGUCGGUCGGGCUGGACAGGCAGCUCGGCUAACAUCUCGUCUGUCUCCAAUCUUUUCCCUUUCUCCAUGGGCUCCCAGGGCUCUAAACAAACUGUCUGAGCUAUCAAUUUCUCUUUACCCUUGAGGGUGGCAAUAUAACACGCCCUCGCCACCUCCGGAUCUCCCAACACCUCAGCCACCCCAGCAGGAGUAGGAAACUUCAUACUAAGGUGCAAGGUGGAGCAAAUAGCUCGGAGGACAUUCAGUGUGGGCUGUCCCAAAAUCAUAUUGUACGACGACGGCUCCUUAACCACCGCGAAGUUUACCGGGACCGUUCGGCACUUCGGGGACACCCCCACCGUAACCAUGAGAGUGAUCAUUCCUUCCGGCCUCACGGGAGGACCUGCAAAACCGAUCAACGGAGUUCGAACCGGUACGAGCUGUCUAUCCUCCAGCUGUAGCUCCUUAAAGGUCUUGUAAUACAGCAAAUCUAUGGCACUUCCGUUGUCUAUGUAUACCUUCUUCACCUUGUAAUUACAGGUGAUGACUUCUAUCACAAUGGCCUCAUGGUUAUUAGAGGCCAGAGGGACUGCGUCUUCAGGUCCAUAGAUUAUUUUCUCAUACAUUUUCAAUCGCUUGGCCGAGCUCUCCCCCAUGGGAGGGGGCGAUUGUGCCGCCGAACUGUAUGACUAUCCCCGCCAGCAGGUCCUCCGGCAAUAGUGUUAAUCACCCCCACUAGAUUCUGUGUUUUCUGCUCGGGAGUUCGGCCACGAGGCCCCUGAGGUCGGUCCCGGGGGUAGCUCGGACGUUCCGACCUGGGUCUUCCUCGUUGCUGGUCAGCUCGUUCCUCUCAUAUGAACUGCCCAAGAUGGCCUCGUUUGAUCAGUUUUUCAAUGUUUUUCUUGAGGUGACGGCAGUCCUCUGUAUCGUGUCCCACAUCUCGAUGAUAAGCGCAAUACAGACCUUGGUCCCGUCUGCUUUUGUCCCCGGCCAAAGGUCGAAGAGGUCGGGAGAGCCUCUCCUGUUUCAUCACUGCGAGCACCCGAGUUCGAGGUGCCGUGAGGCUAGUCCAGGAUUUGUUUCCUCCCAUUGGGCGGCUCUUGGGGAGGCGGUCAUAAGCGUUUUUCCUUCCCUGGCCAGGCCGUGCAUCCACCUGGUCGGCGCCCCUCCUGCGCUUGUCAUCCCUCAAUCUUUCUUGUGCACUAUUAAGGCGAUUGGCUUCCUCCGCGUUGGCCUUCUCCUGAGCUCGGUCUAGCAUUUCCGAACUGACUUGGGAGGUCUCUCCACGAGCUCGGUAUAGAGCUUCUGUUUUCGGAGCCCGUUAAUGAAGGCAGCCAUGACCACCUUGUCAUCGCGAUCUCGAACCUGAAGGGACUCGUUAUUGAAACGUACCAUGUAUUCGCGCGAGGACUCCUCAGGCCUUUGCUGGAUAGUCAUCAGAUGCGCCGUUCUCUUGGAGAAGGCUCGCGACGAAACGAACUGAGCCGCGAACAAUCGCGCGAGCUGGGCAAAGGACCGGAUGGACCUGGGAGGAAGCCCCUGGAACCACUGACGCGCCUUACCCUCCAAAAACAUUGGAAAGGUCUUGCACCUGACCGCAUCCGCAGUAGUUUGCAGGCGCAUUUGGGUCAUGAAGGCAAACAAGUGAUCCUCCGGAUCCGUGGUCGCAUCGUAGGACUUCAUGCUUGGUAUUUUGAGCUUCGCUGGCAGCGGGUAGUCCUCGAUGUCAGGGACGAAGGGGGAGGCGAUAUACCUAUCCACCUCUGGAUCUAAAAGCAGAUCCAGGUCGUCCUGCACCUGGAGCUGCUCCUUCCGUGGUGAGAGUUCCUCCUUAGAACACCUCCGGAAGGGCUCCAGGUGCUCGGUUCUGGAGUGCUUGUGAGAAGGUUCUACAACGUCAACCUGGUCGCGCGUGAGCUCCCGGCGUACCCUUUUUGGCCGAGGGCUAGGGCUCCUCGUCCUAGAUUCGGACGGCCCAUCUCCCUGGCUCUUUAACCCCUGGUCGGGAUGACCUACUGCCUGCCCUUUUAGCUAGUUCACAAUUGCCUCAAAAGUUGGCAGGUUCCCUGCCACCACCUGGACCAACUGCUCCGGCGGAAUUUGUGAGAGCCCCACGCCUUCGUCUCCAGGAGUCGGCCCUCGUGUGGGGUGUUGGGGGCUGCUUCCCUCGUUCCCCUUGGAUCCAUCGGCAUUCCUCUGGGACCUCGUUCUUGGCAUGAUUCGCAAGAGAAGAAUUACGUGUUUCCCACAGACGGCGCCAAUUGAUACGACAGCCAAAAACCAGAUCCGAGCUGAACUGUUGCGGGCCUAGCUGGUCAGGCGCAGCCGACCUGAGAGGGUGAACCGAGCUAAGGGUCCUGUAAAGAAGGGAUGAAAGCGGGACUGGCGUCCCCGGAAUAACUCCGACGGUCAAGUCAGUAAAGCUUGUCCACAGAGUAAUAGUUUAGAGUACUGGUCUAUGCGUACCUUGUAUAGUUUUGUAGCGUCAUAUAUAUAGGACUGAAUAGGUUGUAGUUUCUUUAUGGGAGUCAAAGUCCCCUUAGGGUUCGGAGUCUUUUUAGGGCUUCGCAUGACGGCUCCUGAAAGUUCGGAGACGGCGGCCCACAAGGCCAGUGCAGGGGCCAUUGACACAGCCGAGCUGGCUCCCUCCGGCCGAGCUGGCAUGUGCGAGCUGCGUAGUCCCUAACGCCGAACUGACUUGUGUAAUCUACCGAGCUGACACGUGUCAUGCGUGGAUUUGCCCCACUACACAGCAGAAAUGAAAUUUCAGUACAUACAUGAUUUAAAUUUGUUAAUUAGAGAGGUCUCCAACAGGUUUCGUUUCUUUGCUUGAGAACACAUUCAUUGGUGCUUUAUUUUUGCUGAGGCCAAUGUGCCCAACUUGUCCAUUACAAGGUUUGCCGGGCUCCAAAGAAGCAAUUUCCAUUUUUCCAGUAGUCUCGGACAAAUUCAAGUAGCGAUGGGCACGGUAGGAUACCCGUCUCAUGCACCAAUUGGAACUCCAAUCGGCACUUUGCAGAAUGCGGAUCGGCCAUUUUCGGAUCCUUUCUCGUCUCGCAUAUCAACAGGGACCCGAUAGAAAUAAGGUCAAGUCAAUAGGUACUUGUCCUAUCCCACUUAUCAUUUAAUUUUUUUAAAAAAAUAAUUUAUACUAAUUUAAUUUUGUAUUUUACAUAUUCGUCCAAAAUUUAAUAAAUAUUUUUUCUCAAAAAAUGUCUCCCAUCAAGAAACAAGCAUGCGAAGAGAAUACAAGAAAAAAGGAAAAAAAGGAAUAAAUUAAAGGAAUUCCAAUUCAAUAAAAUUUUGAAAUAAGUAGCACCUUUUUUUAAAUAUCUAGUCCACAUUUAAUUAAACUUUUUUCUAAAAAAACAUAAGAUCAUGAUCUCUUCAAAUAACUUUUGUAAACAAACUAUAGUCUCCCAUAUUUGUAAUGUAAUUUGUUCAAUGAAAUUGCUUACUUAUCUCUAAAAAUAUUAUUUUAUAAUAUGUAUAUAAAGAUGAAAAGUUAAAAAUAUAUAUGUGCGAAACGGGUUGGAUAUUUUUAUUUUGUGACUCUAACUCACACCGCACCCUUUUUAAUCCAAUUAAAUAAUACGGAUCGGGUAUCCUAAUUUUUAGAUCGAAUCGAAUCGGAUAUGAUAGACUUUCGAAUUAGCAGAUAUUUUUGCCCACCCUUAUAAACAAGAACGUUGGGCAAUUGCCUCUGCACUUCAGCAUAGCUGGUGGCAAUACAAUGCUAAAGAAAGCCACCUCCAGUACAAAUGAGGGAGGUUCAACAAUGCAGGAUUCUAAGAUUAUUCGAAGCGCAGCGGAUGCUGCAGCCGUUGGGGCCUUGGGGGGACAAUACUCAGGCUGCGUGCAAAUUUAAGAAACUAUCUGUGUUUUGGCAUUUUUUCCAGCAUACAUAGUUCAACCUGCUGCUAAAAUUGAGGUUGAUAAGAUCGGCCAUGAUACUUUCCAGCAUACAUCGUUCAAUGUUUUGCCCCUUACAAACAAACUUUAGAAUUGACAAUCCCUAUUUUUUUUUAAGACUCUCAUAUCAUAUGGUAACUAAAAUCUUUGACAAUUCAUAAAUAUUUUUCACUUCAAGAAUACAAUGACUAUAAUGUUACCGUGUAUUACUCUCUAUUGUUGUGUCUAGAGGCCAAUGUGAGUUCGUGUUCAGUGAGAGUCGAUCAUUUAUUACAAGAACUUAAUGCGUGAGAACGUAAUCAUGGCGUGAAAAUUUUUAUUCGUCCGAUUGCGAAGAAAAUGUUUAUGGCCGCAAAGCGGAUAUUAAUUAAUUAUCAGAGAUUGCCAAUCCAGCUACUGACACUGAUACUGCCACAGCACAGCAGCAAUUUUAGUGCCAGACCCCAUUCUGAAAUAAAAUGACGGAAUGUACCCUUUGUAGUCAAUUAAAAGAGUUGAUUGAGUGGCGUCAAAUUUUGUCAUUAAAUUAGAAUGUGCGGUGCCAGCAGCAUUUCAGCAGCGGCAAUAUCAGUAGCCAUUCUUGAUGGAUACGGUCCUGAACGGUUUAUCAAUAACAAGAAUAAUAUAACUCUACGUUAAUAAGGUGUAAUUUUAUAUAAAUUUCUUAUACAUGUUUACAACAGAGUACAUGAUAUUCUGUUAUUGUUUAUAUGAAUUCCAUGUAUAAUAUUUACAUCUCUGUUAUUAAGUUUUACAAAUAAUUCUUGUAAAAUUACAUCUUAUUCACAUAUAAUUACAUUGUUCCGAACUGUUAUUACUGGUAACCUCCCAGGCCCCACGUCCAUUCUGGAUGUUUAACUUUCAUAAUGCCGUAGAAUAUCUCAUUAUGGUAACGAAACAGUUUUUUACCUGAUAUAACAGGUUGUUGCACUUUUAGCGACCAUUUGAUUACUUGAUAAACCUCUCCACCUAAAUAGGAUAACACUUAAGAUAAGAAAGUAAGUUUCUCAUCUAAAAUAGUAAGUUAACCAUUAUAAAUUAGUAACUUUUAUACUUCAAAAGGUAAAUUGGAAUAUAUAUUAAACUUGCUUUUUAAAUAAAUAAAUUAUUACUUUAUAUCCCAAACUUACUUUUUAGAGAGUAAGUUUAAUUCAAGUAAUAGUAAGUUUUUAUACAUAAAUAGUAAUUCUUAGUGAUAACAUGGUAAAUUUGAUUAAUAAUCAAAACUUACUAAUUUAUGGGACACAUGUACUAUUUUACUUUUAAACAUAUUUCAAACUAGUAUUAGGAAAUUUAUUUGAAAUAACAAUAAGAUGCUUUAUUAAUGAUUAAUGCUUAGUACUUUAGUUAGUAAGUACUCGUAAUAUAUCUGUAUAAUACAUGAUUAUAGGCAUAAUUUAAACAAUUUUUUAUUUAUACAUUUUAAAAUACUAUGAAAAAAGUUUGACUUUUCACAUAAUCUCGUAAAAUAUGUAAUAAAAUUUUGUCGUAUUAUAAGUUUUUAAUCAUUUUCAAUUUUUGAAAAUUUUGAAAGUUUGGAUAACAAUAACAACAAAUCUUCCUAGUUAUAAAUAGAAUAUCACUUGUUUAUAUAUCACAAUUUUUAUAAUUUAACACCUAUGAAUAUAAUAAGAUGAUAAAGUUUUAAUAAAUUUACAUCUAGGACACAAGAAAUAAUGCGAGUUAAAGCCCAGACAAAAUGAGAAAUAAUGUAACAAUAAAAAUGACAAAAUUCGUAUAACAAUUAAUAUAAGAAAAUCAUUAUGAUUUGGACUUUUUUCCUUGGGAGAUUGUUCAUAAAAAUGGGAUCCAACAAUUAUAAAUGAAAAUCACAUGCAUAUAUAUCUAUUGUAUAAUUUAAAUUAAAUUUAGUUCACAUAUAAAAUGGUCCUAAAAUAAUUAGUACACAAUGAUACAAUGUUAUUUUAAUAAGAAAUUUUUUUUCCUAAAAGUCUCAAAUAUCCAUGACAUACAUAUGAGGGAUAUUUUACCAUAUUUGUAUCUCACAUCUAAUAAUUAAAGUUAAUUUGAGGAAAAAUAUUUUUGACAAUAGAAUUAUUUUGAAUUUGGUUAACAAGUUGAGAUUUUUUAAACAAUAAAAGUGAAAUAUUUUGGGAACUUAGUUAUUUAUUUUCCCAUAAUUAAAAAUUACUAUAUUUUAGCAAUUGUUGCCAUUGACUUUUCAUUUUGUAGACUAAUUUUUAUCAAUGCAAAAUUAAUUUUAUUAACAAUAAUUGAAGUUCCAUUGAUCCGAGGAUUGGCAUUCUAUUUCUAUUAUUUUAUAUGUAAAUAUUUAACCUUAGAUAAAUAAUGGCCACUUAAAAAAAGGAAAUUGGUGCUCAAUUGAUUGUGGUGUAAAAUAUUAGUAUACAAUUAACUAGAGCUUGAAAUGGAAUUAAAUUUAUUUAAUAUUUUACUGCUAACAACUUUGACCCCAUUUAAUGGUUAAAGAAAAAAUAAAAGAGACAUAGAGGGAUUGGUUCCUUAGUGUGAAAGAGGAAAGUUCCUCUAAAGUAAUACUGCAUGAAAUUUUGGAUGCAUAUGAAAUUAGAAAUGUGAUAACUUUGCAAUUCAUUCUCAUUCAUGAUGAAUUUCUUCCAUUCUAUAUAGAAUUGUAAUUUUUUUCGUUCAGCACGAAAAUAUUCUUUUUUUGUCAUAUUGAUGGCUUUUGCUUUUAAGAUUAUCUACAUGUCAGUGGUUAGUAUUAUUGACAAGGUUAGAGGUCAUGGAAAAUGUUACUAAGUUUAGGAGAAAUUAUGAAUUGUAAAAAUGGUUUAAUAAUUUUCUACUAAGCAUAACUAUUGCAUACAAAAAGAAAAGAUAUUUGAUUUGAUUUUGCUUUGAUUAGAAGAACUUGUACCAAUAAUAAUGGAAAUUUCCAUUCAACAAUCAACGUACACAUGAUUGUAGUAAUUUUUUAGUCAAUUAGACUAAUAUAUGCCAUAAAGUAGUAAGAUUUAGUCAUUUGUGAAUUGAUAAUUUUAAUAGUUUACAUAACAUUCAUCUAUAAAAAAUUAUGAUUAUUAUAAAAUGACAUUUUAUAAUAAUUUACAUACCACUUUCCAAUAAAAAAAGAGUUUGAUAGAAAAAAUAUGGAUACAAAUCCAUAAUGUAAAUGAUACAACGUAUAUACGAAAGUCACAAAACUUAACAUAUGGGUAAUUUUACUAUAAUUUUCAAAGAUUAUGCUACGUUAAUACAACUUUAAUUUUUAUACUUGUGACCCAGAAAAUAAAUUUAUUAAAAUUUUACCAUUUUACUAAAUUCAUAGGCAUUAAUAUAUGAAAAUUGUGAUGUAUAAGUAAGUGCUAUUUUCUAUACAACUCGAAAGAUUUGUUGUUAUUAUAAUACAACUUUAAAUUUUAUACUUGUGACCCAGUAAAUAAAUUUAUUAAAACUUUACCAUUUUAUUAUAUUCAUAGGUAUUAAUAUAUGGACAUUGUGAUGUAUAGAUAAGUGCAGUUCUAUAUAUAACUUGAAAGAUUUAUUGUUAUUGUCAUCCAAACUUUCUAACCUUUCACAAAUUCAAAAAUAAUUCAAAAUUUUUAAUAUGACAAAUUAUUCUUACAUAUUUUAUAAGGUCGUGUGCAAAAAAAAAAAAAAAAGUUUUCAUAGUAUAUUUAAAAUGCUUAAAACAUAUAACAUUUAUAAAUGAUACGUACAAUUGUGUAUCAUACAUUGACAUUACGAGUAAUUACUAACUAUAAUACUAAGUUUCAAUCAUUAAUAAAAAAUAUUAACAUUAUUUCAAAUAAAUUUCUUAAUACUUGUUUCAUAUAAUUUUUUAAGUAAAAUAGUAAAUUUAAACUACAAACUAGUAGGUUUUGACCACUAUCAACAAUAUUUACUAUUAAUCUAUAAAAACUUACUAUUAUUUGAACUAAACUUACUCUCCAAAAAGUAAGUUUCGAAUAUAGAAUAGUAAUUUAUUUCAAAAAAAAAUAAGUUCCAUAUUUAUUCUAAUUUACUUUUUUAGACAUAAAAGUUACUAAUUUAUGGAUUUAACUUACUAUUUUUUAUGUAAAACUUAUCAACCAAAUUUUUAGGUACUAUCUUAUUUAGAUGACCAGUCCAAUAGAUAAUCAAAUAGUUACUAAAAGUAUUUUUACCUGUUAUAUUAGGUAAAAACAGUUUCGUUAUCAUAACGAAUAGUUACUUCAGACUUUUCCGGAAAAUGUCAGUAUUGCAAGUCCAUACAAGCCAGCCUAGUAAAUAUGAACGAAUUAAUUAACUACCACUCCAGUCCUUGAUUAAAGCUUCUAAAUAUGACCCUUUAUAGUUCUGUUUCAUAACGAAAAGUACAUCAAACAUAGAGAGUCCAGAUCUACAAAAUCUCACGAAAAAAUAAAAAAUAAAUUAAAAAUGAUCGUAUUUAAAAUAACAAUCAGACUUUUUUUUUUAGGUGUCAUCAUUUUUUUAUUCUUAGUGUCAGCAUGAACCAACUCCAAUGGAGUUUGAACCCCCCAUAUAUCAUCUUUUUAUAUUGCCAAUAAUCCGCCAACACUUAUAUAUAUCUUUCUAUUUAUGCAUGUGGAACUCGUCUAGUAGCAGCUGCAGCAAGGACGCCGAUGAUCAGCAAGCAAAGGCCAAAAACGGACCAAGGCAAGAGGUUGAGCGAGUGUGAGAAAGGAACAGUAAGAGCAAACAAGAAGACUGUGAAAAUUGAUAGCUUUGCCACCAGCAUCAAAGCAUGUCUAAAGUUUGAGAAAGUGGGGGAGAUGAAGUUGGAUACAAAAACUGAAGUAGAUGACUGUUCUUAUCAAUCUCGCCUCAGAUAUUCCAUAUUACAAAUUCUGACUCGUCAAUUACUUCUGCAUCACUCUUUGGUGAAUUUCAUCAAUCAAACUGAACAUUCUUGUACAUCAUAUACUGCUCUUCAACUUUGGCGUUUCAACAGUUUAUCAUCUUUUAUGUCCGGAUCUAUCUUUUUCCCUUGAUGAUCCUAAAGCCUUCUUUUUUUGUUCUUUUCAUUUUCAUUUUUCCCUCUCUGAUGAGAAUAUAACUUGUAAUUUGGCUUGCAGGAAACUAACUGAGCUGGACAUACAGGAGAAUGGGAUCGAUGACAUUAGUGGAAGUUGGCUAAGUGCCUUUCCUGAUAACUUCACAUCACUGGAAAUACUGAACUUUGCCAGCCUGAACAGCGAGGUCAGUUUUGAUGCCCUUGAGAGACUUGUCAGUAGGUGCAAAUCUUUAAAGGUCUUGAAGGUCAAUAAAGGCAUUGGCUUAGACCAGUUACAGCGCCUACUUGUGCGGGCACCUCAGCUUAUGGAGCUUGGUACUGAUUCUUUCCAGCAAGAACUCAUGUCUCGCCAUUGUAUGGAGCUUGAGAAUGCAUUCAGAAACUGUAAAAACCUGCAAAUCCUCGCUGGAUUAUGGGAUGCCUCUUACGUCUAUCUCCAUGUUCUAUAUCCAGCUUGUUCCAGUCUGACUUUCUUGAAUUUGAGCUAUGCAACCCUUCGUGGUGAUGAAUUCACAAAGUUAAUUGCUCACUGCCCAAACCUGCGGUGCCUCUGGGUAAGAAACUUUGCGUUUGAAGUUGCUUAGAAUCUGCACAAUCAAAUCCUUUCAUAGGAAUCUGUUAAAACUGCAACACUGAAUGAAUGAUCAAGACUGGAGGAUUAUCGAACAUAGUAAUUGCUGACAUCAUGAAGACCAUGAGCAAUUUGGUGUUCAGACAUUGGCCAAGUGCACAAUCUUCUCUACCAGUCACCAAUCUGAACUACCAGCACAAAAUAUAAAACUUUUUAAAGUCAUUUGUAUAGAACUGAGCUUUGCUAUUACACAAUCCCUCAUGUUUUCAAUGUGUUCGUCUUGCUGAUGUCUGAUACAGUAGUGCACAUUUUGUCUACUUCUUGAUGAUUUGUUUGAGAGGUUUCUUUUUACUAGUAUCCUUAUUUUUUUUCAUACUUGUUGCUUGGGAGAUGAAAACAUGUCAUGCCAAUCAACUGCCUUCGUUUCGAUUAGCGAAGCAACAUUUUAGGCGCUGCUCCAUCAAGGCAUAAUUUUCGCAUGAACUAGUAGCAUUUGAACUGGUGGCCAGUUCAUUCCGCGUCCACCAAGAAGGUGAACAUGAAGAUGCUAAACAAAUUGACAUCCCCUUGUCCAUCAUUAAUCACAAGACAGAACUCUGAAGCCAGCCAUAUCUUCCAGAUAUUCUUGUCUGCAACAAGCUUUGCAGAAUGAAGAAGGCGGUCCGAGAAUUUGAAGAUGCCACUCCUCGGCCUGUUUAGGGAUACAUAAUCUCCUUGGUUUGUUACAAAAAGCAGGGGAGGAACCAAAAGGCAACAAAGCGGGUGUUUUUACCAAGAGAUAUAUUAACUAAGCGGCGUUCUUGUUUCUGUUUAAUUGGUUUCAUGCUUUUGCUUUGCUUAUUAUACUCGAUGAUGCAUGAUGCGUUGCUUUUCCAAGUCCAGGUCCUCUAUUUGACUUUUCCAAGUCCAGGUCAUCAAAGCAUGACUUUUUUUGCUUUUCUCAAGAACCUGAAGUAGAUGGCUGUUCUUAUGCAUCAUUUGAUUAGAAUAGAGACCCCUCUUAUCUUUUGUCUCCAAAGCUUUAAGAAACCCAUGUUACCACCAGCCUACCAACUAACAGGCUAACUUUGUCUUCAAUUUCUGUGUGUCGUCUAGUGUCUCUACCUAACUAAUCUUUUCAUGCUGGAAGAGGAUGACUUCUUAGUAAUCCCACUUUCCCACUUACUUGAUGUCUAGGGGGUAGAGGCCUUACACGUAAUACCCAAAUCCUACUAUCUAUCACUCUGCUGGGAUUACGGUUUUGUGUAUUGUACAUUUUCGAAACAUACAAAAUUUUGAUGCAACAUAUUCCUUAUCAGCCAAAAAGGCCCAAAACCAGCCUUUUGCUUGAAAUAAUAAUUGGAAGGAACCUCAAAAAAAAAAAAACUUCAGAUUCACAACUACACAACAUUAGCAGCAUCAAGCAUCGACAUCAUCCGGUAAUAAUAAGUACUAGAUAGCCAUCUCUGCUGAUUGAAAGAAUUUGAGACUCAGAAUUUCUCAAAUUUAGCAGUUGCAAGCAUCAGUACCUGCUGAUUACACUAAUAAAUAAUAGUGGCUAGCAUAAUAUCACCACAGUUGUUUUCCAACGAUAACUAGUUAGUUUUACAAACUAGUAAAUGUCUCCAAAUAAAAGCUGCAAACACAGGUUGAAACAGGGAUACCCCAAUCUACAAAUAUCAAAUGCACACCUUGCAAAUAAAAGUAGCCAAAAGAAGCAGAGAAUUCUGCUGCAUCAACUCUUCUAGCAGCUGCUUUCUCUCCUCUUCUUGAUACUGCACCAAGUGAAACCCUGCAGAACAUUGAUGAAGCUUUGUUUAACGGUUCAACAACUUGAAAGUAAGUCAAUUGUGAGACGGAAAAUGGAAAGAAAGGCAAGAAGAUCACACGAUUGCGAAUCAAAUAAUCACGUCCAGAGGUCAACAGCAACUUCAUCCUCCACGUCCAAAUUAGGCUCCUUGGCAUUCACAAUCUUGGAUACCAUCAAAUCAUCGAAUCCCAUAUCAAUCCUCCAGUGUUGCUUCAACAGUUGUUGCUCCGACUCAUCCUCGCUAACUGAAUCAUCUCCCAUGAACUUCUUCCAUAGUUUCUGAUCAGCACUUUUUUUCGAUUCUGCCAUUGAAGUGUUUGCCUCCUGAUCAUCUUGGUCCAUGCCACAAGCUCCAUCAUCCAUGGACUUUGUUGUGGUUUUAGAGCUUUGUGGUAGAAUCACUCUUCUUCUCUUCAUGGUCUGAAGGAUUUCAAGUUCUGGUUCUUCCUCCACACGCUGAAUUAUCUUCUCAACUAAGGCGGGGCUGAAUAUUCUGGUGAAGACCUUGAUCAAUGCUUUUGACUUAGCCUUCAUUCUUUUCACAUUUUUCUUAAAGGUGGCUAUGCUACUCUCAAGUUUCCCCAAAUGAUAUUUUGAUCUUGUGAUGUCUUCCUUCAGUGCAUUUAUGUGAUCCUCGAAAAUUUCCAGCUCUGCCUCCAUUGAAGGCCUCGCAGCCGUUACGUGUUGUUUCCUCAAUCCUCGUCUUUUCUUGAUUGCUGGAUCUUCAUCAUUUCGCCUCCUAAUGUUCAUUAGCAAAUGUUCCUGCCCUCUCUGAAACCAUUUAUUCUCGUAUUCAUAUUGCCUCAGUCCAAUCUUCCUGAAUCCCUGUUAAGUUUAGAAAGCAAACAAUCAGAAAUUAGGGGGGAGGAUCCCAAUUGCUGUUGAAUUCGAGUCUCAACGAGGAAUUUAUUUGACACUCAAACUGCAAACACAAAGCAUGAGCAAAAAUAGCAACCAUAAGUACAAGAAAAAGGCAUUUACCUAGGUUCAUGAGUUGUGAUAGACAUAACAAAUUCUUGCAGAGACUUUCUAAUGAUGAUAAAAAAAUUAUCUAAAGAAUACGAUAUCCAUGCUAUGAAAAAGCAUUUACUCUAAAAGGUAUGCAAUAAUCUAAAAUGCAUAAACUCACAUAGUUGUUGAGUUGGUAGAUGAAGCUUGAGAAAUUGCUGUGCUUGAAAUAUUUUGGUAGAACCUCUGCAGCAAAUUUGAGAUGGUCCAGGACUAUUAGGCUGGUACCUUCAGAAUUCCAGGAAAUCAUGUUGUUUGUCUCUGUAUCCUCCACCAUUUGAAAGGUCUUCGUCAAGAAGGGGGGCGGAGUGAAACCACGCACUCCCUUCAUGAAUUCCAUCUUCUCUGAGGCUUGCUUGGAGGGUAGCGAAGAUGGCCUAACAAUCCCACCAUUUCUGGCUAUUCCUCCACCAUGUACUUCCAUUGUAUCUUGACAAGUUGUUUUGCAUUCCAUAAGGUAGUAGUCAAGACUGUUUUAAGUUUAAAUAUGUUCAAAUGGGCUAAACAAACUGCCCCUGCAUGCAAUGGCUGUUCUAAAGUAAAAUUCCAUCGAAAAGGUGUCCCCCUCUGGUGAAAUCAUGACUCUCAAUUCACUCUCUUUCAAUUACCAACCUUAGCAAGAAUAAGUCUAAUACUGUUCUAUUACUGCCUUAUUCACCAAGAAUAUAUUCCUCUUGCAACUCAUUUCCUAAACAAAGCACAAUCUAAUUUCUAUCUCCAUAUUUGUGUGGCCUUGAUUGUUCACCUAAGAAUCAAAGUGGGGGGAGGACAACAUCAUUUUUAAAGCAUGUUUCUGGUGUCCUUGUACUUCAAAAUGAGUUGUUAAUAGAAGUUGUAUUAGUGUACUCUAGGCUUAUAUAGAUCAACAAUCUACCUCGUCUACUUUUCUUUCCGUUCCAAGUAUCAUUCGAAAACAAGCGACAAGGAUGUAGCUACGAUUUGUGCCAUAAUCGGCCUUGUUCCUUAACGUGUCAUGUAAAUUAACUUUGAUGUUGUUACAAGAUUGAAGCAUUUUGGAAUCUGAGGGGAAACAAAUUGAAGAAAAGAAAGGAGACAUAUGGUAUGACUUUUGAUCCAUCUAGUCAUUAUUUAGUUUUAAGGAUGAAUUGGUUGUCUUUUUCAUAAUCCAAGGCACAUCGAUGUACAAUUAAGACAAGGAGGAAUGGUGAUAAGUGAAACUCCUGUUAUUUGUUUUGGCAAAUGAGUGCAACUUCUGUUAGUGUGACAGAAAAAACUGCGGAAGAUUAACAACCAUUUCUGUAUAGGAAAAGAGAUAAAAUCAUUUAUCCGUUUAUAGUGAUUACCUCCAUUCCAAAUUGAUAAUGAGAGAUAACCACAAUUAACUUAAGAAUUUGGCCCAUUUCCUAGAAAAUCUUGUUUCAGAAUGUUUACUGCAGUGGGGAACAAACCUUGCAUUUGGAAUAUUUCCUUGUUUGUCAAAUAGGAGCUUUUACAACAGCAGUAAACCAACAAAUAGAAACAUGAGGAUUUCUCAAUUGAAAACAACUUAGUUCCUCCAAAGAGAACAUGUGAUGCUUGCAACUACAGUGCAAUACCUCUUUCCGCAUAGGAUACAAGCACAAGCUUAGUAGCUUUAACACUUGAAGUAAAGUUCUGGUUUCAUUUAUAGGUGUUAUUGUGGUGAAAAAUAAAACCCAGACCAGAUUGUAAACAGACUAAUGGAAGAAAAUUUGUUCCAAAUAAAAGGCACUCUAAAACCAUGUUUAGAAGUCAUUCCUGAGUUCAAACCUUUGCAGUAGCAAGGCAUCCAAACAAACUAGAAAGAAAUUGAUAAGUGACUAAUUUACGUAAUAAUUGUAUGAUAUUUUAUAUUAUUUUUAGUCACUUUAGUUAUAUUAUUGGAAGAAUAUGAAUCAUUUUGGCUAUAAUUGGUGAAAAAUGCUUUUAAGUGAUUAAAUGAGGUUUUUAUCACUUUUUAGUGGAUUUUGUGUAUUUUGACAGUUUUGACACAUUUUCGUAUUUCGGCUAUAACUUGAGCUACAAUGAUCGGAUUGGGAUGAUUCUUGAACCCAUUUGAAGAUAAGAGAUAGAUCUACAACUUUGUGAAGACAUCCGAAUCCAGUUUGAAGGUUUUCCAGGUCAAACAGCCGAAGUACAGAGUCAAUUGCUAUUGGUCGAAACUGGAACAAGGCAUGGAGCAGGCAAGGGUAUUUCAGUCAUAUCUCAGCCUACACAGAUCCAAAUGAGGUGAUUCUUGAUGCAUUGGAAAGAUAAAUCAAAAGGCUACAACUUUCGUGUUUUAGGCAUGAGCUGGUUCAGCCUCUAACAUCAACAAAAGAUCGGUUGAAGUUGGGCCAAAAACAGAGCAAGUGAUCCACACUCGGAUCCAUACGGAUCCGAGGUACUGUAGUAGCUCGGAUCACUGUAGCAGCCCAGAUUUACUGUAGCAAUCCGGCCGGAACUUGGCCGGAUUUGUGGCCGGAUUCCUGGCCGGAUUGUGGUCAGAGAAGGCUGCUUUUUACGCGGAAAACUCAAUUUCACCUCCACCAACUCACAUGGGAUGCUAUACAUGUGAGAAACAUUCCCAGCUGUAAAAGGGAGAUGUAAUCCUCAUUUCUUGACCACCUUUUCAUCAUUAAAGAGCAAAUUCAUUGCAAAAGGAGAGGGGGAGGAUAGAUAGGAGAGAUUGGAGUUCAUAGCAGAAAAAUAGAGAGUGAGCUACGGGAGAAGCUUGGAGUCUGCAGAAAUGUAGCUCUUUCAUCUCCCUAGUAUUAGUUUAGCUUAGUAUAGAGUAGUAUAGUUCAUCCAUUCUUGUUUAUUAUCUAGAUUAGGAUGAAGAUGGAGGAUGAAAAAGGCAAGGAAGAAAGCUCAUGUGACAAGGGUUGUAUUCCUUCCAAACUCUUUAUCUUUGUAUUUGAUUCCAAGUUUAGUUAAUAUACAAGUUCUGGAUUUUGUGUUUAAUAUGUGUUUUUAAAGUUUAUACCUUGGGUUUGGUUGAACUUUCUAUAAUUGUUAGUGUUUAUUAUUUAGUUAUUUGACUGCUAUAAUUUGAGCAAGUUAUUUAGCACUUUGGCUUCUUAAAUCAUGAUUAAUCUGGUACCAUUGAUUGUGAUAUUCUAAGGUGUUGUUUCUACAAUGAAAAUUGAGAUUUAACACUAGUUCAAGAAGUGCUAAACAUAGGGAAUACACUCACGAAAGUAGAGGUGCACCUAUGUGGUUUUUAGUGAUUAAUUUCAUGUAAUUUCACUGAAGAAAUGAACUUGUAGCUAAUUUCAUAACCAUGAGAAUAGGUAUGGAUUAGUUAUAAGUAUAAUUGAUUCACUACGAAAGUAGGAUUCAAAUGCAUAAGGAAAUUACACCAUAAUUAGCCUAGAUGUAGUAUUCAAUGAUCCAAAUAUAGCACUUGCAUGAGUAGUUAGGGAUACCACAACCUAAGGAGCUUUUAUUUGUUAUUUUCUUGCAUAAGUUCAGUAGAUUUUACUUGUUAUAAUUUAUUGAUAGUCUAAAUAAUAGAGAAGCUUUAGUAAUACCGGUAAUUGUUCACUCUUCCUUGUGGGAUCGACCCGAUAUAUACCCUAAACUACUAGUUGAUCUGUAUACUUGCAGUGAACGGGUGUAAUUCGGUAUUUUUUAGCUUGCACGUAUGUAAAACACCCGUCAGAAAUGUAGUUCAAUUGAUCAAGACAUCUUUUACCUUUAUAACACACUGAAGUAAUACAGGUCUCAAGAAGUCUGACAAAGUCAGUAGUGAAUGAGUUGAAAUAGUCUGAUGGACAAAAGAAAAAAAAAAGAAAAAGAAAGAUAGAAUAAAAGUUGGACAUCAUCUGAUAUCCAUAGAGGGAAUUGCUGUUGAACUGGUUUUGCAAGAGCUAUGACAAUCCAAUGAAACACCAUGAUGAGGUACCUGACAUAGAAUAGCAGAUAAAUGUGAUUAAGAGAAACUGAUAUCUCAAUUGUGAAAAAGAAAAUACAGGUCCAAGUAAUACCAAUAAUAUCAACUCUUGAACUCCUAACUCCUGGCUUUGUUACCUAUCCCUUUAGCAAACUCAUUCCAAUCUGCCGGUCCUUCAAUCAAAUCCUCCAAAGGGAUGACAUCAUUAGGCUGAAGCUUUGCACUUUCUUCUUCAGGCACAUUCUCACAGUUUAUAUUAUUCAUUAGCUGCUUCUCUAGCAAUGAGUAUACUGCAGUAUAGAAAUCAGAAAAUUUUCCCAUGGAAACAGUACAAUCGUCCUCCUCCUGAACAGCAGUGCUCAAAUCAACAUUUGAAAAUGUCUUUCCCAUACCUGAUUGUGCCCUAGGAGAGUUUUUCCGGCUUCUAUGAGAUGUUUCCCCUUCAUUUAGGUGCUCUACUAAGCUCCCAAUGCUUUGUCUUCCACCUGAUCCCUGUUCAUUUGCAGCAUUAUUGCUCUACAGCUUUUUUUUUCUUAUCAGAAGUUCAUGGAUCGUAUACUUCAGCAUAUUUUGUAGCUUGGAUGUAAUACACUGGGCUUGUUUCUCAAGGAUUUCCAUUUCUUUCACCGAAUUUUCUUCCAUGUCUUUCAGCUUCAUUAUUUCUACCUUCAACACAUCAUGUUCUUGCAUUAGACUUUCAAAUUUCUUUUGCUCUCCAGACAAACUCAAUUGUCCUUCAGUUCCUAAUAGCUUACAUAGAUGUGCAUUUUGAGUUCCUUGAAUUCUUUUCUUAAUUUUCUUUAGCCAACUCUUCUUCCCUUUUUGGAACCACGCAUUCUAGAAUUCCAAUCUAUCCCAAUUGAUCUUUCUAAACCCCUAAAAUUGUUAUAACAGCACCAAUUAGUUAUGUCUCAACUUUUCUAAUUUCAAAAGUUAUUCAUCCCAUGUCACUAAAGGAAAAAACAGAUGGACAAAGAAAGAACGAUGAUAUCAGAUCACACGGUAACAGCAAAGAGGAGAUUUUAUAAGAUAUGCAAAAUAUGAUACCUCACAUACAUCUAUACUAAUACUGGUAGGCAAGUUCAUUUGGUAUUCAAGUUUUCUUUCUUUGAUUUGCAACUUAUGUACUAUAGUGCACAUAAGAAGAGUGAGAACUCUUAAUAUAACAGUAAAAAGUGCCACUUCAAAAAGGAACAAUUCGCAAAAGUCACAUACACUAGGCAAAACAUUAUUAAAUAAUUGAAGAAGUCUACAUGAAGAUGAGAAAACAGGAGACAAUGCAAGUGGUAUGCUAUUGAAGGAUACUCACGUAUGUGUUGAGUUGGCAAAUGAAGCUCGCAAAGUUGUUGUGCCUGAAGUAUUUUCCAAGAACCUCAGCAACAAACCUGUGAGGAUCCCACACAAUGAAGCUGGUGCCACUAGAACUCCAAGAUAUGAUGGAUUCUGUCUCAGGGUUCUUCACUAUGUCAUAAACCUUGAGCAAGAAGGGAGGUGGUGCUCUCACCCGUGAGGAUGAAGAGGAUGCACCAUUAGCAUAACCUUCUUUCGCAAGGGGAGUUGCAGAAACUGCAGUAGCAGCUGUAACAAUAGCAUUGCUACUGCUUUCACUAACAUCAGUUCCCAUUGGUAUUGUUGGAUUCAGUCUCUCUCCCUCAUUCUCACCGUUUUUCAGCUCAUAUUUGGUAGAGUUUGUUACCUCACUUGUCUCCUGGUUUGCUUCCAUAAUUGGAAAGCAGAUUUCUUUGAUCUUUUGGGAAAAAAAUUACAAAUAUCUUUUGAUAAUAAAAACUGUAGCAACUUGGCAACUUUGCAUUUGCUAAUGGUAGCCAACCCAAUUCUCCAGGAUGAACCUCUACAAGCUUCUGAAACAAAGCUUUUGUUUUGAAUGCCAAACAUGCACUAGUUACUAUAUCAUUUUCUCAUCCCCAACUCUAUGUGAAAUGUUUCGAUGCAUCAGAAGACUCUAACUCACCUCAUAUUCCUUGUACACCACACCAUCUUCACUUGCUACUCUAUCUUGGUAAAGAAGCAGUACCAUCUGUCCUUCAUAUUCCGUUUUUUAUCGUGAUAUUCCAAAUGUACAUGGAUAAUCAGUCCGCUGUUUGCUGUUUGGUCGUAAAAGCUACACUUUGUUCAAUGAUUAUAUAUUAAAGCUCUAUUUCUUCUGUGAUCUAAACCGCCAAAAAGUUCUAAAAUAGGUACAUAGAAUUUUGUUUUUUUUUAAAUUAUUUAUUUAUGAAGUAUUAUUAUUAUUAUUCUUUUUCUUUUCAUGGGGAUUGGGGGGAGGGGUGGUAGGGGCAAGAUAGAAGCCCCAUUCUUGACAUACGGGAUAGAUUGUAUAUUUAUUUAGUGCUAUUGCGUGUAACCCAAGAGGCCAAUAUAAUUAACCAAAUUGAAUUGAACAAAAACUUUUUGUUUUCUGUUGGUGAACUUAAUGCUUGAUAUCCACCUUAUCCCAUUCUUUAACAAUAGAUACUAAUACCCUGCGGAGGAAAAUGUUUCUGGAGUAGAACGACAUUCCCAUCCAAUCGUUGCAAUUUCAACAAAUUUAUAGAUAACGGAUGUCUUGACUUUUAACAACCUCACAUUCACGAAGUUGGGGCUAACUUACGAGAGAUGACUCGUUCAUUUUUUCCCCAAUCCAUAAUCGCAGCCUUCUCUUAUCUUUAUUGUUUAUGGUCAUUUGAAUUCUCCUGCAUAGGCUGGUAAUAUUUUUUGAAAAAAAUAUUUUGCAAAUUACCAUCAACUUGAUUUUUUAUGGGCUUCUUUUAAGAAAUUUGUCUAUAGCUUUUUAUAAAUAAAAAUCAUAAUAACUUAAUUUCACAUUACAAAUAAAAAAAGUUAGCAUCCACUUGAAAAUUUCUUGUUUUUGAAAAAUUUGAAGUUUCAAAGAAUUCGUUAAUUGAUUUUUCCACUCCACUUAAGAACGACAUUCCUUAUUUUUAAAAAUUUAGAAAGAAUUUAUUCUUGAAAUAAAUUUCAUUAGUAACUUGAAAUAAAUUUAAAAUUCUUAUGAUGGUGACAAUUAUGAAUUUUCAAUUGUUUAAGGGUCAAUGUAUAUAGAAAUGAGGAUUUAUUAAAAUUUAAUGGGGUUCAAAUAAGUUGUAACUUUAAAAUUUUCUAAAUUUCCUAAACCUCAAAGUUAAGUACAGUGAAUUGACCCAUUCUUGCACCGGCUCUGGCGCUCUACCAGUGUAAUAGACAACAUGUUUCCCUAGUGGGCCCUCGAUUAUUCUCCACUUUGAGAGACGUAUGUUUAGUGUGUUCAUUUUGCGGAGGUGAUGAACAUCUUGCGGAGGCGUAAAGCCGAAGCCAGAAACAACACUAGAGGAUACAACCAGAUUUCCUCCAUUAAACCAGCUCACUUCUUGUCCUACAUACUACUAGCAUUUAACCAUGGGCUGAUCCAUGUCGUGGAUCCAAGGUAGAAGUUGAGCCUCGUCUCUAACUUUUGGUUUGAGAUCUGACUGGCCCUUUGCUAAUGGGAUUUGGUGCCACCAAAUCUCUCGUGAAGACCGAAAUUGCGAUUUCUUUCUUAUUUCAGCCUCUUGCUUGCAUGCAAUACUUUAUUUACUACGACAUACGAAUAAACUCAAUAAAAAUAAAUAAAAUUACUAUUAAAGCGACAAUAUAGCUACCUUAAUUUAGAACCUUAAAUUGUUUCUUGAGUAAGUAUAUUGAUAUAGACGAUGGAUUAUUGAAUCCAUGAUUCUUCAUUCUUUAUCGGGUCAUCACCCAGUGAAUGAAUGAAUACUUGAUAACUAGCAAAUCCAUGUAGUAAUCAUCUAAGGGAGUUGAAGAGGGGAAAAUGAAAAGGACAAGCAUCAAAUCCUGCACAGUGAAUUGAUAAAUGUUGAUCUCAGGUCACAAACUUACAAGUCGCACAGUUACAAUAUCUUCAAAUAAAAUAAUUUGCUUUACAAAUUUUAAUCAUUUUUUUUAUCCUUUCAAUCAAUUUUUUUAUAUCACAUACAUUACAUCACAAAAAGUGGUACAACAAUUAUCUCAAAUGGAUCAUCCAAAUAAACUCAUAUCCAAACCACUAAACAGGUAUAAAUACUCAAUCAAAACUAGGUAAAGGGGGAUCUUCUUUUUCUUCUAUCAUCCAUUAAUAAAAAACUUUCUCUCACACUUAUUUCUCUUAUUGACACGAGUGUCCGAGUUAAUUUUCAGGGAGAAAGCCCCGUUCUUUCCUAGGUCUGCGAAGUUAAUUAAACGAAGAGUAAGAUUAUCAAAUCAAUCACAAGCAGGUGCAUCUUUUCCCUUUUGUAGGGGUAUUUGAUGGAAAAUGGAGAAGUGGUAGCUCCCAUUUUUCUUUAAGAGUUCAAAUUUGUAAGGCCCAAAAACAACCAAUGCAAAGAUCAUAAACGAAACAAUAAGUAAAUAAAAAGGAAAGGAUUGCAAACCAAUUAACUACCCAAUUCCUCUUGAGCUUGUAGAUUAAUUGAAACAAGUUACUUCAAGUUGAUGAAUUACAAUCACUCUUGUGUACAAAGGAAGGUUCACCUCCUCCUUGCCCCAAGCAGCACUCGGUCAAGCCAGGACGUUUUACUAUCCCUCAGGACAACCCUCUCAGAGCUACACUCAUGAAAGAUUCACUCACAAAUGAAAAGCUUACAAUGAACCUCACACCACUAAGACUACAAAUAUUCUUUUUGUAGUAUUUUCUCACUAAAAUCUCUCUAGAUCUUUUGUAUCUUCAGUGUGCCAAAGUUGUUUGAAGUAUCUGACCAACCACUAUUUAUAUAGGACCAAGAAAGAGCCUCAUUAAAGCUUCCAACGGAUAGAAAGUAACUGAACAGUCAACUAGCCGUUGGUAGUGUCGGACGUCCGAUAGCACUGUUUUAUGCGUCCGACAGCAGGCAGUGAGUUUGAGAAAUUUUCUUCAAUUCUUUCGGACGUCCGAUAGGCUGGUUUUCUGCGUCCGAAGGUAUGAUGUAAAACUGAGAAUUUUUCUUCAAUUCCUUAGGACGUCCGAUAGGCUGGUUUUCUGCGUCCGAAAAUACUCAAUGGUUGUCGGACGUCCGAUGCAGUCUUUUUGAGCGUCCGACAGCUUCAGCAUACUUUGUCUUUUUCCAAUUGCACUUGUUCAUGGAAUCAAAUAAUUUCAUAACUGAAAAUAUAUCUUGAAGAAAUAUUAGUAUCAUCCAUUUGUUUUGUAAACAUCAAAAGAUAGGGAUCAAACUCAACAAUCUCCCCCUUUUUGAUGAUGACAAAACAAUGGAUGGAAAGAAACAAAAAUAAGUAUAAGCUCCCCCUCAAUCAUUGCAAUCAAAACUUUUAAGAGCCAAACUCAUAAUCUCAUAAUAACUCCCCCUUACACAUUGCAUCCAUCUCUCCCCCUUUUUGUCAUCAUAAGAUGAGAGUAAUAUUCAAAAAUAUCAGCGAAAACUCAAAUCAAAAUAUCAGAAAUAUCAAAAGAAAAAAAAUAUUCUGAACAAGAAUCACUGCAAUGAUUAGACAAAACCUUCUACUUGUUAAAAUUAGUAUCAUGUCUAACUAUCCACAUGCAUUUCAUGCCUUUUUUUAUAUUUUUUCUCACAUAGCAAUCACUUUUCAUGUGACCUUUUUGACAACAGAAAUUACACAUAAUCAGGGAAUUAUUUAUAUGAACAGGUUUAAUAAAUCUUACUUGUCUUCUCCUAUGGAUAGCAAACUCAUUUGCAGCAGAAUUUAUCUUAAAAUGAGUUUUUGAUUUAUUACUUUGAAAACAGUCCUGUUUUUUAUGUUAAAGCAACUCAUUUAAAUCAUCAAUUCUUCUUUUCAAAUCAUCUUGUUCCCUUUUGAACAUUUCACAAAAACUUGUUUUUCUAUUAAGAUCCAAGUGUAAGGCAGUCUCACUUUUUUUGAAGUAAUCAUUUUCAGCUUUCAACUUUUUAUUUUGUUGAAAAAGAUUUGCAUUAUCUCGAAGCAAAAAACUAAUUUUCUAUUUUAACUCCUUGUUUCUAACAUAAGAUUCUUUCAAACUAUCAUGCAAUUUUAUAAUGAAAUAUUCAAGAUCAUCAUCUUCAUCAUCACUUUCAAAUUGAGAGUUAGAAAAUGUUACCUCAUCAUCUCCAAUGGCCAUGAAAGCCAAUUGAGCAGAUUGAUCUUCCUCUUCAAUUUCACCAUCGGAAUUGCAUUCAUUUCAUGUAAAUUGAAAUUUGUUUAUUCUUGGUUUUCUUCCUUCUUUCUUCUUCAUAAUUGGACAGUCAUUUGCAUAGUGUCCAGGUUGGCCGCAUUCAAAGCACUGAUCAGUUUGCUUUUUGUUGAACUCUAGCUUCCCUUUGUUUCUCGAGUUGUUGAACUGAUUUGGGAAUGAAUUGCUAGGUCCACCAUUUCUGAAUCUCCUCUUGUUGAGUAUUCGUUUGAAACUUUUUGUGAUGAGAGCGAUAUCAUUGUCAUCACCUUCCACAUCUUCUUCAUCUAGGGAGGCAGAAUCAUCUUCAUCUUGUGAGGCUUUUAGAGCAAUAUUCUUUCGCACUUUUGCAUCCUCUUCCUCUUGCACCUUAGUCUUAAGUUUCAGCUCAUAAGAAGUAAGAGAGUUAAUAAGAGAUUCAAUAGGCAUAAUAUUCAAAUCUCUAGCCUCCUCAAUAGCAGUCACUUUAUUUUCCCAAUCAUUGGACAAGGCAUUCAGGAUUUUUCUAUUUUUCUCACCAAGAGAAUAUUCUUUUUCCAGCACCUCUAAAUCUUUAAUGAGAUCAUUGAAUCUACAAUACAUUUGAUCAACAUUUUCAUGAGGUUCCAUCUUGAAAGAUUCAUACUUUGUAACUAGAAUGGACUUCUUUUGUUCUCUAACAUUCUCACUACCUUCAUGAAUUUCUUUCAGUUUGUCCCAAAUUUCUUUAGCUGACUUGCAACCCUUGACUCUAAUAGAUUCAUUUGAGUUUAAUGCACAAUAUAACACAUUCAUGGCUUUUGCAUUUAAGGUGAGAUGAGCUCUAUCCAAAGCAGUCAGUUCACUUCUUGUUUUCGGUCUAGAUGCAUGAGUAUUUUCAUCUAUAAGAGAGGCAUUAUAUGGACCUUCACUAAUAAUAAACCACAAUUCGAUAUCAAUAGAUUGCAAAAAGAUAAUCAUUCUUCCUUUUCAACUCAUAUAAUUUGACCCAUUAAAUACAGGUGGUCUAAUAACAGAAUGUCUUUCAAAAAACAUAGCAUUAUUGGUUGUCAUCUUUACUCCAAAGCCGAUUGAGCUUAAUCUCUAGGAGACCAAGCUCUGAUACCAAUUGUAAGGCCCAAAACAACCAAUGCAAAGAUCAUAAACGAAACAAUAAGUAAAUAAAAAGGAAAGGAUUGCAAACCAAUUAACUACCCAACUCCUCUUGAGCUUGUAGAUUAAUUGAAACAAGCUACUUCAAGUUGAUGAAUUACAAUCACUCUUGUGUACAAAGGAAGGUUCACCUCCUCCUUGCCCCAAGCAGCACUCGGUCAAGCCAGGACGUUUUACUAUCCCUCAGGACAACCCUCUCAGAGCUACACUCAUGAAAGAUUCACUCACAAAUGAAAAGUUUACAAUGAACCUCACACCACUAAGACUACAAAUAUUCUUUUUGUAGUAUUUUCUCACUAAAAUCUCUUUAGAUCUUUUGUAUCUUCAGUGUGCCAAAGUUGUUUGAAGUAUCUGACCAACCACUAUUUAUAUAGGACCAAGAAAGAGCCUCAUUAAAGCUUCCAACGGAUAGAAAGUAGCUGAACAGUCAACUAGCCGUUGGUAGUGUCGGACGUCCGAUAGCACUGUUUUAUGCGUCCGACAGCAGGCAGUGAGUUUGAGAAAUUUUCUUCAAUUCUUUCGGACGUCCGAUAGGCUGGUUUUCUGCGUUCGAAGGUAUGAUGUAAAACUGAGAAUUUUUCUUCAAUUCUUUCGGACGUCCGAUAGGCUGGUUUUCUGCGUCCGAAGGUAUGAUGUAAAACUGAGAAUUUUUCUUCAAUUCCUUAGGACGUCCGAUAGGCUGGUUUUCUGCGUCCGAAGAUACUCAAUGGUUGUCGGACGUCCGAUGCAGUCUUUUUGAGCGUCCGACAGCUUCAGCAUACUUUGUUUUUUUCCAAUUGCACUUGUUCAUGGAAUCAAAUAAUUUCAUAACUGAAAAUAUAUCUUGAAGAAAUAUUAGUAUCAUCCAUUUAUUUUGUAAACAUCAAAAGAUAGGGAUCAAACUCAACAAAAUUGUUAAAUAAGACAUAAACAUUCUCCAAAGAAAUAGAAUUCCUUAGUUUAGUUAGAAGAAGAAAUCAUUCCAAUCAUUUUCAUCAUUCUAAUACUGUAGUCCUACUUGGGCUUUAUUUUGGGUAAACAACAAAAAAACCCCCUGUGGUUUCAUAUCAUACCAGUCGAUACCCCGUGGUUUGAAUUAACUGAAAAGUGGACGGAAAUCGGCAAAACAGACGGAGCUGAAUGAAUAGACGAAAAUACCCUUUUGAUAUAAGCGAAAAUUGCAGAAGUAAUUUUGCACUUUCAUUCUAUCGAAACCAACGAAGAGAGAGAGAAAGAAAUAGAAAACCCUAGAGAGAGAUAGAGCAGCCCCUUUUCUAGCCAAUUUUCAGCAAAAAUUUCGAUUGUUAUUUCAAUCAAAUAUCAAGAUCGACGGAGAAUACAAGGAAUGAAGAUUUGCGGUAAAAAAAUUGAAGAAAAAUGGGUUAGCAUAUCAUCUCUCAUCUAUUUCGAUUCGGGUUUUAGGGUAUGUUGUACAAGAAAAAUUGUUAUUUACUGAUUUCAGAUUAAAUUGGGAGGCCAUUAUUUAACAAAGAUAGCUUUUUUGAUGUAUUUAUGAAUGUUGUUAAUGAAGAUAAAGGUUUUUGAUGUAUGCCCAGCAAACCUAGCCGCAUAGAUAGAUAGUUUAAGCGUCCCUUUCAAAUUGGUGAAGUUUUGAUAAUUUUUGAAAGCUUAAAAAGAGACAGCUUUAUAGAAGAGGUCCCUCCAAAAACGCGUUUAGCAGCUUUGGUUCCAAUGCCUCAGUUGUUUGGGAUGAUAAGGCUACGUGUUUCAGGUCCUAAUUUGGUCAUCCCUUGUUUUUGGUUAGACUCAAUUGUUGAGUCUGACAGUCCGUCUUUUUGGCUUGAAGUUAUACUAUCAAAGUGCAGUAUUACUUCUAUUGAUAAAUUACUACUGUUAAAUGCCAUGAUUAGUCAAGCAUGCCAAUUUCUGUAAUCUAUCAUUAUCUUAAUAUGGCUUAUAUCGAGACAUGUUGUGGUCCAAUGUGGUCCCCAAUUGUUUGUUCUGAUUGUAUUAUGUUAGUUUUUUGUGUACUUGUGAAAGACUCUGAGAACUUUAUUGCUUGUCAUGGUAUCACAGAGGAGAAAUCCGAGGACAAAGUUCAGAUACACAUGUAUUUUGGUGGGAGAUUUAGAGAAAAACCAAGGCUCCACUACACAGGAACCCACAUGGCUAUUUUCAAAGACAGAAUUGAAGAUCAGUUAUCGAUAGUGAGCCUGUGCAGAAUGUUUAAAAAAGUAGAUGAAGGAGCAAAUAAAGUAACGUUUUGGUUUUGUGUCCCAGAUAUUGAUUUAGAAGGUGGUCUACACCCAAUUAGAGACAAUAAUGAUAUUAAUUUAAUGAAGCAGUGCUACUAGAACUUGCCAAUGGAAAGGCUAAUUUAUGUUUGUAGUGGGGAUGAGCCAUUUGAAAAGGAGCCAGAAGAUGGUGGGAUCAGUAAUGGAAUAAAAAAUGAAGGGCCUGAUACAACCUGUGGACAUGAAGAUAGUGGGGUGGUCACUAACACUACGGGGACAGGUGCAUGUGAAGAUGAUGAAGAGCCAGAAUGGUUAAAAGAUGGGUUGGAAACAAUAGAAGAUGAAGACAUCUUUAGCCCCAAGAAAGAUACUGCCGGACCCAGCAACUAUAACAAAAAAAGGUGGGGCAGGGGCAGAUGGAGACAUAAAAAAAUUGCCAAUGCAUGUAUUCUCAUUUGGUGGAAAGACAGAUGAAAAAAGUUCUCCUAAAAGGGGUUCUGUGAGAAAGAAAAGGGCCAGUAAAACUUCACAAUCUAGAGGGUCAGAUGUGAUUCGGCAAAUUGACCCCCCUGUUUCAUCUCAAAGGCCAUCAGAUGCUGAAGAUGUAAGCAUUGAAAAAGGACCUGUUUCAUCUCAAGGGCCAUCAGAAGAUGAAGCUGCAAACAUCAAAAACUCUUCUGCAACAUUUAGAGAAUCAGAUUUGAGAGAAGAAGAUGAAAGGGUAGGGAAUACUGAGGUGACUGAAAAGGAUUGGCAAGAACCUGUGGUUCCAGAUGAAGAUUUGCUGGACAAAUUUAGAUCUGGUAGUGGAGAAGAAGAUGACUGCCUUGACUUCAAUCCUGAAGUUGAGUUUGGGAAGCCACACUUUGAGCUGAAAGUGGGGCAGAAGUUUACUAAUUUUAGAGUGUUUAAAUCUGUGUUGUGUGAAUGGCUAGUAAGAGAGGGUUAUGAAGUUACUUGGGUGAAAAACUACUCCAAAAAAAUUAUUGCCAUCUGUGCAAAAGGUUGUAGUUGGAGGAUUCGGGCAACACCAAUUCAAAAUGAAUCGACCUUUCAAAUAAAGUCACUGAAGGGUGAGCAUGUGUGUGCUCGAGAAUAUCAAAAUAAGCAUGCAACAGCCUCAUAUCUGAGCAACAAAUAUCAAGAGAAGAUCAGGGAUAAUCCAAAUGUUGAUUUGAUGGGGUUGAAGAAUGACAUCAGAAGAGAUUUAAUGAUCAAUGUGUCAAUUGCUAAGGUUGGUAGAGCUAAAUGUAAGGCAAAGGAUAUGAUGCUAGGCACGGACAUGGAGCAGUAUCAAAAACUCUGGAGUUAUGCAACCACAGUCUGAGACACAAAUGCUGGAAGUACUGUAAAAAUGCAGAUUGACAAGCCUCCUGAUGGUUCAAGGGGUACAUUUCAAAGGUUAUAUUAUUGCUUAUAUGCCUGUAAGAAGGGUUUUCUUGAUGGUUGUAGACCAAUAAUUGGUCUAGAUGGCUGUUUCCUUAAGACAGCAUUUGGUGGACAAUUAUUAUCAGCACUUGGCAGAGAUGGCAACGACAACAUGGUGCCAAUAGCAUUUGCAGUGGUAGAGAUAGAGCGGUAUGACUCCUGGAAAUGGUUUUUGGAGUUGCUAAUGGCUGAUUUGGGCAUGGGAAGAGAUAACAUUCCUUGGACCUUUAUCUCAGAUAGACAGAAAGGGCUUGUGCAUGCUGUGAAUGAACUAUUUCCAAAUUCAGAGCAUAGAUUUUGCUUGAGGCAUAUGUACUAGAAUUUUAACCAAAAGUUCAAAGGAAAGGAAAUGAAAGACAUGUUUUGGGCUGCUGCAAGUGCUAGCAAUGAAAGGGAAUGAAAAAUGGCAAUGAUUGAACUAGAAAAGGCAAACAAAGAAGCUGCUGAAUGGUUGACCAGAAUUCCACCAACCCUUUAGAGUAGAUCAUAUUUUACAGGUUAUAGUAAAUGUGACAUUCUGGUAAACAGCCUAAAUGAGUCAUUCAACAACUAUAUAUUAGAAGCAAGAGAGUUACCUAUCAUUGGGAUGCUUGAAUGGAUAAGGAGGAGAUUGAUGCAGAGAAUUCAAACAAAGAGAUCUGGAAUGCAAAAGUUUCAAGGAGAGAUCUGUCCUAAUAUAGCAGAAAAGAUCGACAAGAAUCAGAGGUUGAGUAGGACAUUUGUUGCGACCUGGGACGGUGGUCACAAGUAUGAGGUCGACUGUGGUGUGAGAAAAUGUGUGGUAGUAGACUUGCGUGAGUGGACAUGUACCUGUGGAUAUUUUCAAUUAACAGGUUAUCCUUGUGCCCAUGCAUGUGCGGCGAUAGGAGUGUGUAGAUUACCUAUUAAAAAUUAUGUGCAUGCUUGCUACACUAGAGCAGAAUACCUGAAAACAUAUGCAUAUACUAUCACACCUGUUCCAAGUGAUAUUUACUGGAUAACAGCUGAAGAAGAGUCCAUAAACCCCCCUGCGGUUAGGAGAAUGCCUGGUAGACCAAAGAAACUAUGCCGGAGAGCACAAGAUGAGCCUAAGAAGGGUCAAGUAUCAACUAGAAAAGGGCUUGUGGUACAUUGCAAGAGAUGUUUUUAGCCAAGGCAUAACUCACGGACGUGCAAGAAUCCCAUUCACCUUAACUCCAAAUUUUAUAAGGUAAUUUUCCUUGUACACUUAAAUGUCAUUUGUAUAGCAUCUGUAUGUAUUAAUAAUGUUAAAUAUCAUUCUUAUAGGCACCUAAAGCAAGCGCAGCUGAACCAAUUGCUGAGUCGUCCACUCAACCACAGUCAACUAGUAAAGGAGCUCCUGCUGCACGAAGUACCACAAUGACUAGCAAACAAGCUAGGAAGGUGUACACUCAACCAAGCUUUUACAUUGAUUUAAUGAGUUUCACAAAAACAAACGGAGUUCUAAUAUACAUCUAAGUUCUCUUUAUAUAUGUAAUUGCAGCCUGUGCAUGGUACGAAUAUGAGUGGGGGUAACAGUGCUGAUGCCACCACUGCAAUAGCAACCACAGCCACAACUCCAACUAUUACUGAUGUCUUGCGAAAGUUAAGGCCAAAGAGAUCAAAAGCUAUCCAGCCUUAAUUACCUGCCUAAUAGUUGUCUAGCUGUAGUUAGACCUUCAUUUUGGAAUAUUACAUGCAGUUGCAAUAAUAUUUGCAACUAUCUGGAAUGUACAAUGAUUGGUUGUCAAUGAAAAUGUAAUGUCUACUGAUCUGCAUACAGUUAGCUUGUGUAUUUACUAUUUUUGUGGUGACUGGAUGAAGUUCUUGGGUACCAGAUUUUGGUUGUGUGAAAUGGCAACCAAAUUUUGUAGUUACUGAAUGAUUCUGGAAACAGUGAUGGAAUCUAUGUUCUGCAUACACUUGGCUUAUGUAUUUACUAUUUUUGUGGUGACUGCAUGAAGUUCUUGAGUACCAGAUUUUGGUUGUGUGAAAUAGCAAGCUGAUUUUGUAGUUACUGAAUGAUUCUGGAAAUAGUGAUGGAAUCUAUGUUCUGCAUACACUUAGCUUAUGUAUUUACUAUUUUUGUGGUGACUGAAUGAAGUUCUUGGGUACCAGAUUUUGGUUCCCUAAAAUGGCAACCAAAAUUUGUAGUUACUGAAUAAUCUGGAAACAGAUUUUGUAGUUACACUCUUUAUUCUGGAAAUAGUUCUGAAUCUAUGUUCUUGGCAAGUUGAGAUGAAUGUUAUGCAGAAUGGCAACUGGCAACUUACUUCAAUUUUGUCUUCUUUUGUUUGUCUUCUAUAUCACUUGCUGUCCAAUCUUCUUUUGUUUGUCUUCUGUAUCGGUUGUUGUCCAAUUUUUAGCAGGUAUAUUUCUUACCCGUAGUGGAAACACCAGAACAAAUCUGACCAUUAUUCGGUUGGGGUAGACACCAAACAAAACUCCACAACUAGUUGAGCUAAGACUACCUGCUGAAAUGCAGCUAGUUGAGCUAACACUACUAAUGUGCAAACAAAACUCCAGCUAGCUUAUUUCGUUCAUUUUUUGGUGUUUUCAAAAUGUAGAUUACCAAAACAAAACUACAAAAUGUCGAUUACCAAUUUUGUUCAAUUUCACUGCAACAAAACUCCAUACAUCACCAGCAGCCUACCAACUAGCAAUUUGAUAGAUGAAGAACUACAUCAUCAACAACAGCCUACCAUUAUCUUAUCUGGUAGACAUCAACAACAGUAAAAUAAAAAAGAUAGAUACCAUAACACAACCUCCAACUAGCAAUUUCAAAUUCUUCAUUUCAUUGUCCAAAUUUUCCAGUUUCGAGAGCACGCCACCCAAAUACGCAUUUUCUUCAACAGGUUGGCUCACUACGGGAACAGGUGCAUCUGGAUUUGACUCGUCUCUGUAAAUUGGGUUACACCAUGAAAAGAACCCACAUUCAUCUUUUUCACGCACAAAAUAUAACAAUCCUUUCGAUUGCUUUUCCGACUCAACAAUCUUUAGCUUUGCCUUCCUUCGACAAUUACAUACCUUGUACUGGUAUCGAAGACCUCUGCCUCCAUUUUCCCCGCUUGUUAGUCGAGAACUUGAGGAAGACAUCUUGGGGUACUUUCUCCACUUUUCCUUCAGAAUUUGCAGACCGAAUAUAUACAAAUACAGUUCACAUUUUUACCUUAAGGCUUUGUUUCCUGCAAUUCCUUUGCUAGCCUGCAAGCUCUGCUUGAUUGAUUACUUGCACAGGCUUCGAAUGCUGCCUUCAAUCUUCAAUUUUGGCCGAACAUGAAGACUCGGAAGACUUGGAAGCUGGUCUCUUAUUAUUAAAGAGUGAAGGGUAAAGUAGGCAUAUCAGGUGAAAGUUUGUGGUGGAAAUCUGUUUUUCGCAUAUGCACGCGCCUUUGCAGUUUGUUUAAGACACACGUCGAAUAUUUGACGAAUUCCGUCUACUUUUCAGGUUAAUUCAAACCACGAGGUAUCGAUUGGUAUGAUAUGAAAUCACAAGGGGCUUUUAUGUAUGAUUGCUUAACCACGGGGGCUUUUUUGUUGUUAACCCCUUAAUUUUUUUCCCAAGUUGCUUUACACUUGGAAGGAUCCAGAAUUCCCAAAAGAAUUUCCAAGCAUACAUAAUAAAAGUAAAAAAAAAAUCGUAAGUCUUUUUAACAUCUAUCACGUGCGCUAGGUGUGCCCAACAAUCACAAACGCUCGCAAGGGGUAUAGAUAAUGGAGCCUAGCCAUGAGAUGCGGAUAACGUGGCUCAAUUUGAUAUUCGGAGCGUGGCAUUUGAAUGAUCAAAACCCCACUUCAUCAUAUAAGAAAGAGGAAGUUAUAUAUUGGUUUCUUUCGGGAGAGGACGCUGGACUGGUGAGGCAACCUACAUUGUGAUUGUAGCACUCUGUUUUUUUUUUUUUUUUUUGUAAUUUGAUUGUAAGUGAAAUAAAAAAAUCUUAAAAAUAUAUAAAGGUGGAUAGAAAAUGUGUAUUUAUGAUGCAACAAAAAAUAACAUUUAAAAAUAAUUAUUUCAUCCAAACACACCCAUUAUAUCAAGUUACUUUACAUCUAUCUAUAAUAAAAAUAAUAAAUGUGUUUUGAUUACAAGAUUUUCAAAAAAAAAAAAAUUUAAUUUUGUUUUGGUUACAUUAUACACACAAUUUUUCAUCAUCUUUGUAUUUUACAUACAUCACAUCACAAAAAUUGCUACAAUAAUUAUUUCAAAUAAACAUUUCAAAUAACCUCCCAUCCAAACAAACUAAUUUUUUGAGGAGUUGCGGAUGAAGAUGGGAUAAUGAGCAAAUCUAAAAUAUUCGAAUGACAAUAAUAUCAUUAAAAUCAACCAAAACAAUAAUGUGAAUCUAUUACGUUUCAUUUUCCAAAAACUACCACUAUCGAGGAAAUGGAUUUAAAAGAUUAUUAUCACACAGAAAAAAAGUCAAUUGUCAGAACUGGAAUAUUGGCAGAGUUCAAUGAGAAGAUUGCAUAAGUAAAAUUUCGUCUUAAUAUGGUUUUAAAUUACCAUCCAAUCAAGAUUUUAAAGUUCCAAGUUCUAUUUUAAUCUCCAUCCCUUGUCCCUGCAAGCUCACCCUUUCUCAGUUUCUGCUCACGUCACAUUUGCGGCCCCAAUUCAUCGAGUCAUGAGGCCUUGUGUUACUUAUCAUGUAGUCAAACUUUGACCAGGUUUUACUAAUUAGUUAUAGGCUUUGAUUUGUAUGUAUUUGGGCCUCACAUAUGAGGUGGACCAAUAUAAGCCCAACAUGUCUAAAGUUAUCAUUUAGAUUUGCACGAAUGGUUCCCUAUCGCAUGGAAAACUGAUCCGGUUUUCGAUCAGUCAGUCUAUUUUGGAUUGUUCUCUUUUCUUUUUCUUUUUUUUUAAAGACCUUCCAAAGAGGAAGGUCUUUUUGAACUUCCUUUGUCAAAAUUAUUCAUUUGCCUUCAUUUGUGCCCAAAAAGCCCCAAACAAGGAACUAGAAAAUUAAAGGAUUAAAGGAAUCACUGUGAUAGAAAAUUAGAAAUCAAAGAAUUAAAGGAAAAAGUGUGAAAUAGCUAUUAUUCAAAGUUCAAUUGUUAUCAAAUUUUUUGAACUUCAGCUUUUUCUUCUAAACUUCUUUAUAAUAUGGCCAAGAAUAAGAGAAAACUCGUAUCAUAUCCAACUUCUAUUUAUUUGUGCUUUUUCGUAUUGUGUUUUAAGUUAUUACAAAAAAAAAAAAAGUCACUCAUCUUAUUACUCCCAAGAUUUGCACGACGAUAGCACAAUCAUCAAGCUGACUCUAAUUUUUUGAUCAAAAACAUUUUUUACACAAAAUGAAAAAUGAUGAAUACACUAAUUGGACAAAGACGUCAGCGAUAUUGAACUAUAAAAUUGGUCCAAAAAUUUUUUUUGUCUUCUUUUGCUAAGAAAUUAUUUUUUUUGCUAUUCUUAUUAAAAAACAGUUUAAUUUAUACCCUCAUCGGCCCUACACGUGAAGAAAAAGCAAAUCAUUGUUUUAAACCUCUUAGUUGGUCCUUGCAUCAGUUUCACUCGUAGCAUUAUUCAAACGGUCAUUUAACAGACCUAUAAUAGAAAUUAGGAGAAUAGUCUCAUUUUGCAUAAGGUUAAAAUUAUUGGUAUCACUUUAAAAAAUUAUGUCCUUUUGCAAAAAUUAUAGAGGAGAUGAAGUGUCAUUAACAAUAAGCGGUGUCUCCAUUAAUUAUGCCAUUGUCUAGUAGAAGGUUAGCUGUUAAAUAUGGCCAGAAGUUGGAAAUUUUUUUUGUUACUAUUAAGCCUAUAUUAAACCGCUAAUUACUUGUUUAGGUGGAUAAUUUAUGUCCAAAUUUGUAGCACGAUCUGAAAUGCAAUUGAUUACUUAAAAUACUAGAAACUAGAACGGAUGCUCAAAACUUACUAUUUUAAGAAACUAGGGAAAUGCAUCUGCCUAGAGGUUGAGGAAAAAAAUAAUUGAACUAAAAUUUGAUUAAAUAAUAAAAUAAAAAAAUCAAGUUUGAGUUCCCUCUCCCCUUGGUGGUUUCUUCAGUUUUGUUGACAUCUAUGCAGGGGCGGAGCCAGGAAAAAUUUUCAGUGGGGUCAAAAGCAACUAAAAUUUUUUAUCUACUCUUUUUCUAGUUUUUUAAGAAAAAAAAUUCACCAACAAGUACAAAUGAUGCAUAUAUUUCAUGAAAAACAUAAAAAGACAAACUCAAAAUUAUUAAUGUAAUAAUAAUUUUAUUUUAAAAAGCAAAUUAAACCAUUUACAAUUGCUCAUGACGAGUUUUCAUAUUUUGAUAACAGUUUACAAUCUUUUUAUUUUGAACUUCACGAAAUAUAUUUUUCUCAAUAUAAGUAACUAAACAAUUAUUCAUCGAAGUGUCUUCUAUUCUAUUUUGUAACCGAUUCUUCACUAUAUUCAUAAUUGAAAAAAUCCUUUCUACGAUAGUUGUAAUAACAGGUAAAAUCAAAAGCAACUUUAAAAGCAUAUAAACCAAUAGAUACACAAAACUCUAGGGGGCAAUGCCUCCAGUGUAAAUCCGCCACUGCAUCCAUGGUACAAUACUUCAACCCUUCUUGCUACACAAAUGACAACGAAUAGUUAUCUUUUUUUUUCUGGGAAAGUCUAAUCAAAGGCUUCUAAUGUUGUUUGAGUUGGAGGGUUAUCGUCUUUUUGGUUCACAAUAAAAGAAGCCACAUUUUUUCCACCAAAGUUUGUGAAUUAUGAGUUUAUAUAUCAUGAUUAUGUGUUGAUAAAAUUGUCGAAUAUUUGAGUUUAAUUGUAUUAAUCUAUAUUGUCCACUAUCUACAUUUCCAAUUAUGAAUUAUCUAUUCCAUUCUCAAAACACCAUAAUUUCAAGUUUCAACUUAUUUUGUUGAUUUUGGGAUUAACUCAAAUGAAAACUAGAUAGUCUGAGUACGUGCGCAGUUCGUGUAAUGGCCACGUUGGUUGAGUUUCUCCAAAGUUGGACUGACUUCAUUCGAUGGAUGACCAUUUGCCAAAUCUGCCAGAUUUAUUUUAGGCACUUAAUGGAUUUAGGGUAAGCAACCUAUAGGCUAAAUGGUCAUUAAACUAUACUUCACUUUCGACUAAUGAAAAUUUCGCUGUUUAAAUUGUCCAUUUAACUGUUGAAGUUGGCUCUAAAAAUGGUUUCAUUUAGGGUUUCUGUAAACCUUGUUUGUACGCUCUAACGUCCCUAGUUAAGUUAGACUGAAGUACCUGGAGACCUCACCUUUUGCUUUCUUGCAUAAUAAAAUUUUUCUUAUGAAUAAACUUGGGGUGGAUAAAUACUAAAUAGUAUUAAUUGCAAAUAUCCUUCUAAAAGUUGUAUUUUAACAAGACCCUUUUUUCUUGAUGCAUUAAUACAGCAUUCAAGCUAGUAUGUAAGAAGCUGUUUUGUUUUAAAGGGAAUCGGUGCAACUUAUUGAUGGCAAUUGGUGCCGUUUUGGAUCUAAGAUAGAAAAUAUGCCUUAUAGAGUUCUCCUUCCUCAAAAUUUAUUCACUUUUUGAGUCAGAAGAAAAUCUCACCAAGGUCUGGAAAGCACUAUUCGAUGUGUAUGAGGAAUAUAUUGUUACAACUGGCAGUUCAAGUGAAAAUGUAAUUGUGUCCUACGGUAGUGCAUCUGAUGGCCGGGAUUCAAGGUAGCAAAAGUCUUUGGAUUGGAACGAUUCUACUGAAUAUAUUGUAGCAGUAUAGACUUCAGCCUCCCCGCAAAUCCGAAUUGUUAGAUUAUCUAGAUAAGCCUCAUCAUCUAAUUGGCUCAGAUUCAAGUUCAUUUGACUGCUUAUAGUGGUGGAAAGUCAAUAGCAUUACAUACCCGACUUUUUCUACGAUGGCCUGCGAUAUCUUGGUUAUUCUGAUAACUACAGUAGCAUUUAAGAUCAUGUUUAGUGCCUGAACUAGAGUAAUUGAUUCAUAUAAAGCUGCAUUGGCUCAUCAAUCUUUCAUAUACCUCCAUUUGCACAGAUUGCACCAAAGUUCAUGUGCUGGAAUUUACGUUAUUUUGAAGGUAUCAGCAUGUCUUGUUUACUAAUUUCAUGCACAUUAUAGAGGAGUUCUGCUUCUGCGUUGAGUAAUUAUGUUUCAUGCACAUAAUUUGAUUUACACAGACUUCUGGUUUUUGAAAAGAUGUAGUAUGGUGCUUGAUUCUGCCAAUUUGGAACCUGGAUGAUACAUCAUUUGAAAUAUUUGGAAAUUCACUGGCGGAUUUGUUGCUAAAUGAAAUGGUUCCGAAAAUUGAGUAAUUCUGGUUCUAGAGGACUGAGUCAUAUCAAGUGCUCAACUUGAGUCAAUCUCGAGUAAGCAAAAGUACUGUCAAUCUUGAGCUCGAGCAAAAAGAUUGCAGCUCACUCAAACUCAAGUUCAAGUAGUAGUUUUUUGGGUCGAGGCAGGCUUGAGCAUAGAGCUAUUAGAACUAUAAAUGCAAGAGAGGAUAAUAAUUGUUAAUAUGUGUAUAUAUAUGAUAGGAUAAGUGAAUACUAAGUGUAUUAACGAGUGAAUACUAAGUAUGUGUAUAAAUACUAAAAGCAUCUGCUAGAAAAAAUCCUUUUAAUUUUGUGGUAGGUGUUUUGCAUGCUACACACGCUAGAACAAUCAUUGUCUAUAAACCAAAUAUUCCCCAAAUGCAUUAAUUAACGCAUUGGUCAUAACAAAAGCAUUAAUUAACGCAUUGGUCAUAACAAAAGCCUUUGUUUUGGACGUUAAUUACAAUUGUUGUAGUAUAAUAAAAGUCAUAACAAAAGUCGUUGUAGUAUAGUGGUGAGUAUUCCCGCCUGUCACGCGGGCGACCCGGGUUCGAUCCCCGGCAACGGCGCUAAAAAAAUUUGUUUCUUUUGGAGUCAAGUAUGUGCAAUAAUAAAUAUCUAUUAGAAAAGAAUCUAAAUUUUGUAUAUAGGGUGAGUAGGGUUGAAUCCACAGGAUUAGAAAAAUUCGUUUAUUUUAGUGUUCAGAGCUUUAGGAGAUUUUUAUAUGAUUGAGGAUAAUUAAACAACUCAAAUAAAUUAAAUAAAAUAAAAACUAAAUGACAAUUUAACAAAAUUAAAUCAAUAAUGAAUAAUCUCUAGCCAAGAAAUAAUUUCAGAGACGAUUCAUGAUAGGUGCCGAACCUGUGAAAUAAUUUAUUACCUACUCAAGAAAAUACAAAUUUGUAUAUAGCGGUGAGUAAGGUCGAAUCCACAUGAACUAGGGGUAAUUCAUUUCUUUUCAAUUUCGGGACACAAGGGAGCUUUUAUAGAAGUCUCCCACGUGUGAAUUAAUUUGCUCCAGAAAGUCUCUCAUUUUUUGUAGUUUUCUACUCCAUUCCCUGAAAUUAAGUCCAGAUACCAUAUAUAACCAAAUAUAAGUAGAUAUUAACAAUUAAAGCAAUAUUUGGCAGGGACAAAGGGGGAAAUUAACAAUAAAAUUACUAACAAUUAACACCCUAUCAAUUCCCCCCACACCUGAACCAUGCUUGCCCUCAAGCAUGAGAACAGCAAUUGAACACCAAAAUUUUGCAAUGGCUGUUGCUCCAACUACCGUAUUGCCAAGAUACCCAGGAAAACAUAUAUCAAGUAUCACAGGUCAAGAUCAAAGAAAAAUCACCCCGGUUAGCUUACCAACCCCCAACUCCUCCAAUUUAAAGCAAACUAUUCUAAGAAAAAGGAAUGGUUGCUCACAUUUAUCAGCAAAUGGUCCAACUAUUAGUCAAAAUCUUACAUUAAACCUAUAAAUCGGCAAACUGACUUUUAUCACAUUUUCUAUUUUUUCUUUUUUUUUUCAAUAGUAACUGAAGACUUAAUCUCUAGCCAUUGGAGCCUUUUGACGCGAACUCCAACAUUUGUCAGAUGAAAGAGUCCGGUUACUCAACUCCUAUCGCUAUAUGAUCACGUAUUCAUAGAGAUUACUACCUUUUGACGGGAGAAUCGACACUUUAGGUGAAGAUCCCCAAUUACAGAGUAGUAACCACUAGUGGAAUAUAGUCAACUCUUAUUUACAAUCAUAUAACACAAUAACUGAAGACAACACAAAAUUAACAGCAGCCAACCUCAAAUUUUCAAACAUGGAGAACUAAAAUUAAUAAUUAGACCAAUUCACAUGAAAAAUGCCAACAAUCAUUUCCUAUGCCUAGAAAAGUUAACCAAAAAUUAGAAAAAUCAAGCAAUUACUGAUAUUCACCAAAGAGACAUUCCUGAACUCAACCACAUUAACUUGAUGCCCUUUUUUUUACUAAAACUUGGCAAUAGCAGAAUUAGAGAUAACAAUCCAGCAUCAAAACUUGGUAUUCAUAUAAGAACUAAUCACUAGAAAAAAAAAAGAAAAUAAAAUAAAUGAAAGAUAGAUGAAAACAAGCAAAAAAUAAAGGAAAACCCUCUAGAAACUAAAAAUUGGAAAAACUAGCACUACAAUUGAUCCCCCCACACCUAAAUGACACAUUGUCCUCAAUGUGACUAACCAACAGCAAAAGUAAAGAGAAAGACAACGGUACUUCCCUGAAGUCGUCAAAACAGUAGAGGUUCAGGUGAAAAUUGAGGAGCAAGGCCUGCAUAGUGCAUAAAUGCUGCCAAAUCUGCGUUAUGUUAUGCAAGUUGACGUCAAUGUGGGUCACUUGAGUCUCCAGUCGCUCAACUGUCAUCCGGAGUUGGAGCCAGUCGUCAGCCCCUGGGGUACGAUCGGAGGUAGACGGGCCGAAAUCACCGCCAUCAGCGGAGGAGCGGGCAAAAGAUGACCGAGGGGGAUGCGAAGCGAUCUCGGGGAAAGAACCUCCCACCCAUUGUCACCUUCCCGAACCAAACCUAUUUUCUCUAGACAAGGAAUGUCCAAGGGCUCCAUUUGACAGGCGACAUGCAAAUCAUGAUUAGAAAGAUCAAGUACAUGCAAAUUAAUAACCAAAUGAGUAAUGUAUGACCCAAGAAUCAAGGGCGCUUCUUUUUAGGUAAAACAGAUUUGAACUGAGAAGCGAGCCAGCACCCCAAGUUAACUUUAAUGUUAUUAUGCAUGCACCAAAUAAAGAAAAAUUGCGGCUUAGACAAAAACGCUCCACCUAUCUCGCCUACUCGAGAAACUAUAUGCCAAGAAACGGUGGAUAUAACGAGACGCGGGGUCCUUUAGAUAGCAACACUUAGACAAAUGAGGGUCAUAAUUAGCACGGUUAGGUAAAACAGAUUUGAACUGAGAAGCGAGCCAGCACCCCAAGUUAACUUUAAUGUUAUUAUGCAUGCACCAAAUAAAGAAAAAUUGCGGCUUAGACAAAAACGCUCCACCUAUCUCGCCUACUCGAGAAACUAUAUGCCAAGAAACGGUGGAUAUAACGAGACGCGGGGGUCCUUUAGAUAGCAACUCUUAGACAAAUGAGGGUCAUAAUUAGCACGGUCAACAGACAUAUUCUCCCAAAUAUGUCGAUAGUAGGAGAAAAAGGGUUGUACGUAGUCACAUGCACUCUCGACAUACUCACGACAGUCGGCAUAUGCCUGAUUAAUAAAACUAAGAGCAAGAUUGAAAUCAAUAAUGGAAUGGUGGAACUCUUGACCUAUUAGUCUAAAACGGAUGACAUUGGGAGUAGAAACUGUGCAACCCGUGGGGAGGUCGAACUCGAAUGUGGCAUAGAACUCCCUAAUCAACUCGACAAAAGUUGGACGGUCAACAAUAUAAGUGUAGGGAUGCCACCCAAUUGCCUGGAUCAAGCGAUCAAAGUCAACCCUAAUAUUUAGAAGGCCCAAGGUGGCGGCGUCUCGAUAUCGACAGGGGGUAAUCCGCCGUUCACAACAAGCAGCAUAUCGCUACUUGUCAGUGGCCCUGGUGAAGUUCAAAUUACUUCCAAAAUGUAAGGGUCAGAAAUAUGGACGUGGGGGAGGCUGUGAGUGUCUAGGUGUCCUAGACCUAGAAGCGGAUCUCGACCUCACCAUGGUAACUAGCAGGCAGCCCAAACAGCAAAAGACAGAAUAACCGGCAAAUUGGAAUCAAUAAUAAUGGAAGAACCACUGGUGCUGUCCCCCGUAUGCAACCCAAACAAUAGACAGCACAAUUCAGGCACCCAAAAGCUAUAAAAAUACCCCAACAAUACAACAAAGUCAAACAAUAAGCACUGGUAUCCCAAGCUUAGCCAAAUGCAGAAUCAAUGGACCCCAAAGUGCAACAAAUGUUCCCAAGAACUCAAUAAUUGAAAUAAAAAAGACACAAUACCCCCAAACAAGGCAACCUAAGGCAACCUACUUCAACAAGCAAAUUUAAGCGUUAUAGGCACCUUCCAAUUUAACAAACAACCGCAGCAGAUUACCCACAAUUAGACACAAAUUACAGCAAAUUAGACACAAUUGGACCAAAAAUUGUAACAACUGUCUCCAAUUGGACAGUCAAUUACCCAAUUCAACAUGCUAAAAUUAGCAAUUGACUCAAGAAAAUGGCAACUCCAACAGCCACAGUUCAGAAUGCGGACUAAAACAACUCAAACACAAAUGUCCAGUAGUCAGUUAAGCAACCAAUAACAUAAAAGGGAUAAAUUUUAUACACACUAUCACAACCAGUACCACUGGUGUGCCCCACAAAAAAUGGAACAACUCGAACUUCCAAGCAAAUCAACAAAAUCUCAAACUAGUCACCCACGAUCGAGAUAAAAGAUCUAAGCAAACGCACAAUUUGAAUCAAUAAGCAGACUAUCUCCAGCAGGUCAAUUAAAUUCACCCAAAAGCUGUAAGUAAAGAAAAUGACAUCCACACAAAUUAUGGCCCACAAAUAACAUCAAUUUAUUCAAUUAGAAAGCAGCAAAAGGGCUUCAGUGAAAAUGAAAGGUGACCCACGCACUUGAGAGUGCAAAAUCGCAAUCAAGGGUUGAAAAGAAUGUGUACCGACGCCCCAAGUGUGAAGGCGGCACUGCCGGGUGGUUGUCGUGAGAGUGGAGGUGUAGCGGCGUCGUGAGCUGGCGGAAGUGAUGGAAGCACGGGACUACUUGGUGGAGUAAGGAUGCCUUUGGGAGCGUUUGGGAAGAUGGACUGCGGCCGAGCGCGAGGGGGCAACUGCUGGAGUGAGGCGUGGCUGCUUGGGCUAGGCUAAAGGCACACAUGGACUGCGGCGUGCAUACGGGAGGUGGUGGCAACGGCUGAAGCUAGGUAGAGAGGAAAAGGGGAAUGGCGGGGAGCUCUGACAGGGCGUCAAACCUGUGCAAUAAUAAAUAUAGAACCUAACUACCACUAAAAGCAGUCAAUAAUUAAUCCUAGGUACUGGAGCAGGGACUCUAUGUGUGCAAUGGGUUACUUGAUUCACCCUGUUCCCGAAGAGUUUGCUGAAUCCGAUAUACCAGAAUUAAUUAGUUGGCAAAAAUUACUGAAUAGUACACAGUGACAAGUAGGGUCGUCUCCUCAGGAACUGGGGAUAUUUGUCUCUCUUAAAUUCCAAUUAGUAUGGGGGAUUUCACCGGAAUGAAACUAACAAUAAUUAGACAAUUCAAAUAAAAAUGAAUACUUAACUAGCACAAAUAUAGCAGGAAUUAAAUCAAGAAUAAAUAAAUUCUAGCCACGGAUGCAACUACUCAGGCACAAUCCAUUUAUCCGAUCAUUGAUGCAAGAGAGGUUCACUCAAUUUAUUAAUAGGCUAGUUAUAACCAUCGAUGAACUCUAAUGACCAAUUUUUCCUUAAUUUAUAAAUGACCAAGGUACGACCAUUAAUCACCCCUAACCAGAAAAGUACUCUUAGGUACGAUCGUAGGAUUUAAUUUUUCAAUUGCAUUAAUAACCAGAAAAACCUAGCCCUAAUCAAUAACACGCUACGAGGGUUAUUUAAAUUAGAUUGCACGUUCCCCUAAUGUGUAAACACACCAGUUGCCACUAAUAUUAAUCAAUCAAACAAUUACGGAUUUAAUUGACUAAAUUGGCACGAGAUUAAUAAAUCACAUUGAACAUCGGGCUCUUGACAUCCAAUUAAUAAAAUAAUCCCAUGAAAAUUCAAGCAGACAACGUGCAAAUAUUAAUAAAUAAAGGAACACGUGAAAACUAAUUAGAUCUCACAGAUUUUCGGGACUGCGCCGUCGAGUUGACCCUUGACUAGAUGGAAGACUUAGCCACGCCGCAUAAUUAAAUCACCACACGAAUUAAUGGAUUGCAUAAACAUUGCGGUUUUUACUAGAAAGCAAAGGGUGAAAGAUGUUUUUCCCGUUGGGGUAUAUUGUCGAACAUCUGGCGUGUGUCAGAGGCCAGUCAAAAGAAAGAAAACUAAAAACUGAACUAAAAGCUAAAACUGGCCAGCCGACUGCUUCUGUCCGUUCUCUACUUAUAGAGAAACAAAAGGAAGUUGACUCAAGCUACCUAGUCUGCGGUCCCACCACAAUUAGGAAGCAAGCAAAAGAUUACAAGGAAAAAGCUUCUCCUCGUGUGUUUCUCUCAAGAGCCCAAUUGAAGAAAAGCCUUUGCUUCUUCGUGGUCCCCGCUGAUGUCCCUCUUGAAAGCCAAAGGAGAUUACUAAUGCUCUCUCCCGUAGGACUUGAGCCAAUGAAGUACACAAGGUGGGCCCUUAGCCCAAUUGUCUUUUGUUCCCUUUCUUUUUGGUAGUUUUCUGCUCCAUCCCUGGAAUUAGACCCAAGUACCAAAUAUAAGUAGAUAUCGGCAAUUAACACAAUAUUUGAUAGGUAUAACAGGGGAAAUGAGUAAUAAAAUUACUAUCAAAUACUGCCCUAUCAAUUCCCCCCACACCUGAAUCAUGCUUGCCCUCAAGCAUGGGGACAAUUCAACUCAACACAGGCUAGCUUUCACAUCAUCAUUGCCAGUUGUGCUUAUACCAAAAUUAAGAUUUAGUGGCUAAGUGUCAAUACAUCUCUCCCGGUUAGCUCCUAAAUUCAUAGACCUGUCUAGUUCAUGCUAACUCGCCUAGGAAAUCCAAAUAUUAACUAGCAACAGUCAGUAAUUAAGUCAACUGGCAACCAAAAUCUCAACAGUGCGAACCAAGGAUCGGCAGGCCAACAUGAUCAUAAACUCAAAUUUUUCACAUCUGAUUUUUCUUUUUUUUUCCUGAUUGAUUUUUUUUUCUUGAUUUUUUUCCUUUUUUUUUUUUGAUUGCACGAAUAAUGCUUAGUCCCAAGCUAUUCAAGUCUUUUGACGUGAACUCUGACAUUUUUAGAUGAAAGAGCCCAGUUACUCAACUUUUCACAGCGCCAGGGCUACUUACUCAUAGAUAUCGCCACUUUUUAAUGCGAGAGCCGACACUUGUGGUGAAGGCUCCCGGUUACUAGGUGGCGACACUAGCGGAGUAUAGCCAUAUGUUAUUCACCAAUAAGCACCAAAAUAUCAAGUAAUUACAGAUCAUAGCCUGCGUCAUGUCCUAAAUAUGGAGAACUAAGGUAAACAGGAGACCAAUCUACCCAACAAUGCCAGCAAAAUAUUCACAUCGCCUAAACAAGUCAGCCAUAAAUUGCAUCAAGUCUUAAACUCAAAAUAUUCACCAAGACAGCAUGCUCUUACUUGCCACCGAAACUCAAGUCAUAGUAUAAACCACAACUAACAAGAAGCAUGUGAGCUGCCAACAUAUUCACCAAGAUAAAAGCAAGGGAAAACACCCAAAAGGGAUAAAGGAACAACACCUAAACAGAAAAUACUUAAACUAAAAACAUAGGAAAAACACCCUAGAAACGGAAAUGGAAAAUAUCUAGCACUCAAACAAAGACCCCCCCACACCUAAAUGACACAUUGCCCUCAAUGUGAUAAACCAGCAACAAAAGUAAAGAGAAGGGCAACGGUACUUCCCCAGAGUCGUCAGAACAUGGGAGGGUUAGGCGGAAACUGAGGAGGGAACCCGGCUUGCUGCAUAAAUGCCGCUAGUUUCUGCGCCAUAUUGUGAAUGUUAACGUCCAUGUGUUUCUGCCGCGUCUCAAGCCGCUCGACUGUGUUUCGGAGAUGGUGCCAUUCCUCGGCCGUAGGGGCGGAAGGGGGGAGCGGAAGAAGAAGGACCGAGGUCACCGCCCGCCGUGGAGGCACUGGCAAAGAAUGAACGAGGAGGAGGUCUAAUCGGUCCCGGGGGAACAAUCUCCCACCUGUUGUCACCCUCCCGUACCAAACCCAUUCGCUCCAAGCACGGGAUGUCCAAGGCCUCCAUUUGACAAGCAACAUGUAAAUCAUGGUUAGAGAGAUCAAGCAACUGCAAGUUAAUAGCCAAAUGGGUGAUAUACGACCCAAGAAUCAAGGGGCGCUUCUUUUUUGUCAAAACAGACUUAAAUUGAGAAGCGAGCCAGCACCCUAAAUUAACCUUAAUAUUAUUAUGCAUGCACCAUAUGAAAAAGAACUCUGGCUUGGACAAUAUACCCGAGCUAUCUCGCCUACCCGAGAAACUAUACGCUAGGAAGCACUGGAUGUAGCGAGAAGCCGGGUCCUUGAUGUAUGAGCUCUUGGACUGGCGAGGAUCAUAAGAGGCAGGGUCGACGGACAACGCCUCCCACAUACUUCGAUAACGAGAGAAGAAAGGCUCUAUGUAGUUGCACGCACUCUCGGCAUACUCCCGAGAGGCGGCAUAGUCCGGAUCAAUAAAGCCAAAAGCUAAAUUAAAAUCAGUAAUCGACUGGUGAAACUCCUGACCCAUCAAUCGAAAGCGAAUGACAUCGGGGGUAGACGCAGAAUAACCGGUAGUGAUGGUGAACUCAAAAGUGGCAUAGAAGUCCCUUACCAACUCAACAAAGGCCAGGAGAUCAACAAUACGGGAAUAUGGGAGCCACCCAAUGCCAUUGAUCAAAUGGUGGAAGGGUUCGCUAAUAUUUAGAAGGCCCAAGGUGGCGGCGUCCAGAUAUCGGCAGGGAGUGAUCUGCCGCUCACAACAAACAGCAUAUCGCUGCUUGUCGGCGACCCUAGUGAAGUGCAGAUUUCCCCCAAAAUGUGCAGGGUCAGAAAUAUGGACGCCCCUCUGUCUCCCAAGGCGAGCUCUCCUCCCAGAGGAGGAAGGUUCGUGCGAGGGGUCAGAGGCGGGAAUAGUGGGUGUGGGUGUUGGAGGCUGUGAUGGCCUAGGUGUCCUAGACUUAGAAGAAGAUCGAGGCCUCACCAUGGUGAUCAACAGGCAAACCAAAACAAUAGAAAGCACAAUCCAGGAAUCCAAGAGCUAGAGUAUGACCCCAAGCAAGUCCAGUAUACCCCACUGAGUAACAAUGAUAAGCGUCACGAGCGCCCCCAAUAAGCAAAUAUACGGGUGCCCCCAAUAAGCAAAUAUAGCAAGUCACCCACAAUUGGACACGAAAUAUAUGAAUCCGACACACGUGGACCUAUAACCGGAGUCACUGUCUCUAAAUGGACAGUCAAGAACCCAAAACAGGUUGCUACAAGCAGCAAGUAACUCAAAGAGCUAGCAAUUCCAGCAACAGCAGUUGAAGUAAAUAAAAUAAAAAUAUAGCGCCACAAAAAAAAAUCCCUAACAGUCAAUGAAGCCCAAAUCUGUCUAAAAUUACCCAAGAAGUACCCAAAUCAACACCUUCUUAUAUCCAUCAAGAAAUCCAACCACAAAUUGCAGAUAGUGAAACUAAUUGGGGAAGAAUUCACAAUACCUCCACCUGUCUAAAUUGGACAGGUGGUGACAGUCGCGCGAGGUUGGCGGACGAGGGCCGGGAAGCUGGUGGCAGCUGCCGGAUGGAGAGCGGCAGGGAGAAAUUGGAGCUGAACAUGCGGCGGCCGACUUCGGGCUCCUGGCCACUCCUGGUGGCACGCGAGGAGUGGAAAGCUGGCGGUGCUCACGUGGUGGUGGCGUCGUAUGGAGAGAGGCGCGGCGAGCCUUGGCCGCGAGCUGGUGGUGGAGCGAGUGGGUAGGAGGAGCUGCGCGCAGGUGAAGAUUCGACCGUGGCUAUCAGCUUGGGCUUCGUCGACGAGCUAUGGCGGCGCGCGAAGAGCUGGUGGCACACGAGGUGGAACUGGUGCUAGAGCGAGGCGCAGCUGAGGUCGCGCGGCUGCAGAGGUGUAGAAAGGAGGAGAUCUGUGGCGGCUGUGAACUCACGGGUCGUGGGCUAGCGGCGGCGCAGGCUGCGGUUGUCGGGUGAAGAAGAAAAGAAAAAAAAGGAAAAAGGAAGCAGCGGAGAAGAAGGAAGAAAGAAAGAAGAAAAGAAGGAAAGAAAGAAGAAAAGAAAAGAAAGAAAUUUUUUUUUUUUUUAUAAACCUUGUUUCUGCAUUUUUUUGAAUUCUUCCGUAUCUUUCUUUUCUUUUUUUUUCAUUCAUUUUUGUAAUUUUUUUAAUUUUUAAAAUUUUUUUUUCGAGAAAUAAUCUUUUCUUUUUCGUUUAAUGAAAGUAAUAAUAAUAAUCAUUUUUUUUUUGAAUUCAUGUUUUGGGUCAUCAAACAUGGCGUGGGCACGUCAAGAUUAGAGAGCAUCCACUGAUUUCGAGAAUUACCUUACGCACUUUAACACGUGCCCUCCUCGCGUGGGCACGCCAAGAUUACCUAUCCUGAUCAAAGUUAGAAAACAUCAAGAGUGACUAGUACCCACGUGAGAAACGACAUAAUUAAAUAAUUAAGCACUAAAACAAUAAAAUUAACAAUUGGGUUGCCUCCCAAAAGCGCCUUUCUUUAACGUUUUUGGCUAGACGUUGCCCAAAACUUUGCUCAAACUAAGGAAAUCGAGUCCUCUAAGUGCAUCAUCUCCACCCGUCCAAUUAGAACCCCUUCAUAAUAUGGUUUGAGACGAUGACCAUUCACUACAAAUUUCUUCUCAGUUUUCAAAUUUUGGAUCUCUACUGCACCAUAAUGAAAGGCAUUAGUCACAACAAAAGGACCAAUCCAACGAGAACAUAAUUUACCUGAAAAUAACUUUAAUUUGGAGUGGUACAGUAGAAUUUUUUGCCCACACUCGAAUGUCUUCCUUGAGAUCUGUUGGUCAUGAAAAAUCUUAUUCCUCUCCUUAUAGAUUACCGCAUUCUCAUAAGCUUCAUUGCGAAUCUCCUCCAACUCCUGUAAUUGUAACUUUCUUUGGAUUCCGCCCUCCUCAAUAUCCAUAUUGCAUUGUUUACCGCCCAAAAUGUUCUAUGCUCAAACUCCACUGGAAGAUGGCAAGGCUUACCAAAUACCAACCUAUAGGGAGACAUCCCUAUCGGUGUCUUGUAAGCGGUCCUGUACGCUCACAAAGCAUCUUCCAACCUUGAACUCCAGUCCUUCCUAUCAGGGCGGACCAGCUUUUCCAAAAUAGACUUUAUUUCCCUAUUCGAGACUUCAGUCUGGCCAUUGGUCUGUGGAUGGUAGGAAGUGGAAACCUUAUGAAGUACACCAUAUUUCCUGAACAGAGCAGCAAUUGUCUUGUUGCAAAAAUGCGUCCCCCUAUCACUCACAACUGCCCAUGGCAUUUCAAAUCGUACAAAAAUGUUAGACUUUAUGAAAUCUGCAACCACCUUAGAAUCAUUAGUGCGGGUGGUAUCACUCACAACUGCCCAUGGCAUUUCAAAUCGUACAAAAAUGUUAGACUUUAUGAAAUCUGCAACCACCUUAGAAUCAUUAGUGCGGGUGGCUUUUGCUUCCACCCACUUUGAGACAUAAUCCACUGCUAGUAAAAUGUAUAAAAAUCCACAAGAAUUUGGAAAGGGACCCAUGAAAUCUAUACCCCAAGUAUCAAAAAUUUCAAUGAAAAGCAUAGGCACCUGUGGCAAUUGAUCCCUUCGGGAUAAAUUGCCUACCCUCUGACAUUUAUCACAUGUCUUACAAAACAAGUAAGCAUUCUUAAAUAAGGUAGGCCAAUAAAAUCCACUUUCCAACACUUUUCUAACAGUCCGUUUAGGUCCAAAAUGACCCCCACAUGCAAAAGAGUGACAGAAAGUCAAUAUAGAUUGGAAUUCACUUUCACUUACACAUCGUCUCAUUAUUUGAUCAGCACCUUGUUUCCACAGAUAGGGAUCAUCCCAAACAUAGUACUUUGCAUCGCUUUUUAGUUUGUCUCUUUUUGCCUUGGGCCAACCUGCGGGCAAUUUGUCAGUAACCAAAUAAUUCACAAUAUCAGCAAACCAAGGAGGGGAUGAAUUAAUAGAAAGUAAAUGCUCUUCAGAAAAAGACUCCCUUAAUGGUAAUUCUUCCUCCGCUACCAGUAUUCGACUUAGGUGGUCAGCUACUAGAUUCUCCGCUCCUUUUUUAUCUCUAAUUUCCAAGUCAAAUUCCUGCAGGAGCAAUAUCCAUCUUAUCAAGCGGGGUUUAGCAUCCUUCUUGGUCACCAGAUACCUCAAAGCUGCAUGGUCAGAAUACACAACUACUUUAGCACCUAGCAAAUAAGGUCUAAACUUUUCUAAAGUAAAAACAACAGCUAAGAGUUCUUUCUCCGUAGUGGAGUAAUUGAGUUGGGCGCCAUUUAAAGCCCUAGAGGCGUAAUAUAUUGCGUGCGCCGCUUUCUCCACUCUUUGUCCCAAAACUGCUUCCACAGAGUAGUCGCUGGCAUCACACAUAAUUUCGAAUGGGAGAUUCCAAUCAGGAGGUUGGAUGACAGAUGGAGAAGUGAGUAAUUUCUUCAACUUCUCGAACGCUUCUUUGCACUCCUCGUUGAAUUCAAAACUGACAUCCUUUUGCAAAAGCCUGAAAAGUGGUGCCCCGAUCUUUGAAAAAUCCUUGAUAAAUCUGUGAUAGAAACCUACAUGUCCUAGAAAAGAACGAACUUUCCGUACAGUUACGGGGUAAGAUAAAGCAGAUAUCACAUCUAUUUUAGCUUUAUCAAUUUCAAUUCCUCUAGAUGACACUACAUGUCCUAUAACUAUCCAGUGCUCAACCAUGAAGUGACAUUUUUCCCAAUUGAACACUAGGUUAGUCUCAAUGCAUCUUUUUAAAAUCAAUGUCAGGUUAUCUAAGCAAUCGUCAAAACUAUCACCAUAGACACUGAAGUCAUCCAUGAAUACCUCAAUUAUUCUCUCCACAUACUCAGAAAAAAUGCUAAUCAUGCAUCUCUGGAAUGUUGCAGGGGCAUUGCACAAUCCAAAGGGCAUCCUUCGAUAGGCAAAAGUGCCAAAGGGGCAAGUGAAAGUUGUUUUCUCUUGAUCCUCUGGCGCAAUUGCUAUCUGAAAAUAACCAGAGAAACCAUCUAAAAAAUAAUAAUAGGCACGACAAGCUAACCUUUCAACCAUUUGAUCGAUGAAUGGAAGGGGAAAUGAUCCUUCUUGAUCACCGCGUUCAAUUUACGGUAAUCGAUGCACUGGCGCCAACCCGUAGGCUUUCGAAUUGGAACGAUGUCCCCUUCAUGAUUUUCUUUCGCAGUUACCCCUGCUUUCUUUGGCACCAUUUGGACCGGACUCACCCAUGGGCUAUCUGAGAUAGAAAAAAUAAUUCCUACGUCCAGAAGCUUGAUUACCUCUUUCUUGACCACUUCAAUCAUGAUGGGGUUCAAUCUUCUUUGUGGUUGUCUUAUCGGCCUAGCAUCCUCUUCCAGGCGAAUUCGAUGCAUGCACACGGACGGGCUUAUACCCUUGAUGUCUGCAAUUGUCCACCCUAUAGCUUCCUUAUGCUCCCUUAAAACCCGUAACAGCUUAUCCUCCUCCGUGGGUGAUAAUUUGGAUGAGAUUAUCACUGGUAACGUCUCUUUUUCACCUAGAAAGACAUACUUUGAAUGCUCGGACAGGGGUUUCAACUCCACUUUAGGUGCCUGCACGAUAGAAGAUAAUAGCUUUAAGUGUGGUUCAGGCACAAAUAUAGGAGCAACAUCAUACUUUAGAGGACUUUGGCCUAGUGAAUGCAAGGUUCCAACCAUUCUUUGCAAACUGAUGCCUAACUCCAUUUGACAGGUUGCUUCCAGAUCCAAAUGUUUGGUGAUUGCUACCUCCAAUUCAUCCCUGCCAUUAAUCUCAAAUACUUCUUGCACCAAAGGGUCAAUUGCACUCACAGCAAAAACAGCAUUAGAAUGACACAGAUAUUUCAUGGCCUCAAAUAUACUGGAAUGAACUAUUUCUCCAUCAAAUUCCAUCGUUAGGGUGCCCUCACUAACAUCAAUUUUUGUACGAGUCAUGCUCAAGAAGGGCCUUCCCAACAAAAUUGGUGAUGGAUUUGGAGAACGUUCAUCACCCAUAUCAAGAAUAUAAAAAUCAGCAGGGAACACCAAAUUGUUCACUUGUACUAACACAUCUUCUAUCACCCCAUCAGGAUAAGCAUUAGUCCUAUCAGCCAAUUGAAUUAUAAUACCAGUUUUCUUUAAGGGACCCAAAUUUAGAGAAGCAUAAAUAGCCUUGGGUAUCACAUUUAUAGAGGCUCCUAAAUCUAACAUAGCAUUCCUAAUGCUAGUGUUCCCUAUUUUACAAGGAAUAGUGAACAUACCUGGGUCUCCGCACUUGGGUGGAAGUUUUCUUUGAAGCACUGCGGAUACGUUCUCUCCCACAAUUAUCCUUUCAUCUCCCCUCAAUUUCUUCCUAUUGAUGCAUAGGUCCUUCAAAAAUUUGGCAUACCGGGGUACUUGCUUAAUUGCGUCAAGUAAGGGGAUAUUUAUCUCCACCUUUCUAAACAUCUCCAGAAUUUCCUUUUCCUUGUCUUGCUUUUUAGGCCUUUCCAACCUGCUAGGAAAAUGUGGUGGGUUAGGCUUAACUGGAACCACUGGGUUACGUAUUACCUCUUUAUUUGUGCCGGGCGUUCCUUCUUCCUCAAGCUCCUUCUCAAUGCGGUCCUCAUUCUUGUCCUUCGGAGCCACUGGUGCUGGGCCUUCAACCUCUUUCCCACUCCUGAGGGUCAUUGCACUUACAUUCUUGGGAUUCACCUCAGGUUGGGAUGGAAGUUUUCCCUUUCCCUGGGAGUUCAGUCGGUUGACAAUUGAGGCUAAUUGAGUCAUCUGAUUUCCCAAGUUUUGCAUACGUGCUUUCAUCUCUUGAUUGCUGGCCUCAGUGUCCUGCUGAAAUUUCAUAGUAUUAGAGGCUAUGGUUUUAACCAUGUCUUCUAGGGACAUACCUGAGGCAGAAGAGGGUUGAUUCCUUGUUUGAUAUUGUUGCUGGAAGCCCUGCUGUCUAUUGGGGAUGAAAUUUUGUUGCUUAUUUCCCCCAUAGCUCAGAUUUGGAUGAUUCCUCCAACCCGGAUUGUAUGAGUUGGAAUAGGGGUCAUAUUGUCUACGUGGCAUGGGCAUGUUACCAGCCAUGUUUGCUUGCUCAGUUCCCUCCUCUUGUAACUGUGGGCAUGAGUCAGCAGUAUGACCAAUAUUCGUAUAAAUCCCACACACUUUGGCCUGUUGUACAUUUCCUACAGCUAUCUGUCGAACAAAUGAUGUUAAUUCAGAUAACUGCUGUUGAAUGGAAGAUGAACUUACCUCGUUGACCGUUCUCGUAGGAACAUCUGCUCUCGUACCAAACUGCUGGCAGUUCUCUGCCAUUCGCUCGAUUAGUUCCCAUGCCUCAUGGGUAGUCUUGUUCACCAGUGCACCACCACUUGCUGCAUCAAUGAUAUUUCUAUCAUUCAUCAGUAGCCCCUCGUAGAAGUACUGAAUCAGCAGUUGAUCACUUAUUUGGUGAUGAGGGCAUCGGUUACGCAGCCUAGUGAAUCUCUCCCAAUAUUCAUACAAGGAUUCCCCGUGAAAUUGCUUGAUGCCACAUAUUUCCUUCCACAAACUAGCAGCUUUAGAUACAGGGAAAUAUUUUUCAAAAAAUUUUUUCUGCAUCUCUGGCCACGUGGUGAUAAUGCCUGCAGGUAGACAGUAUAACCAGUCCUUUGCCGAGUCCUUGAGAGAGAAAGGGAAGGCCCUUAAUUUAAUUUGUUCAUCAAUUACUCCCGAAAGCUUCAUACUCGAACACACCACAUCAAAUUCCUGCAUGUGUUUGUGGGGUUCCUCUCCUGGCAGACCAUGAAAAAUAGGCAACAAAUGUAUUAGAUCAGGUUUUAAUUCAAAAGCUGCAUUCUCACUAAGGCGAGGAAAAGUUAUGCAAAGAGGUUGCUGAGUCAAGUUUGGAGCAGCCAACUCCCUUAAUGUUUGUGUGUUUGCCAUGGUGACGUUCUCUUGGUACAAAUCACUUGAAGUGUCACCAAACGAAUCUGCUGGUUCAACUUCUGGCUCAAGUCUCUGAGAUGUAGCACUAGAGUGCUCCUCUCUGAACUGUCUGGUUUCUUUUCUUGUUCUAUGCGCGAUUUUCUCUACUUCAGGGUCAAAAACCAAUUCACCUGUACGAGAAAACCUAGAAAUACACUAGAAAAAUACCAGAAAAUUAGAGCAAAAUUGAACUUGAAAAGAAACAAAUUAUAACGCCAGUCCCCGGCAACGGCGCCAAAAUUUGACAGGGCGUCAAACCUGUGCAAUAAUAAAUAUAGAACCUAACUACCACUAAAAGCAGUCAAUAAUUAAUCCUAGGUACUGGAGCAGAGACUCUAGGUGUGCAAUGGGUUACUUGAUUCACCCUGUUUCCGAAGAGUUUGCUGAAUCCGAUAUAUCAGAAUUAAUUAGUUGGCAAAAAUUACUGAAUAGUAGACAGUGACAAGUAGGGUCGUCUCCUCAGGGACUGGGGAUAUUUGUCUCUCUUAAAUUCCAAUUAGUAUGGGGGAUUUCACCGGAAUGAAACUAACAAUAAUUAGACAAUUCAAAUAAAAAUGAAUACUUAACUAGCACAAAUAUAGCAGGAAUUAAAUCAAAAAUAAAUAAAUUCUAGCCACGGAUGCAACUACUCAGGCACAGUCCAUUUAUCCGAUCAUUGAUGCAAGAGAGGUUCACUCAAUUUAUUAAUAGGCUAGUUAUAGCCAUUGAUGAACUCUAAUGACCAAUUUUUCCUUAAUUUAUAAAUGACCAAGGUACGACCAUUAAUCACCCCUAACCAGAAAAGUACUCCUAGGUACGACCGUAGGAAUUAAUUUUCCAAUUGCAUUAAUAACCAGAAAAAUUUAACCCUAAUCAAUAACACGCUACGAGGGUUAUUUAAAUUAGAUUGCAUGUUCCCCUAUGUGUAAACACACCAGUUGCCACUAAUAUUAAUCAAUCAAACAAUUACGGAUUUAAUUGACUAAAUUGGCACGAGAUUAAUAAAUCACAUUGAACAUCGGGCCCUUGACAUCCAAUUAAUAAAAUAAUCCCAUGAAAAUUCAAGCAGACAACGUGCAAAUAUUAAUAAAUAAAGGAACACGUGAAAACUAAUUAGAUCUCACAGAUUUUCGGGACUACGCCGUCGGGUUGACCCUUGACUAGAUGGAAGACUUAGCCACGCCGCAUAAUUAAAUCACCACACGAAUUAAUGGAUUGCAUAAACAUUGCGGUUUUUACUAGAAAGCAAAGGGUGAAAGAUGUUUUUCCCGUUGGGGUAUAUUGUCGAACGCUUGGCGUGUGUCAGAAGCCAGUCAAAAGAAAGAAAACUAAAAACUGAACUAAAAGCUAAAACUGGCCAGCCGACUGCUUCUGUCCGUUCUCUACUUAUAGAGAAACAAAAGGAAGUUGACUCAAGCUACCUUGUGAGGCCCCAGUCCGUUCGUAAGCUGAUAUGAGGGUUAUUCGUUAAUCGGUGGGGUGGAAUUCAGCUUUUAAGGCUAAGGAGAAAAACCCGAGGAAUCUCGGUUAAGGUUGAAAACCCUAGUUUAUUUUAUUAGAAAGUUUAAGUGGGGUUUUUUUUUAUCGCCCGCCUUUUCUACAUUUUUUCUUUAUUAGAACUUUCCCCAGAUAAUUCUUAUGAGUAAAUAUAGGUUUUAGAUGAUUUUUCUAGUCUCGAUUAGUUUUUGAGAAAUUAAGGAUAUAUAACGGACGUGGGACCCGCUAGUGCGAAAAGUUCGGAAAAAUUCGGCCAAUUAGGUUGAGUUCCGGACAUUGGGUGAAAUUUAUCGGGUGUUAAGAGAUAAGUAGAGGUUGUGAUGUGAUUGAUGUGAGAGAGAAAAAGGAUAGAGAUGCUUUAAAUGGAGUGACAAGUGUCACUAUCUCAUUGGUUGGACUUGUUGGACAACUAUUCACCUUUUUGACUUUUUACCAUUUAGUUAAAAUAUCUCAAAAAACUACCAAAAAUUCACUCUUUCCUCCUCCCUCUUGGUCGGCCAUCUUGAGUAAAGAAGAAAGAAAACUCUUCCAAUUUCUAGCUUCCAUCUAGCUCAAAUCUUCCAAAACAAUCACAUAAACUUGUUUCUACUCCAUAAAAUCUCUUCAUUAGGUGUUAUUUAGUAGUUUGGUGAAGUGUUUGGAGAAACUAAGGUGUCAAGCAACUCUCUCUCUCUUGUUUUACUAGGUGAGUAGUGAAUGAACCUUCUCCUUCAUCUAAUGAAGCUUAAUUGAUGCCUAAUGAUAGUUAAAGUGAUGAAUUUUGUGGUUAUUUCUUGCUUUUGGAUGAAUUGAUGAAGUUUUCAAUUUAUUGGUGAUUUUUCUGGUUUAAUAUGAUCAUGAUGGUGUAGCUAUCUAUGAUAAUUGGAAAUGAUGUUUAAUAACUCUAGUAGGUGUAAAUGAUUGAUAAUUGCAAGCAAUUCUUGGUUUGGAAGAAAAUUUGGAAGACUAGGGUUUCAUAUCCCUCAUUUCUGUCCGGUUUUGUAUCUCAUGGUUAGAGGCCGAAUUGGCCUUGGGUUAAAACAUGAAAUUUGUAGGUAUUGAUGUGUUUGAGGUGCCUGUAAAAUUUCAGAUCAAUCGGAGUAGUGUAGAAUGAGAAAAGUCGAAAUUACUAUUGCUGUUCUGGAUUCAUCCGAAUGUAAGAACUGCGUCUGAAAUUGGUUGUUUUGGCUGAAAUUUCUUUGGAAUUGGAUGUUGAGGUCUUCUGAUGAAAUGUAGCCCCUUAAGUUCUAAAUAUUCCUGUAAAAUUUCAAGUCAAACGGAGUAGUGUAUUCUGAGUUAUAGACAGAACACUCAGGCCUGUUUUAGACAUUAGUUUGUGUACGUUUUGAAUUUCAGCUUCUGACCGUGGGUUUUCCGUUUUGAUCCCAUACGAUCUGGGUGUCAACUCCUUCAUACGAAAUAUAGAUCUUGGUCUCAGCUUCGAAAUGGUAUAAAGUGCGUCAAAAUCCGAGUUCCGUAGCUUCGGUUAUGACCAAAACAAGAUUGAUCGUCAGAACUGCCUUGUAUCUGGACAGUUCUGACGGGUACUUUGGCACUCAAUUUUCGUUCUAUUCUGAGUAGAUUCAGGUCUUGGCCAAAACAUCAAAGUUUUAGCCUUAUGUCUCAGCUUUCUAAUGCCCUUGGAAUUUCGGGAUUUGGACUUGUGAGCUGGAAGUUAUGGUCCAGUAAACAGACCCUAUCUGUCAUUCAAAAUGCAAACUUCUGGUACCGUUUUCCAUGAUUUUGACUUGUGUUGAUUCGGAUCUAGUUUAAGGUUUCUUCAUGAGAAUUGUAGGCCUUCCUCAUAUCUUCGAAACGGUGUCUCGCUCACCUUGAUCCGAUAUUCCUAGCCUAACUUUUGAUCAAAACGGUUUGAGAUGGCCGAUUUGGCUGUUUCCGUUUGCCGUUCCGCGCGAGCGCGUGUGCCGAUUUUUGCCGUUUUGCUUGUUUUGGAUCUGUUUGUAGCCGUUUGUGAUAUAAUGUGAUAAAAUCUUCUAUUUCAGACAGUGGUGAGCUAGGCGGAACCGGUGGGGCCCACUACUAGCGAACACGCGCGAAGCGAUUUUGCUUUAGUACUACUUUUGGUAUUUUGAGUAAGUAUUCAGGCCGCUCUUGUGUGUUCGUUGCUUAUGUGUUUCGAUUUGUAUGAAGAGGGUACCUAGGCCAGGGUGUACUUUAUCGCACUCGACCUAAACCCUAAUUUGCGCACAUAUCUGUACAUGGCUUAUGUAUAUAAGCAAUUUUGGAACUAAAACCCUUGAGCUUGUGGCUCAGGGUAACUUUUGAAUAAUUUUGUGAAAUUUGUGAGUUUGGGGCUGAUCUCAAUACCUCGAGGGACUAUUCGAGCCGGUUAGGGUUUGGUCGAAGUCAGUCCAACUUGGAUUGAGAUCACCAAGUUUGUGAAUCCGGUUCACCGAGUUAUGAACCAAGUUUGUGACCCGAGCUUGUGAGUCAAGCUCAAGUUUGUGAUUUCGUUCGUCCGGGCAAGUUUGUGAGGUGACUGGCUAGUGAGGGUGAUAAGGUGUCCGGUGGGUGUACAAGUGAAAUUCUACGGACCUUAUUUAUGGUCGACGGAGUGUCGACAGGAGAUCACGCAUGACAAAUGACUUGGCUUUGGAGCCAUAUGUAUCCUUAUCAUGUGAUGUUAAUUUUCUGCUUUUGCUUUACUCCUACUGUGUAAAUGUGGUUACGUGAAAUUUACAUUUUUACCCCUGUUUACUUACUAAGCUUCUAGCUUACCCCGUUUCCUUUAUUUUCCUUAGCAGGGGACGACGCGGGGAACUUUGGGACUCUGCCGUUAGUAUAGUUAGGUCUCGUUUGUAAUAGUUGGACAGUUAGGAUGUUUGUUUUUGUUUUGGUGGUUUGUAUAAGGACCCUCCUUAGGGUCUACCUUCUACUGGUUGUGGUUAUAGUAUAUUAGAGAGGUUUGACUUGAUGCUUUUGAAGAUGUAAAUAGAACUUUUGAUGGUUGUAUAUAUUAUAAACAGUUCUCUUUUAGUUUAAUAUCGUUUUAUUAGUUUUGUGUUUCGAGUCCUGGCGCGAGCUAGGCAGGCGUCCCGCCGAUACCCUAGGGUUCGCCUUUGGGAGAAGCGGGGGCGUCACAUACCUAGUCUGCGGUCCUACCACAAUUAGGAAGCAAGCAAAAGAUUACAAGGAAAAAGCUUCUCCUCGUGUGUUUCUCUCAACAGCCCAAUUGAAGAAAAGCCUUUGCUUCUUCGUGGUCCCCGCUGAUGUCCCUCUUGAAAGCCAAAGGAGAUUACUAAUGCUCUCUCCCGUAGGACUUGAGCCAAUGAAGUACACAAGGUGGGCCCUUAGCCCAAUUGUCUUUUGUUCCUUUUCUUUUUGAUAGUUUUCUGCUCCAUCCCUGGAAUUAGACCCAAGUACCAAAUAUAAGUAGAUAUCAGCAAUUAACACAAUAUUUGAUAGGUAUAACAGGGGAAAUGAGUAAUAAAAUUACUAUCAAAUACUGCCCUAUCAAGCUCUGCGGCUGCUAAUGGCUCUCAAGGGCAGCACUCGAUGGCGGUGGAUGGCGUGAGCUGGUGGUGAGCGAGGAAGAAGAGAGAGUGCGAGGAGUGAGAUGGAGAGGUUGGCGGCGCUGGAGGAGCGGCAGACUGGAGGUGUAACGUGCAAAGUGGAGGUGAGAGGUGGUGAAGGAGGCGGCGGUUGCCGCUAGCGGCACGCGGUGCUACACGCUCGGGGCCGUGCGAGGUUGGAGAGGGAUGGGAAGGUUGGCGGCAUGCAGCUGGGAGAAGAGAUCAGAGAAGAGGGAGCUCGGGACGGCGGCGGCGUGCGAUGGAGUAGUGGCGGCCGAAGAAGAAAAGAAGGAAAAAGAGGAACAAGGCAACGGGAAAGAAGAGAAAGAAAGAAAGAAAAGAAAGAAAGAAAGAAAAAGAAAAAAGAAAAAAAAUAGUUUUUGGAUUUUUUUCUUCUCUUUUUUUUCUGAUUGCAAACUCAAAUUUCAAAAUUCGAAUUGUGAAAACCAAAACUGAAGGUGUAAAAUGGAAAAUGUUUUUAUUUUGAUAUUUUUUUUUAGGAAAUUGAAAUUCCAAAAUUUGAAUUUUUUUUUUGAAAAGAAAAACAAAGCUGAAAGUUCAAAAAGGAAAAUAAUUUGUAUUUUUUUAAUUUUUUUUUGGUAUUUUUUUAUUUUUGGGUUGUCAAAUACAGCAUGGGUACGCCAAGAUUAUAAAACGUCCACUGACCUCAGGAGUCACUGACAUAGCGUAGGCACGCCAAGAUUGCAUUUCCUGCCAAUGUCGCGAGAUGAUAAGAUUUGACCAAUAUGGCGCGGACACGCCAAAAUUGGUAAACGUCUACUGAUCUCAGGAAUCACUAACAUAAGGCAUGCCAAGAUUGCCCUUCCUGGUCAUAGUAAAGGAAAAUAUCAAGACCGACUACUAUCCAAAUGAGAAACAACAAAACGAAAGAAUUGAACAAUAAAAAAUAAUAAAACCAAUAUUUGGAUUGCCUCCCAAAAAGAGUCUUUCUUUAAUGUCUUUGGCUAGACGUUGAACACCACUCUUCAAUCUGGAUGUAAUUCAAUUUUUCUUGUAAUCGGUGGUCCUCCUCCAGGAUCCAAAUAGCUAUUGAGUGCAACCUUCUUUCUAAAUUUUCUAUUCAUUUUCACCUCAUAAAUUGCUUUCAUCCUCUGAUAUUUGUUCGCAGGAACUUUGAAUUUAUCCCUAAAACCAAACUCAGAAAUUUCUUGCAUAGAGGAAUUAGUAGCAUGAAUAGCAAACACAGAAUGAGAGUUAACAGGAUGUUUUAUUGUAUUAAAAAUAUUGAAAUGGACUAUUUCUCCAUCGAAUUCCAUUGUGAGAGUACCCAUACUAACAUCAAUCUUCGGUUGGCCAGUACUCAAGAAUGGUUUUCUUAAUAUAAUGGGUGAUUGAUUCGGGGCACUUUCAUCAUCCAUGUAAAGCACAUAAAAAUCAGUAGGAAAAAUUAAUCCAUCUACUUGCACUAAAACAUCCUCAAUUACUAUAUCCGGAUAAGUAAAUGUACGAUCAGUCAAUUGAAUUAUUAUCUCUGUUUCUUUUAAAGGUCCUAAAUUUAGGGAAUCAUAGACUGAUUUAGGCAUCAUAUUAAUAGAAACCCCUAAAUCUAGCAUGAUAUUUUUUAUAUAUUGGAACGUCCAAUCUUAUAGGGGAUAGUAAAUAUAUCUAGAUCUCCGCAUUUAGGUGGUAGUUUCCUUUGUAAAAUCGCUGAAACGUUCUCACCUACCACAAUAUGCUCAUCCUUCCUCAAUUUCUUCUUGUUGACGCACAAAUUUUUUAAGAAUUUAGCGUAUUUCGACACUUGUUUGAUCGCGUCCAACAAAGGGAUAUUGAUUGCCACCUUUCGAAACACCUCUAGAAUCUCUUUUUCCUUAUCUUGCUUUUUCGGUUUCUCCAACCUGUUAGGAAAAGGUGGUGGAUUAGUCUUAACUGUAAUGAAUGGGUCCGGGAGUACCUUCGGAUCCUUGUUGCUUCUGCCCUCCUCUUCAAACUCUUUCUCAAUUCGUUCCUCGUCCUUGUCCUUAAGAAUCACGAGUUCGGGUCCUUGGAUUUCCUUUCCACUCCUCAAGGUCAUUGUGCUUACAUUCUUCGGAAUCAACUCAGGUUGAGAUGGCAACUUCCCUUGAACUUGGGACUCCAAACGGUUGAUCGUGAUGGCCAUUUGAUUUAUUUAAGUUUGCAAUAAUUGCACUUGUCCCAAUUGAUUCCUCAUGCUUUGCAGGUCUGAAUCCGUCUUCUGUUGAUUCGUAAGUAAUUGCUUUAUCAUCUCUUCCGUGGACGGACUUGAGUUCGAAGGGGGUGGUGGUGGGCGAGGGUGGUACUGCUGCUGGUACCCUUGCUGCCUAUUUGGUACGAAUUUGGACUGCCUGUUCCCUCCAUAACUGAGGUUGGGAUGGUCUCUCCAACCAGGAUUGUAGGUGCUUGAGUAAGGGUCGUACUGCUUUCUUGGCACGAGCGCGUGGCUAGCCAUGUUCACCUGUUCUGUAGUUUCUUCCUGAAUCAGUGGACACAUCUCCGUAGAAUGAUCCACGGCUGUGCAUACCCCACAUACUUUGGCUUGUGAGGCACUUCCCACAGCUAGUUGUCGCACGAAAAACGUCAAUUCGGAGAAUUGAUGUUGGAUAAAGGAUGUUUCUACCUCAUUCACCUUACGAGUCGGGAUAUCCUCUCUUGAACCAAACUGUUAUGAAUUUUCAGUCAUCCCCUCAAUCAACUCCCAUGCUGCCCGAGGAGUCUUGUUCACUAACGCCCCUCCACUUGCAGUAUCGAUUAUGCUCCUGUCCCUGAAGAGUAGCCCCUCAUAGAAAUAUUAGAUGAGCAGUUGCUCAUUUAUCUGAUGUUGAGGGCAUUUUAUGCGCAACUUCUUAAACCUCUCCCAGUACUCAUAGAGAAACUCGCCUGGGUGUUGUUUGAUACCACAUAUCUCUUUCCUUAGGCUUGCAGCUUGAGACGCUAGAAAGUACUUGCCCAAGAAUUUUUUUCUUCAACUGAUCCCACGUGGUGAUACUACCUGGUGGUAGAUAGUACAACCAGUCUUUCGUGGAAUCUUUCAAGGAGAGAGGGAAUGCCCUCAUUUUUAUCUGCUCUUCUGUGAUUCGCGGGAAUUUCAUACUGUUGCACACGACAUCAAACUCCUGCAAAUGCUUAUAAGGCUCCUUACCUGAUAGACCAUGGAAAGAUGACAAAAGAUGAAUUAGACCAGAUUUUAGUUCAAAGGGAGUGCUAUCAUUCAAAUUUGGAAAAGUAAUGCAUAAAGGUUGCUGAUUUAAAUUAGGAAGCCAACUCCCUUAGUAUUUGUACAUUCGCCAUGGUGACUUCCUCUUGGUCAGAAUCACUUGAGUUAUCACCACGCAAAUUCAUCAACUCAACCUCCGAAUCAAGUCCUUGAGAUGCAACAGUAGACUGCUCCUCUCUGAUCUGUCUAGUUUCUUUCCUCGUUCUACGCGCGGUCUUUUCUACUUCAGGAUCGAAAAUUAAUUCACUUGUACGAGAAGAAUGAGGCAUAAACUAAAAAAAUACCCAAAAAUUAGAACAAAAUUGAAAUUAAAAAAAAACAAAUAAUUGAUGCCAGUCCCCGACAAUGGCGCCAAAAAUUGACAGGUACCAAACCUAUGCAAUAAUAAUUACCUACUCAAAAAAAUACAAAUUUGUAUAUAGCGGUGAGUAGGGUCGAAUCCACAAGGAUUAGGGGUAAUUCGUUUCUUUUCAAGUUCGGGACGCGGGAGAGUUUUUAUAAAAGUCUCCCAUGUGUGAAUUAAUUUGCUCCAGAAAGUCCCUCCUUUUUUAUAGUUUUCUACUCCAUUUCUUUGAAAUUAAAUCCAAAUACCAUAUAUAACCAAAUAUAAGUAGAUAUUAAUAAUUAAAAUAAUGUUUGGCAGGGGCAAAGGGGGAAAUUAACAAUAAAAUUACUAACAAUUAACACCCUAUCAAUUCACUCAAUUAAUCAUCGAUGCAAUGAUAAUUUCAUUUAUUCACUGAUAAACAAGUUAUAACUGCCAAACAUGCGAUAACAAUCAACUUCUUCUUACUGUAUUGGUGAUCAAGGUAUAACCGUUAAUCACUUUCCUAAUCAAGAAAUAACCUUAGGCACAAACAUAAAAUUCAAUUUUCCAAUUACUUUAAGAAUUAAAGAAACCCUGUUCUAACCAAAUAACACGCUAUGAGGGUUAUUUUAAGUUAGCCCAUAUGUUCUUCUGACACAAAUCCAAUCAUGUUAGUCACCACUAAUUUAAAGUAAUUAAAUAAUUAUGGAUUUAACUGCUCUAACUGAUUUUAGGUUAUUAGAUUAAAUUAAAUAUUGAGUGUCCUUAAUAUUCAAAUAAAAUAAUAACCAUAAGACAUUAAAUCAGAGAACAUAAAUUGCAGAUUUAUUAUAAAAUAAAGAGAGUACAAAACCUAAGAAAUAAUUCCAAGGCCAAAAAGGCACCGAAAACUAAAAACACAAAAAAGUUUAAAUAGCAUAAAAUAUUUAACAGCCCAAAGGCCCAUUAAUUUGCUCUUUUGGUUUGAUGCUUAAUUAAAAUUCCUCUCAAAUUACGGUGUAGGUCUCCUAAAACUCUUUUGGACUGGUGCAUAUAUAUGACACUUGGACUGAUACCCUUAGUACAUUUAAACUCAUUUAACCUCUACUAUAUUCAUAACCACCAUGAGAAAAGACUUCUAUGUAAAAUUUUCGAUGUAGGAUAUAAAGACAAACUCAUUAAAUCUCUACCUUGACGUGUAUCCAAUAUCGACAAAUAGCAGACAAAUAACAAACAAACUUCACCUUCUCCAGAAAAAAUUUAACGGAUUCCAACGAACCAUGAUAGUCCAAACAAAUCCCAACAAGCCACCAACAAACCAAUAUGAAAAAGGGUCAACAAGUCCCGAGGAGUCAAAACUCAUAAAAAAUUCAAUAUAUCCCAACGGGUUAAAAUAGCAAAUAUAGUAAUCUUGCUCCACCUUCUUCACGAAACUCUCAACGAAUUCCAACGGGCCAAAAUAGCUCUUCUUUAAACCAUAACUAAACUCCAACAAAAAUUUUUCUUCACUCUAUGUAGCGCUAAAUCAAUAUCCCAGAAUUGAUAGUCUAUUAUUAUCAUCAAGAACCCAAAAUCUGAAACUUUGAUACCAAUUUGUUAGAUUUGGUAUCAGAAAAUUGAUCAACAAGAACAAUAGAGUUCUUGGCAACCUAAUAAAGACAAUAACAAAUCAAAUAAAAUAAACAGAAAGAUACAAAAUUUUACGUAAUUAGGCCUAAUUGAUCUACAUCCAUAGGUGAAGGGGUUGCAGAUUUACUAUAAUAGAAAAAGAGUACAAAACCUAGAAAAUAAUUCCAAUGCCAAAAAGGUACCUAAAAUUGAAAACAUAAAAGAGUCUAAAUAGCAUAAAAUAACACUUGCAUAUUAAAUAGCAUAAAAUACUUAACCAUCCAAAAGCCUACUAACUUGCUUUUUUGAUUUGAUGUUUAACCAAAACUCCUCUCAAAUUGGAACAUGGGCCCCCUAAAACUUUCUUGAAUUGGUACAUACGACACUUGGAUUAGUGCCCUUAGCAUAUUUAAUCUCAUUUAAAUCCACUAUAUUUAUAACCACCACAAAAAGAGACUUUUUUUUUUUUAUAAAAUUCUCGAUAUGGGUUACAAAGACAAACUCAACAAUCUAUUCCAUUCUUAAAAUAGCAUACUUCCAACUAAUUUACUUAUUUUUGGUUGUCUCAGUAGAUAAUUAAGUGGUCUACUAUGUGCGCAAUUCGUGUAAUGGUUAUAUUUUUGGUUGAGUUGCCCACAAGUUAGUGUGGAUGUGACAAGGCUUCCUCUUUCAUUGACGGCAACUUGCCAAAUCUAAAUUGUUUGAACACACACUUUUCAAGAAUAACCCAAAUUAAUUACAUAGAGUAAUUUAAUAAAAAUGAAAAAAAUGGUGUUUUGAGAUUCACUUGCCAAUGAAUUCUAAAAUGGUUGAAUUGUCAUCAAAUAUAUAUGGAAUUGUUAAAAACGAAGUUUUAGCACCUCGAAGAUGUUGGGGCAAAGUAGUAGUGGGGGAAGUUCAGAGUGAAGACAAUAUAUUUUAAAUUCUUGAACCAGAGCAGUCUUCCUCGUUAUUCAGAUGCUCAUUCAAAGGCAAUACAAAAGGUGAUGGAUAUCUCAGGCUUAGCACAUCAUCACAUUGCAAGUCACUUGCAGGUACUAAUCUUGAUCAGCCAAUGAAAAUGCUCACAUUUCUUAUUGUUUCAUUCAUUACUUUUCUUUAAUUUUAAAAUUCUUUUGGUUUUUGAAUUCCUGAGUUAAUUUCCUAUAUUUUUUUUCAGCUUGAAUUCACAAGUUGAUUAACUAAUGUAGCUGCAAAUGCUAGAAAAAGAAGAUUUUCUGUUUAUUUUGGUUUAUCUUUAAAUUUUUUUUAUAUUAUCAUUGAUUUUUGUUUAUUUGUCAGGAGUUCCCAUGUUUAACUUGCUGAAUGACACCAAUAAUAAUAAUAAGAAGAAGAAGAAGAAACCUUUUAUGGCUCAACUUUGAUAAGAUUUGUUACUUGAGAAAUAUUUGAACUGUAGCAAAUUAAAUGUAGUCGCCAGUCGAGCUUAAGUAAAUUUUAUAUGCCAACAAUGUUUGGAUAAUACAUUGUUGUUCAUAUCCUGAAUUAGCCUCAAAUUUUCAUUUGUUUGAAGUUCACAUUAAUUAUUUGGUGGCUUUCCAAUUCCAAUAUUCCUGUCUCCGAAAUUUUUCUUUCCUUUUGAUAAAUUCUCCUACAUUUUUCUCUUCUUUUACUUUGUCUUGCUAUUUUAGCUUUAGAUAUUUUAACUCGGACUCACAUACAGGAAAGAUGCAACUGAAUUUUGAAGACAAAUUUUGUUCAUUAUCAUCCCAAGCUUGAACAUGAAGAUGGGUGACAAAGUGCAAGUUAAAAUAGCAAAUUUUUCAAUUUGUUCAAAGAGGUAACAUUGGCAUAUUCUAACCGCACUAGGGCUAUUUAUCAGCAGCUUGAGUGUCAUUAAUUGGUUAGUUGAUUUAAAAGAUCACGAGUGAUUGGUGAUUGGUGUUCAGUCCAAGUCACAAAGUAAUUUUGAACAAUUUCAUUUCUCUUAUUCUAUGUUGGUUAUUCGACUAGUCUUCUUUCCAUUGUAUUAAAGAGAACUUCUCUGCAUUACAUUUCAAUAAAAUUAAUUUAAAAAUUACUUUCAAAAUUCGACACCGUUCAUAAUAUAUUUCAUUACUGGUGUUAGUUAUACAAAAAAAUUCAUAUGAAAUUGACCAAGUUUUACCGUCUAAGUUUUUGAAUUCGUUUUCAACAUUUUACGAUUGAUGCUUGCUAAAUUAAGUGCUUAAUCACUUACUCUACGUAUUCAAUCCUUCCUGUUGCAUUUGCAGCUGCAGAAGAGAAUUGUCAAAAUGAAAAAUUGAGGAAUAAAAAAGAAUGAUCUCCUAGCAAAUUUAGUCAUCACAACCGAGAGAUAAUUGAGUGUUAUUCAGUCUAAUUUCGCUUAAAAAGUAUGAGAUCUUCAAUGUCCAUGCACCAUGUAUAUCAACCAUAUACAGAUCAUGUCACCAUCACCAGCACAUAUUUUGCCCGUGGCAUCAUUGGAGUCAUUUGUUUAUACCAUGAUCGUGCAUUCACAACUUGACCAAUAUGAUCAGACUCUUCUUCUUUUAUCCAUGAUUAUGUUAUCAUCCAUUGCAUAGGAGAAUGUCCUAAAUCGAAUUAUAAAAUUUUGAAAAUUUGGCAAGAUGUGCUACCAGCAUAAAACUCAAGUGUCGAUGUAAGAUCUUAAAAAGCCACAGUAAUCACUACAUAUUCCUUAUAAACUGAUUUUUGCUUCAAGGGUUAUUCUUGCUCUUAGGGAUAUGUGUCAUAAAUUAGGUCUGAUUGUCAUAAACGAACUCUUGUGGAUUUAUGUCAUAAACUUCAUAUUGUAGGCCAAUAUCUUAAAGAAAAUUCUUGUUUAGAUCAAGAUCGUAAGAAACUAAAAGUCGAGAGUAAAGGAAAGUGUUAGACCGAUUGUCUAAUUUGUCCACUAGAGAGUCCCAAAAGAAAAAGCGGAGGGGGUGCAAAAGUAGAUUUAACAAAUGUAGAACAUGUGUUUAAAAGAGAAAGAGAAAUAGGAUUAAAUUUUUCUAGUUCAAUUGUAAUUUCAUAGAGAUAAUCUAAUUUAAUUGAAACAGCCCUUCGAAUUGAAGGGGAAGGAUCUAUGGUAGGAUAUUGGGUUGACAUAUGAGCCUUUCAUGGCUCAUAUAAAUACAUACUCCAAUAGUAUCAAACCUAGUCUUCAAGUGCAUAGCUCAACUAGUUUACUCUUACACCUUGUACAUAUAUUGAUAAAUUGCCACAGAAGCAUAAAAUUCAGAUAAUCCCACCUGAAAUUUCCACAAAUUAUGAUGACGCAGUAGCUGAAAUAGCCAAAACUAGGGCUGCAAAUGAAUCAAACCGAUCGCGAACUGCUUGAGUCUAAACUCGACUCGAGUUCAAUCAACAUCGAGUUCGAGCUAACGAAGUCGAAUUCAAGGUCAAAAAUAUUAAAUUUGUUAGUUCGUGAGUCGGCUUGAACUUGAUUAUAUAUAUAUAUAUUUUUUUUUUUUUUAAUAGUAAAAUUAUAUAUAUAUUCCUAAUAUUUUAUUACUUAUUAAGAAAAAUUAUUAUUUUAUUUAUUUUUUAAAAAUAAAAUAAUUAUUUUUUUUAAGCUCAAACUCGAGUUUGACAUUUUGAGCUCGAGCUCAAUUUUGAACUUUGUAAAAUUAUGUUGAACUUCGACUCGAUUUGUUUACACCCCUAAUCAAGACUGUCAUUCAAUAACAAUCUAAGACUCAGAACAACAGUUUAGAAAUAGAAUUUCUCAAAAAAAGAGAGAGAGGGAAGUAAGACAGAGAGGAUAUAAAAACUCACUGUUCACAGCAUUUGCUGAUCGUACCACUAGUUAUUGUUUAUGUGCGUCUUCAAACUUUGGGUAACCAAAAAAAAUGAAGAAAGGAAAAACGCAAUUAAGCAAUGCAUAAGAAUGAGAAAAACGAAGAGCAUGUAGGAAUAAACAAAGAAGGCUCAGAGCCAACAUAAAGUUACCAUAAAUCCAAAAGAAAGGCAGGAAGGCGGAAACAAAAUUCAGCCUAGCUUUAUUUGAUGUUGAGGGCAUUCGGGCUGGAACCACAAACCUAAAUAUCAUAGAAGAAGUUGCCAAGUACCUUCAGCAGGCAACAACUUGUUGGCCUGUAGGAGAACUUGAACAAUAUGCUACUACUUCAAGGCUUCCCCUAGCAGCUCAACCCUACGCUUCAUCUGGAUUCUAUUCCUCUCUGCAUUGGGUUCAUACAUCGUUUUUUUGACACUCUCAGACUGUGAUGGACCUCUUAUCUGCACACCCAAAAUUUGAAGCUACCAUUGUAGCUGAUACUAGUGCAAAACAAGGGAGAGUGACUUUUGUUAACAAUUAACAUGUUUUCCCGUUUCAGCUCCAACUCCUUCAAGCCCUACAUGAAAAACUAACCCAAGCUAGGGCUAGAACUAAGAGUACUACUCAUAAGUUGAUUCUGAUAUGACUCAAAGUAAUCAUGAUGAAAUGUUUUAAGAUUAGAUCUGGUUGACUUCAAUGACAAUUGAACUAUUUUUUUUCCUUAUUUUCUUUUGAUUCUUUUUGGGGUUACUUUUGAAGUUCAUGCAUGCUGCUCUAAGUUUCAGACUUCCCUAUGCUAGCAAACAAAGUGCAAGCUAUGGUUUAUUUUAGGACAACUUGUUAAUUGAAUACACACUCACUUGUUGAAGAUAUUUUAUUGAAGUUAUAUAAAUGCAAGAAGUUUUACCUACUAAGAGACAUGGUUGAAGCCAUUCAAUCUAUUUGCUCUAUGAUUCUAUGAAAUACAGACUCAGAAUUUGUAGGUCCUAAGACCUGGUAGUAUACGCCUCCAAUGCAUGUUACGAAAUUAACAAGUUACUAAACACGAUUGGUGCACGUGAUAUGUAACUUGAUAACAAGACAUGAAUUGAAAACUUUAGCUGAUCAUCUAUCAUUAAAAAAAAAAAAAAGAAUUCAACAAGGAAAUUUUCUGAAAUUAAAUCAUCUUCUAAGAUAAUCAUAGAACUGAGUUUCAAUAAUAAGUGAACUUUUAUAGUGACACCAUUUUUCUUCCUAUUUCUUUAAUUUUAUGAUGGUAUUGGUUAUCAUGAUGAUUACAGUUAAUUUAUUGAUUGAAAUCUUUGGAAUUCCAGGGAAAUGGAUUUUGUUGUGGAUUAUAUGAAGAAAAGGGAAGAUGAUGACUGUGACAGCUUGAUGGCAUUUCUUUCAACAAAAGACCUAUAUAAGAGUCUCAUCAUCUGAUAAGCAUGGAAACAUUGCUUAUUUUAUAGAUGGCAUGAACCACCAUUUGCCAUAAGCCUACACCCAACAAACAUAUUAACCAUAUCCUUGCAAUUAUUUUUACCUUCCUUCCUUUCUUUCUUUUUUUCUCCUGAUAUCUCUCAUCGAUAACUUUACUAGCUUUGAGAAACUGUGGAGGGCGCCUAUUGGGAAAGCAGAGACAAGCUGUGCAGGAAGUUGUGGAUAAAUUUUUAGCAGUGGUGAUUGGAGGAGAAGAAGAAGAAGAAGAAAAUUGUAAUCGGGUAUUUGUUUUUGUGAAAAAAUUUCCACUUUUUUUAAAUUAAAUUUACCAGAAUAACCGCUGAUUUAUGCGUUUGGCAGCUUAAUUACUGCAUGGUCCUGUGUUUGCAUGUGUAUAUAUAUAUAUGCACAGAUACACAUAAAUAAUGAAAGAAUAUGCACUGCUGUUGCACGUAUAGUAUAGAAUGCUUGAUGAUAGGAAUUUGGUCUCCACCGGCCUUGGUGACAUGCCUUCCUACGAUGAUGUGUUUUCUUGGAGCCUUGAAGACCAAAAGCAUGGUGAUUCAAGCUUGCAGCGUUGUCAUUGCCGGCAGAUGCAAGUUGCGUGCGAUCGAGGAGUUGAAGGGCAUAUUAGUUUUAAGUUAAAAAAUAACUCGAAACCCUUGGAAGUUAAAGUUGUUCUUAAACAAAAGAAAAAGAAAUUGAAGCUGUUAUAAUCAUUAACAUCAAAAGAUGCAUUCAUCACAGCCUAAUGAAUCACCUGAGAUUUAUGGCAGAAGAUGGAGCCUCCAAUUCUCUUGGGCCUAAAUUUGAUGCUUUCUAUAGGUGGGCUUCUUCUUGGACUAAUUGAGCAGCAGACCAAUGCAUUCAUUUCUUGCGCUCUUUCUCUCUUUUUAUUUAUUUUCUUGUCCAGACUUUCCUCCUUUGACUCUUCAUUCUCUCUGCCCCUUUUCCUUCCCCCUUUCAAACACAUAGCUUUGAAAGAUACAAAUUGAAAAAUAUCUAGAGCUGCUAAAAUAUCUUUGUGUCUAGAUAUGAUCAAACCUUGAAAGAGCUGCUAAAAUUUCAGUCUACCUUUCCAAGAUCACACCCUUCAAUCUACUUUUACCCAAAAACCCAGAAUGAUAUAUUAAGGUAAAAUGAGUUUGAUGAAACAGCCCAUCUUUUCCCUUUUAUAUAUUAUAUAGAAUGUUUUGUCCAUUGUAACACUUCAACUUUCUUGUAUUCUAGUUCAAAAGUUAUGAGACCUUUAAGUUCUAUGUUCCAAGCAACUAUAUAUAUUUUUAAAACAUUUUUUGGAGAUUUUGAUAGGUCUGCUACAAGGCAACUAUAUUCUGACCUGCUUCCACAUACCCUAUCGUUUUAUUUUCAAUGGAUUGAAAAUUGUCAUAUUUGAAUUCCAUCUACCAUAAUUAUUCAUGUAUUUCACAUAAACUUCUUCAUAACAUCCCAAAACCUAGUUAAUCAUAUCUAAACGCAAGCAUAUAGCCGUGCCUUUCGUUUAAUAUGCUUAAUCUAAAUUGAAAAAUAUGAGUAAGUUCUCCAAGAAGAAAGAGAAAAGUGCAAUUUCAACGUCGAAAUUUCGUUAAGUUUUGCAGCUACAUGUUCAUGUAAAAUGGAAAAAAAAGAAGAGAGAAUAGUAAUAAAAAAAUUAACCCCUUAGAUUCAGUAUUAAUAUAACCAUUAACACAUGUUUAUGAUGUUCAUAGGAAAAUCAUAUCUACUAACUCAUGCUUCAACGUCUAUACCAUAUGUAAAGGGAGAUGCGGUUUUUGGUAUAAAUAAAAUUUUGUCACUUUAUAUUUUUUCUAGGAUAAAUUACAUUUUACCCCCCUGUGGUUUACCCUUUUUUACAUAACCCCCCUAUGGUUUCAAAAGUUAUACAUAACCCCAUCAUGGUUUGGAUUAAAGUGUCAAAGUAACGGAAAUAGUCACUCGUAACGGAACUUCUAAAAAUGUCAAAAUUACCCUUAUAAAUACAUGACACAUUAACCCCCUAUGAUUUUUAUAUUUUACCAUAUAACCCCCCUAUGGUUUAAUACUUUACCAUAUAACCCUCUUAUGAUUUUCAAAACAUACACAUAACCCCCCUUGGUUAAUACAUAAAUUUCAACCUUACAUAAGGGUAUUUUUGACAUUUUAGGUGACGCCGUUACGAGUGACUAUUUCCAUUAGUUUGACACUUUAAUCCAAACCAUAAGGGGGUUAUGUAUAGCUUUUGAAACUAUAGGGAGGUUAUGUGAAAAACGCUAAACCACAGGGGGGUAAAGUAAAAUUUGCCCUUUUUUCUAAAAUAUUCUUACGUACUGCCUACCUAAUAUAUUCAACUGCUAAUUAUGGUUAUGAAUUAUUUAUAAAUAACUAUCUCUUUAUGCCUUUUAUUUUGAUAAAUUAUUUUAAUAUUUAUUGUCAACAAUAUAAAACCAAUUCUUUUAAAAAUGAUAUAACUUUACUCAAACUUUAAUAAUAUUUUUCUAUUAGUUGCACAAACGGAUCUGAACACUUGUCAAUAAACAAUUUGUGAGGUUAAAUGGUGAAGUUCAGGUGGUAGUCAAGAAGAACGGCAUCUAUCAAGCAUCAGCCGCCACGCUAGACGUCAAGAUACAAGCCGUGCCCCGGUCUUAUUCAUGAUAACUUAUUAUAUGAAUAUAUUUAUGGACCUGUCAAGCUCCCUUCAAUUUUAGAAACUAUCACUUACAACCCCUAUUUCACCUUUAAAAUAACAAAACAAACCCAAUAUGCUGGCCUGGAGAUAAAAUUCCCACGAACACCCUAAAAUGAUCCUCCCAUGAACAAAUUUUAGAAAAAGGAUAACAUUUGAAGGAAUAAUAAACAACGAUUGAGUUGUAUUUGAACUCAAAUAGCCAAAAAGCCAAAGCACUUCGUUAGCCCUCACUUCUUAUCCUAUAAAUAAAUUCCCAUGAAUAACCCAAAAUGACACUCCUAUGAAUAAAUUUUACAAGGGGAUAAAAUUUCAAGGAAUAAUAAAAUACAAGGAAAAUAUCAGAAACCUCCCUCGAAGUUUCUUCUAAUAUUAGUUGGCACUCCUAAAAUUUUAAAAAUAAUUGUAAAAAGCUAUAUUAACUUUUAUUUGAUGCAUAAUUCACAUAUUAAAUAAAUGAAACUCAAAAAUUUUAAAAAAAAAGAAACAAAAGUCACUUUCUUUUCUUUCCCUUUUCUCCAACGUUUUCUUUUACUCAUUUUUUUAGAUGACUAUACAAUAUUUCAUUUGUAAAUUAUUAUAAAUUGAAUCUUAUUUAUCUUUUGCUUUUCAUGAUUGUAAUGGAGUGGGAUAUGAUUUAUUUACUUAUUUUGAGUUGAUUUUUUUUAUAAUGAUCGGUAUAGUUUAAAGGUUUAGGCACGAGUUGAGAAAAGGUUGGAAAAAAUAUAAAGUUCAUAAGAAAUCAGUUUCGAACAUAUAUAGCUAAACUAGUGCAAGUGUAUUUCUUUGCAAAUAUAUUUUUUAUUUUUUAAAUUUAUAUUUUUAUGGGAUAUAGCAUUAUGAUGUGAUAGUACUACCAGAAAUUAUUUUUAAGUGAUAAUUUUUUAAAGUAAAUAAAGUUGUAUGGGAAUAUUUUUAUUUAGCAAGUAAAAGAGUAGUUUGGAUUUUUAAAAAAUUCGUUACACAAAUAACAAAAAUAAGGGAGGUAAGUGAUAUUUUUAAAAGUUUAAAGAUGCCAGAUGAAUUAAGAGAAACCUCAGGGAGGAUACUGAUAUUAUCCAUAAUACAAAACAAAUAUUAAUUGAGUUAUACGCUUGCCUCAUUCUCCCCUUAUAAUUGUGUCUCACAUAAAUUCAUACAUCUCUUUCCCAAGUCUUUCACUCCAUGCCCACUUCUUCUACCACUGCCACACUUCCCUCGUUCCUCAUUUUUCCAAAAAAGUACAGACAAGUACGUGUUCCUGCACCGAUUUAUCAUGGCUGAAUCCUCUAUGAACAAAAGUUGAUCUCCUCGGACUUUCGAGUGACAUGACGAAAGGAACCCAUCGGUAGCUGGAAAAUUGAUUGUGGUACUGCAAAUCACAAGAUUGAGGCUGAUAUGCAAGUAGAUGUGGCUGAUGAAUUCACGAUUUCUUGUCUACUAUUGGUUGGACUAUGUUGUGAUAGCUUCAUGGUUUUGGACACUAUUAUUCACCUUUUUUUUUAAUUUUUUUGCUACGGCAGGAUGUUUAUAACUGCCGACAGAGAUGAGGAUUAGACGGCAAGGGAAGAUUUGAAAGUUAUGAGGCUGGCCAAGUAAUUGAAAAAGGGUAAGAUUUGAUGAGGGGUGAAAAGGGUGGAGGAAAUGGAGUUGGAGUCUUCUGGUGCCUUCUUCAUUUUCAUUUCGGUUUUUGGCAUUUUUUUUCCCUGAAAAUUAUGGUUAGGAGUCAGGCCCUUUAACAUAGUGAAGGGCGGUAAUUGUUAUUAUACAAACCUGAGGGGAGCUUCCUGUAAUUAGGCUAAACCUCAGGGAGAUAUGUGACAUUAUCGCAUAUAUGUUAUACACAUGCAAAACAUUCUUGCUGCUUGUUUGCAUUUCCUAAAGAAAUAUAUUUGUUGUAGAUAAUCAGUAGGUGGUGGAAGUUUGUUUCUGGACGGUAGAAUGGGAUCCGGAUCAGCAUCAUCAAACUCAAAAAAGUCUUUGACAUUCAGGGUGACCAGACAAAAGCCUGAGCUGGUCCGUCCGGCCAAGUCCACCCCUAGGGAAUUCAAGCUCCUCUCUGACAUCGACGAUCAAGAGGGUCUUCGCACUCAACUCCCCGCCAUCCAUUUUUACCAUAACCAUAAUAAUGAUCCCAGGAUUAAUGGGACCAGGAGGAGAUUAGACCCCGUGAAGGUGAUCAGGGAGGCUAUUGCGAAGGCUCUGGUGUUCUACUACCCGUUUGCAGGGCGGCUGAGAGAAGGCCCCGGAAGAAAGCUGAUGGUUGAGUGCACGGGAGAGGGUGUUCUGUUCAUUGAAGCCGAUGCAGACGUGACGCUGGAGCAGUUUGGGGAUGCGCUUCAGCCUCCAUUCCCGUGCUUGGACGAGCUCCUCUAUGAUGUUCCUCACUCUGGAGGAAUCCUUCACUGUCCUUUACUGCUUAUACAGGUACAACCCAACAACUGUACCACUCUUUUGUGUCUUUUUUUUUUUUUUUGGUUCGUGAAUGUGAAGGUGUCCCCAUCACUCUUUCCCAGAUUCUUCUAAGUUUCUCCAAGGAAGAGGUAAAUUGAUAGUUGAAUACUUGGCAAUACUACCUAUUUUUAACGGUAGAAAAUUGCUACCCUCUUUUGCGCUAGGAUAUCCAUGAUUCUAAUCUACACUCUUUUAGAUAAAUCUCGCCUAGUUUCGUCUAAGGUGGCGUCUCACAUAAAUUGGCAACUUCAAUGAUAAAUGCCUGCUCCCACGAGUAGUCCGACUGGUUCUGUAACCUCGUAGUUACUUGAUCAACCUUGUGUGUAUCAUUGUGACAAGCCUCUACACAGCCUUAGUAAUUAGUCUAGCGAAAGGUUGGAGUACCCUUUAAGUAAAAAAAUAUGAUAAAGGCCCCACAAGUAGGCCUGGCCCUGUCCACUACCAACUAAAUUGUUCAGGGAGUGGGCUUUAUUUUUUUUUCUUACACUUGCAAUCAAUUACUGAGUGCCAAUGGGAAUUCUGUAAAAUGCAUCUACAAUUAUUGUAUGAAAAAAUUUAGUAUCACGAUACGGAGUAACUAUUUGGAUUUGGAUGAAACUCUUUGGUAGAAUUAUAAAUUCUUAGUUACGAUAAAUAGCAAUUGGAAGUCAUAGUAGUGGGUAUUUUCAUAUUUUGUUCCAGUAAGUAGCAGCUAAUUAACUAGCUAAACUAUGAUAUUCACUGAUCAUAUAUAUAACUGUAAUGUUAUUGUACUAUAUACGGUUUCAGAUAGGUACGAUUGGUUUCAGGUGCUGUUGGUAUGGUUAUUAUACUUUUUCAUGAUACUUUGUUGUAUUUCAUGAUGUACAAUAAAAGUUAUAGAAAUGUACAUCAAAUCAUGUAAUACAACAAAAGUUAUUUGAGUGUACACAAAACCAUGCAAUGUGUACAACAAUCGCACCAGUUAUACUUAAGACCAAAUGUACCUGUCCAAUUCCCAUCAUGUAAAACGUUACGCAGGUAACUCGUUUAAGAUGCGGUGGUUUCAUCUUCGCACUUCGCGUAAAUCACACCAUGGCUGAUGCUGCUGGACUCGGUCAAUUCAUGAAUGCUGUGGGAGAAAUCGCACGGGGAGCCUCUGCCCCAUCUAUACAGCCAGUAUGGCAGAGAGAGCUCCUCAAUGCUAGAGACCCGCCAAGGGUGACGUGCACCCACCACGAAUACGACCAGGUAGCUGACACCAAGGGAUCCAUCAUUCCCCAGGAUGACAUGGUCCAUCGUUCUUUCUUCUUUGGCCCGGCAGAGAUCUCAGCGCUGAGAAAAUCGAUCCCUCUUGACCUUAGUCGCAAGUGUUCGACGUUUGAUGUUCUGACAGCCUGCCUCUGGCGCUGCCGAACCAUCGCCCUCCAGCCUGAACCUAACGAGGAAGUCCGCGUGAUGUGCAUUGUUAAUGCUCGUUCCAAGUUCAAUCCUCCCUUGCCCCAAGGAUACUACGGCAAUGUUAUAGCAUAUCCAACGGCGCUGACGACAGCUGGAGAGCUAUGCAACAAGCCUGUGGGAUAUGCAGUGGAGCUGGUGACCAAGGUCAAACGUGUUGUGACAGAAGAUUACAUGAGAUCUGUGGCUGAUUUAAUGGUUAUUAAAGGGAGGCCUCAUUUCACUCUGGUGAGGACUUAUCUUGUGUCGGAUGGUACCCGGUCUAGGUUGACUGACGUGGACUUUGGUUGGGGAAAGCCGGUGUAUGGGGGGCCGGCCAAGGGUACUGUUGCCAGCUUUCACAUACCCUUCAAGAACAAGAAGGGGGAGGAAGGAAGAGUAGUUCCUAUUUUUCUGCCGGGUUUGGCAAUGGACAGAUUUGUGAGCGAGCUGAAAAACUUAUUGUUGAGCAACAAUGUCCAUCGUGGUGCCAUUACUGAUCGCUCCAUCUCCGUCAAAUCAGCCUUGUGAACUAACUUUCUUUCUGUCCCUGAUCAAGUCCACCUCUGCCUUUCUCAUAUCAUUCGGAUUGAGUAUAGUUUCUACCAUUUGUGAUCGAGCGAGUGGCACAAUCAUUCUAAUUAGACAAAAACACGUCUCUUCUUCUAUUAUACCUCCACAUGAAUGCUUCAGCCCAAAUUGCAAAUAAUUCAUGUUAGUUUGGAUCACAAUGUUGCACCAGAUUGGCCGGAUUUUUCCCGAUUAGACCGAGAUAUGUUCUUGUAUUACUACGUAUAAUCUAAAUCUACAUGAGCCUAAGAAAUCUACAUUGUGGGUAUUGUCGAACCAUAACAUUUUAUCCAAGAGUUGAGGAAUCCAAUGAAGUGAGUCUAGCUUAAACUUCUGCAAAGACUGACCAAUACCAUAAUUUGAAGUUGGAUCUUUCACUUGCUAAUUGUUAUGGUUUUUAAUUCACACUUUUUACUGAUGUCGCAGAUGAAUAAUGGGGCAUGACCUACGGACUGGAACUUGCACGGGAGAAGGGAUACGGUCCAUAGGAUUUUUGUAGUGAAGGAUGGAGUAAGAACAGCCCACACUUCAACAUCAUGUCAUCCGAGUUGGAGCCAUGAUCAUCAGCAGCACCUGCUGAUUCUCUCCAAUCCACCAGAUGUUUUUAAAUAGGCACAAUUUGUGUUUUUUAAUGUAAUGGGGUUACUAGUCGUCAAUCAGUUACUCUGUAAUGGGCCUGAGGCUUCCCAAUGCACCUGAAAAAGAAAAAUCAUCAUACUUUGAAAUCUUA
rnacentral:lncRNA from 1 species